CAUCUUCUUCUCCUUCAUGUCGUACAGCACCACCCAGCCGGAGGCGAACACCGCAAGCAUAUCCCCCUCAAGCGUGGCCACGGCUUCGUUGAGGGGCCGGGAAUUUCGGCCACUUGGGCCGCCGAAGUGCAACGACCGGUCGCGGUCCUUGGGCUCGAACAGCCGGUGAUAUUCAUCUUCAAGCCGGUCCAACUCCAACAGACGUGCAGGUCGCUGCGCAGGCAGCUCGAGACGAAGGCGGAACGACUACCUCUCGCCGUCAUCCAGGGCCCAGAUUCGCAUGGUGGCAGGGGGCCACUCGACCACCACUGAGGCGGCGAGCGUCCCGUGCAUAUCGAACAAGCUGAGGUCCUUGUAAAGGGAGCAUGUGACGGAGGGUAGCGGCACUCGCCGGAAAGCCUCCGUCACCGUGUCGAAUGCCAGCAUGUUCAUGGAGGUUUCGGCGAGCUGGCUAUGCUUUGCCCAGUAUAGGGUCCCGCUCACAACCACGCCGCAGUCCGAGUACACAUGAGCACGGCCAUCGCCAUCGGGCGUCUCGUCAAAGGGGCCAAGCCGCCGUGGCCCGGCACCGCUGGUUGACAGCACGUAGUGACACAUAUGAUGCGUACCGCGAUUGAUUUGUGGAUCAGUCGGCGAGCGCCUCUCCGAGCCGUCGCAUAGUACGCGGUACUCGCCGGAGGGUCGAUGGAAAUAGAAGCCGGCUGGCAUGACGCACGAGCACGGAUGUGGUUUCAGCGCCGGCAAUCUGGCCCACUGUCGAGUCGCCGGGUUGCAGAUGAGAAAGCUGUCCUGAGCCGCUUGCGAGAACAGCAGCAGGCCGUCGCAAGAGCCGAAGAGCGUCAAGAAAGCGUCUUGGCGCAGGAGACGCCGGCACCCAGUCGCUGUACCAUCGAGAGAGACCGCGGCGACCGCGUUCUUGCUGCCAGGACUCGGCUUGUACGCGUCCGGGUAAACGAGGAGCUCUAGCGGCCGGCGGCGGCUGUAGGCGGCGACGAAGGAGGCGCAGGUGGUGAUGCUUCGCCAGAGUUUGCAGACGGCGCGACUGCGGAAUACCGACUUGGGCGGCAACCGCAGCAGGAUCUCGGUGAAUACGUCAUCGUUCAGAGUCACAGGCGGCAUCGCGUCGGUACGGUCGAGCUGCGCAGAGGUCCCGCCUCGAACGUAUAUAUAUUCUACGUGCGCUACGUGAACCGUAAUCGAAUUGCAAGCCAAGGCCGUCUCUAAUCGAGCUUCUGAAAUUUAGCUUCGCACAAGUCUUAGCUUCUCAAAUUUAACAAGUACUAAAACAAAAGGAUUUCUAGUCGAACUCUUAUCAAACUUAACUCCAUACAAAAAUGAGAUAAAUGCACACUUGGUCACACAACUCUCGGGCGAUGUGCAGUUUGAUCACUCAUCUAACGCAAUGUGAAGAGCUGGUCUACUUUGUGAGCAAAGUGGGCACUUUGCCGUUCUCUGCCGUAACAGACGCUUACGUGGCAUGCUGACUAGGAUCCAGGCGCUGAGAGGCCAAGUGAUAUUUUUUUGCAGAAAAGACUCUGCCCGCAUUAGAAUUUCAGUUCUCCACCUGGACCUUUCGUCGUCUCAUGCAGGGCGGCAUGCAGGCGGCCGAUCGUUGGGCCGCGGUCGAUGACGGCCGCGACGCCGAAGGCCAAGGAGGCGGACACGCAGUCUGUGGCGGCGGCGCAAUCACCCCCCCUCGCAUCGAUGUGGUUGCUUGUGGCGGGAAGGAUGCAACCAAUGGAGGCAGAGGAGGUGGCACAAUGGGGACAUAAGGUGGUGACCCCGUCGUCGGUGCCCGUAGAGAAGCUGGUGUGGCCGAUACGAUGCCUCCUCGCUGUCGAUUUCCUUGGGACGAAGCGCCGGUUUAUGGUAAGUCACAAAUUUUGGAUUCUCUGCUAGGGUUUGAGCCUAGGUUGUAUCUAUGUUAUACUAGAAGUUUUCAAAUCUGUGGUAGUUCGAUUAGUUGUGAUUAGUUGGUAGCUAUGUCAUUUUCAAAUGUUUGGUUGUUACAAUUUUGAAGAAUACAGACUGAAUAUUGAACUCUGGACAUUUGGGGGUGAUACGGUUAGGGUUUGGCCGAAUCAAAAUUGAAUUUUGAUCGAACUGUUUGCAAUUCAGGUGAUGAUUCCGAAGAAUUUAGCGUGGAAGUUCACCACAAUGGAUGGUUUUGUGGUGUUGGCAUAAAUCAUAGCUACAUGGAAGAAAAUGUUGACACAUUUGACGGCUGCCAUGGGAAAACUUUUUUGCUGUGCUUUACUGGACUGGAUAGCUACUCAUCUAGGAUAUGCAACACCAAAAACAUGUUUUGCAAUGUACUCGUGCAUCCCUAGUAAAACUAUAGAUGAUGGUUUGCAAGUAAUUAGUUUGGAAAUUCAUGCUAGGGCUAUUAUAGCUGCUAGUCAACAAAACAAAGUACUUGUUUUGUUCAUUGAUCACAACAAUAUGCUGGAGAAGCAGUUGUUAGAUGAUGUUUUAUUACAACAAGUUGAGCCACCUAAAGUAAUUAGUCCAGUGAAAAACACUUAUGUGCAUGAGGAGAGGGGUGGGCCAUCAGAUCAUAUGUUGCCCACUUUUAGUGAGCACCUGUUCAGCAUGUAUCCUGGUCCUCAUGUACAAGAUGCGUGUGAGAAGGAAACUCCUGUUAGAAGAAAUGUUUUCCCAAAUACUUGCAAUGUUGAUGCUGGCUUGGGAAGGAAGGGGAAAGAAAAGGCUGAUUGCUCAGAUGAUGAGGUAUAUGGUGUUGAUGAUGAUGAGUAGUUUAUGAAGCUGGUGCUGAUGAGGAAUAUUAUGCACAAGAAGAUGACAGUGAGGAAGAGGAAUAUUAUGGUGAAACAGAUACCAACUCUGACUCGGAUUUUGUAGAUUCAGACUAUGACUUUGAGGAUGGAGAUGAUGCACUAUUUUAUACAACUGUGGACAAAUGUUUGAAGAAUGAGCUUGUAGCCGAAAAGUGGAAAGGGGAAAAGGUGUCAGAAGAAGAGGCACAAGAUCAAGAUGUGGUAGAUAUGGAUGAGUUGGGGCUGCUAGAGUCAGAAUCGGCACUAAAGUUCAUUUUCAAGUCAUUCAACCCAAUGACAGACAUGGAGAACCCCACUUUUAAACUUGGGAUGACAUUUUCAAACCCAGAAGAAUUGAGAAAGGCAUUGGCAAACUACAUUGUGAAGAACAGUGUGAAAGUUUGGAAAACAAGGAACAACGCAAAAAGGCUAGAAGCCAUAUGUGUUGGGGACUGCCCUUGGAAAAUGAUUGAUGUUAAAGACUCAAGAAUUGGUUGCUUUCUCAUUAAAACACUAGUGGAUGUGCAGACUUGUAAGAAGGUUUGGGAAGUGAAAGAAAUGUCAGCUACUUUGCUAGCAGGAAAAUAUCUUGAGGAUUUCAGAAAUGAUGCCCACUUGAGUUUGUUGGCUUUUUCUAACAAGGUUGAGACAAAGUACAACAUGAAACUGGACAGGUUCAAAUUGGCAAGGGCAUGAUUAGCUUGUUUGAAAAGAAUUAGAGGAGAUGAGGAGGCACAAUAUGGCAAAUUAUGGGACAAUGGUCAGGAGCUGAGGAGAGCAAACCCAGGCAAAACAUUUUGUUGUUGAAAAGUAUGGGUGAAACAUUCAGUUCCUUUAACUUUUGUUUGGAUACUUGCAAAAAAGGUUGGUUGAGUGGAUGUAGGACCAUUAUCUACCUUGAUGGAACCCACAUUCAAACUAAAUAUGGUGGCCAAAUUCUAACAACAAUAGGAAUAUAUCCAAAUGAUUGUAUCUAUCCUAUUGCUAUUGCAAUUGUGGAGGUGGAAUGCUAUAGCAGCUGGUUGUGGUUCUUAACAACAUUGAAAAAUGAUUUGAACAUCAUUAAUACAUUCCCUUUUUGCAUUAUGAGUGGCAAACAAAAGGUGUGUUAUCUAUGAAAUAAACGUUUGUUUUGUUUAUGCUGGAAAUUUCUAUAUGUAGUGAAGUACAUAAUAAUUUUGUAUGACAUAUGUUGCAUGCAGGGGCUGAUCAAAGAAGUUAAUGAAGCAUUUUCAGAUUCUGAGCAUAGAUAUUGUGUCAGACAUUUGUACCAGAAUAUGAAGCAGCUACACAAGGGAGAAGUGGUGAAAAAUCACUUGUGAAAAUGUGCAAGGUCAAGCAAUGAAACAAAAUGGAGGCAUUCAAGGUUGAUUGUCCAGAUGCUUAUGCAUGGUUAGAAGAAAAUCCCCGCAAUGAAUGGUGUAGAGCAUUUUUCAGUAACUUUGUGAAGUCUGAUGUUCUGACAAACAAUAGUUGUGAAGUAUUUAACAAGUAUUUCUCUCUCCUCUAUAUGUAUACGGUUGCAUUUGUUCUGCUCAGUAUUUAACAAGUACUACUCUCUCUCUCUCUCUCUCUCUCUAUAUAUAUAUAUAUAUAUAUAUAUAUAUAUAUAUAUAUAUAUAUAUAUAGUAGGUGGAUUUUAGAGGCUAGGGAAAUUGCUUGUUCUAUCCAUGUUAGAGCACAUAGCAUGCUAAAUUGGGAACAUAUAUUACAAGAAGCAAAGAGAGGUCAUGAAGCAGUGGGCUGGACAGACAUGUCCUAAAAUUAGGCAGAAAAAUAGAGAAAAACACUAAAUAUGCUGCUAACUAUCGUGCAGAAGAAUAUGGUAGAGCAACAUUUUCUGUUAAAAGCAUUGACAUGACAUACAUAGUGGAGCGGAACCUCCUAGCUUGCUCAUUCAUAGAUGGUAGCUAACUGGCAUUCCAUGUAGCCACUCCAUAGCAUGCUUGAGAUCUGAGAGGAUUAAACCUGAGCAGAUGGUUAACAACUGUUAUUCAAUACAUUCCUAUAUGCAAGCAUAUGGUGCAAAUAUUAUGCCCCCGAGAGACCAGACAGAGUGGCAUCAUGUAAAUGGGCCAACAGUUUUGCCUCCAUCUUAUGAGAAGAAAGUAAGCAGGCCACCAAAAAGUAGAAGAAAAACUCAUGAGGAAAAAGCAGGUGGAACAAAAUUAAGCAAACAUGGAGUGACAAUAAACUGUGGGUACUGUAGAGGCCCUAACCGUAACAAGGGUGGGUGUCCUAGACUGAAGGCCAUUUCACAGGCUAAAGCAGCAGCUCGGAGGCAUGCACAAUAACAAGCUCAAGGGCUUGAACAGGAACAAGCUCAAGGGCAUGCACAAGAACAAGCUCAACGGGAUGAAACAGUCAACAACAAGACCAAGGAGGAAAAGGAGGACAGUGCAUGAGCAAGUGGGCAUGUCAACUAUUAAUAUUAAUAGAGGGCCCACAACAUUUGAUGAAAAUGGAGACGCACACAUACCGGAGAUACUUCAGGUACACUUUUUCCAAGUGCUUCUUUCUCUUCUUUUUGUACAGAUCAAGAUCUCACAUAAGUGUUUUCAUUUAGCACAUUGAAGAGGUUUACCUGGAUCCUAGGCUAGAUUCAUUGAAUGGCAGAUCAAGUAUGGUUCACAGCUUGGGCAAUAGCUAUAAAUAAUCAAGGCAUUUAUUUGCUCUUUAUUUUCAAGCUCUUUCAUAUGCGUUGCGUUGGUGCUCAUACAUAUUGCAACUUAACUGCGGGAACCAAAUAUUUAGAUUGAAGAAGACACUCCUUUCCCAACAGAGUCCGCAUUUGAUGCUGCUAAUAGAUCUUCCAUACUAGCAGCUAGGGUCACAACUGCAACAAGAUAAGGGUUAGCGGCAUUAAGAGGUAGGGGAGAAACAGAUUUGGGAGAAGGGAGAGUUGCUGCUAUUGCUGGUGGUGGUGGUGCUAGAAGUAGCACAAGUAUAGGAAGGAGAGGUGUUUCUACUACUGCCGCUAGUGCUAGCAGUAGCACAACUAGAGGCAGGGGGAUGGUGAGAGAGGCGGAGGGGCAAGUGCAAGAGGAAGAAGAGCUGCUACAAGAGGGAGAGGAGUUACUGCAAGAAGUUGGGAACACCUACUAUAUGAUGAUGGACAAAGGCAUAGCACUGCUCUUACUAAAAUGAAAAUCACUCGGAGUGCACCAUUUGACAUGUCACAGGAGUAGAUCAUGUUGCGUGCUGUGAAAAUCUGAUCAUUUGUGCCGUUAGUUUGUGUGAUACAUGAAAUUCUCAGUUUACUCACACAUAUUUUGUCAUGGUUCUGAUACUAAAGAAUAACUAGUAUUUUGUAGUUCUUAAGUUAUGUGUUACAUGACGGACAACUACUUAUGGGUGUGAUACAUGAAUGGCAACAGUAGUAGUGAUGUCGAAAGUCUCAUGUUGAAAAAAGAUCUUAAACAUAUAUUUGAUGUUCAAAGGAUUUCAAUUCAAAACAUCUGUUGGCAGUAGCACAAAAGUAGCCGGUACAUUAGUUGACAGUGGUACAAAAGUAGCCAAUACAUUAUCGAAAUGAGUUACAUCACGGUUACAUAAUUCAGUACAUGAACAUCAUCGAAUUGUAAUGAAAUUCAAACUACAAGAACAUAGCCAAUUUUGUUGAACAAUCCUCCUACACACGCCUGCGAGCUUGGCCCAGCAAACCCACGGCCACCAACUUGAUCAAGAGGAGUAGUAGUGCCAUCAAUUGUACCAUUGUGGUAUAUGUGUGAAGCCAAGUAGUGUCCUCGUCGUCAUAGUCGUGCAAUGCCGGAAACUCUGGUAUGAUUGGACUAUGAUCAACCACCCAAUCGACAUGGAUGAUGAUUGGAUGCACUACAGUACGCUUCUCGGUAUGCUCUCUUGGUGUUGGUGGCGAUAUUUCCCCACCAGAGUUCGGAGAGAAACAUAACACUGGCUCAUCCGGCUCCGGCAGCUCGACUUUGUAGCGCUUCGGCACUUUGUUAGGAUCCCUCAUCCAUGCUUCCACACCAAUGCACCUGUUGGAAAUAUGCCCUAGAGGCAAUAAUAAAAUGGUUAUUAUUAUAUUUCCUUGUUCAUGAUAAUUGUCUAUUGUUCAUGCUAUAAUUGUAUUAACUGGAAACCGUAAUACAUGUGUGAAUACAUAGACCACAACAUGUCCCUAGUAAACCUCUAGUUGACUAGCUCGUUGAUCAAUAGAUGGUUAUGGUUUCCUGACCAUGGACAUUGGAUGUCAUUGAGAACGGGAUCACAUCAUUAGGAGAAUGAUGUGAUGGACAAGACCCAAUCCUAAGCAUAGCAUAAGAUCGUGUAGUUCGUUUGCUAAGAGCUUUUCUAAUGUCAAGUAUCAUUUCCUUAGACCAUGAGAUUGUGCAACUCCCGGAUAUCGUAGGAAUGCUUUGGGUGUACCAAACGUCCCAACGUAACUGGGUGGCUAUAAAGGUGCACUACAGGUAUCUCCGAAAGUGUCUGUUGGGUUGGCUCGGAUCGAGACUGGGAUUUGUCACUCCGUAUGACGGGGAGGUAUCUCUGGGCCCACUCGGUAUUGCAUCAUCAUAAUGAGCUCAAUGUGACUAAGUAGUUAGUCACGGGAUCAUGCAUUAUGGAACGAGUAAAGUGACUUGCCGGUAACGAGAUUGAACGAGGUAUUGGGAUACCGACGAUCGAAUCUCGGGCAAGUAACGUACCGAUUGACAAAGGGAAUUGUAUACGGGAUUGCUUGAAUCCUCGACAUCGUGGUUCAUCCGAUGAGAUCAUCGUGGAACAUGUGGGAGCCAACAUGGGUAUCCAGAUCCCGCUGUUGGUUAUUGGCUAGAGAGGUGUCUCGGUCAUGUCUGCAUGAUUUCCGAACCCGUAGGGUCUACACACUUAAGGUUCGGUGACGCUAGAGUUGUUAUGGGAAAUAGUAUGUGGUUACCGAAGGUUGUUCGGAGUCCCGGAUGAGAUCCCGGACAUCACGAGGAGUUCCGGAAUGGUCCGGAGGCAAAGAUUUAUAUAUGGGAAGUCACCAUACGGUCACCGGAAAUAUUCGGGGGUAUACCGGUAUUGUACCGGGACCACCGGAGGGGUUCCGGGGGUCCACCGGGAGGGUCCACCUGCCCCGUAGGGCCUUAUGGGCUGUAGGUGGAAGGGAACCAGCCCUUAGUGGGCUGUGCGUCAACCCCCCUAGGGCCCAUGCGCCUAGGGUUUGGGGGAACCCUAAAGGGGGGCGCCCCCCCCCCCUUGCUUGGGGGGCAAGCCACCUCCCCCUGGCCGCCGCCCCUCCCAUCAGAUGGGAUCUGAGGGGGCCGGCCCCCCUCUCCCUUGCCCCUAUAUAUAGUGGAGGGGUGGGAGGGCAGCUAUACCUUUCCCAAGGCGCAGCCCCUCCCCUCCCCAACACCUCUCCUCCUCCGCGUGUGCUUGGCGAAGCCCUGCCGAAGAAAUGUCACUCCACCACCACCACGCCGUCGUGCUGCUGUUGGAGCCUUCUUCCUCAACCUCUCCCUCCUCCUUGCUGGAUCAAGGCGUGGGAGACGUCACCGUUCCGUACGUGUGUUGAACGCGGAGGUGCCGUCCGUUCGGCGCUUGGAUCAUCGGUGAUUUGGAUCACGACGAGUACAACUCCAUCAACCCCGUUCUCUUGAACGCUUCCGCUCGCGAUCUACAAGGGUAUGUAGAAGCACUCCUCCCCUCUCGUUGCUAGUAAACUCCAUAGAUUGAUCUUGGUGACACGUAGGAAAAUUUUGAAUUAUUGCUACGUUCCCCAACAGUGGCAUCAUGAGCCAGGUCUAUGCGUAGAUUCUGUGCACGAGUAGAACACAAAGUAGUUGUGGGCGAUGAUUUGUUCAAUUUGCUUGCCGUUACUAGUCUUAUCUUGAUUCGGCGGCAUUGUGGGAUGAAGCGACCCGGACCGACCUUACACGUACUCUUACGUGAGACAGGUUCCACCGACUGACAUGCACUUGAUGCAUAAGGUGGCUAGCGGGUGUCUGUAUCUCCCACUUUAGUCGGAUCGGAUUCGAUGUAGAGGGUCCUUAUGAAGGGUAAAUAGCAAUUGGCAUAUCACCGUUGUGGCUUUUGUGUAGGUAAGAAACGUUCUUGCUAGAAACCCAUAGCAGCCACAUAAAACAUGCAACAACAAUUAGAGGACGUCUAACUUGUUUUUGCAGGGUAUGCUAUGUGAUGUGAUAUGGCCAAAAGGAUGUGAUAAAUUAUAUAUAUGUGAUGUAUGAGACUGAUCAUGUUCUUAUAAUAGGAAUCACGACUUGCAUGUCGAUGAGUAUGACAACCGGCAGGAGCCAUAGGAGUUGUCUUAAUUUAUUGUAUGACCCGCGUGUCAAUGAAAAACUCCAUGUAAUUACUUUACUUUAUUGCAAACCGUUAGCCAUAGUAGUAGAAGUAAUAGUUGGCGAGACAACUUCAUGAAGACACGAUGAUGGAGAUCAUGGUGUCAUGCCGGUGACGAAGGUGAUCAUGUCGCGCCUCGAAGAUGGAGAUCAAAGGCGCAAGAUGAUAUUGGCCAUAUCAUGUCACUUUAUGAUUUGCAUGUGAUGUUUGUCAGGUUUACAUCUUAUUUGCUUAGAACGACGGUAGCAUAAAUAAGAUGAUCCCUCACUAAAAUUUCAAGAGAUGUGUUCCCCCUAAUUGUGCACCGUUGCGAAGGCUCGUUGUUUCGAAGCACCACGUGAUGAUCGGGUGUGAUAGAUUCUAACGUUCGCAUACAACGGGUGUAAGCCAGAUUUACACAUGCGAAACACUUAGGUUGACUUGACGAGCCUAGCAUGUACAGACAUGGCCUCGGAACACAAGAGACCGAGGUCGAACAUGAGUCGUAUAGUAGAUACGAUCAACAUGGAGAUGUUCACAGUUGAUGACUAGUCCGUCUCACGUGAUGAUCGAACACGGUCUAGUCGAUUCGGAUCAUGUAUCACUUAGAUGACUAGAGGGAUGUCUAUCUAAGUGGAAGUUCAUUAAAUAAUCAGAUGAACUUAAUUAUCAUGAACAUAGUCAAAAGGUCUUUGCAAAUUAUGCCGUAGCUUACGCUUUGGUUCUACUGUUUAAGAUAUGUUCCUAGAGAAAAUUUAGUUGAAAGUUGAUAGUAGAAAUUAUGCGGACUGGGUCCCUAAACUGAGGAUUAUCCUCAUUUCUGCGCAGAAGGCUUAUGUCCUUAAUGCACCGCUCGGUGUGUGAACCUCGAGCGUCAUCUGUGGAUAUUGCGAACAUCUGACUUGCACGUUUUGAUGACUACGUGAUAGUUCAGUGUGUAAUGCUAACGGUUUAGAAUUGAGGCGCCAAAGACAUUUUUGAAACGUCGCAGAACAUAUGAGAUGUUCCAAAGACUGAAAUUGGGAUUUCAGACUAGUGCCCACGUCAAGAGGUAUAGAGACCCCUGACAAGUUUCUUAAGCCUGCAACUAAGGAGAAAAGCUCAAUCGUUGAGCAUGUGCUCAGAUUGUCUGAGUACUACAAUCGCUUGAAUCGAGUGGGAGUUAAUCUUCCAGAUAAGAUAGUUAUGGUUCUCCAUAGUCACUGCCACCAAGCUAUUAGAGCUUCGUGAUGAACUAUAACAUAUCAGGGAUAGACAUGAUGAUCCUUGAGCUAUUCGCUAUGUUUGACACCACGAAAGUAGAAAUCAAGUAGGAGCAUCAAUUGUUGAUGGUUAGUAAAACCACUAGUUUCAAGAAGGGCAAGGGAAAGAAGGGAUACUUCAUGAAACGGCAAAUCAGUUGCUGCUUGAACCCAAACCCGAGACUAAGUGCUUCUGUAAUGAGGGGAACGGUCACUGAAGCAGAACUACCCUAGAUACUUGGUAGAUGAGAAGGUAGGCAAGGUCGACAGAAGUAUAUUGGAUAUACAUUAUAUUAAUGUGUACUUUACUAGUACUCCUAGUAGCACCAGGGUAUUAGAUACCGGUUCGGUUGCUAAGUGUUGGUAACUCGAAAUAAAAGGCUACGGAAUAAACGGAGACUAGCUAAAGGUGAGAUGACGAUAUGUGUUGGAAGUGUUUCCAAGGUUGAUGUGAUCAAGCAUCGCAUGCUCCCUCUACCAUCGAGAUUGGUGUUAAACCUAAAUAAUUGUUAUUUGGUGUUUGCGUUGAGCAUAGACAUGAUUGGAUUAUCUUUAUCGCAAUACAGUUAUUCAUGUAAGGAGAAUAAUGGUUACUCUGUCUAUUUGAAUAAUAGCUUCAAUGGUCUUGCACCUAAAAUGAAUGGUUUAUUGAAUCUCGAUCGUAGUGAUACACAUGUUCAUACCAAAAGAUAUAAGAUAGUAAUGAUAGUACCACAUACUUGUGGCACUGCCACUUGAGUCAUAUUGGUAUUAAACGCAUGAAGAAGCUCCAUGUUGAUGCAUCUUUGGACUCGCUCGUUUUUGAAAAGAUUGAGACAUGCGAACCAUGUCUAUUAGUAUAUAUGCAUGAAGAAAGUCCAUACAGAUGGAUCGUUUGGACUCACUUGAUUUUGAAUCACUUGAGACAUGCAAAUCAUACCACAUGGGCAAGAUGACUGAAAGGCCUCGUUUUCAGUAAGAUGGAACAAGAAAGCAACUUGUUGGAAGUAAUACAUUUUGAUGUGUGCAGUCCAAUGAGUGCUGAGGCAUGCGGUGGAUAUCGUUAUGUUCUUGCUUCACAGAUGAUUUGAGUAGAUGCUGAGUAUAUUUACUUGAUGAAACACAAGUCUGAAUUAUUGAAAGGUUCAAGUAAUUUCAGAGUGAAGUUGAAGAUCGUCGUGACAAGAGGAUAAAAUGUCUGUGAUAUGAUCAUAGAGAUGAAUAUCUGAGUUACGAGUUUGGCACACAAUUAAGAAAUUGUGGAAAUUGUUUCACGACUAAUACCGCCUGGAACACCAUAGUGUGAUGGUGUGUCCGAACAUCAUAACUGCACCCUAUUGGAUAUGGUGCAUACCAUGAUGUCUCUUAUCGAAUUACACUAUCGUUUAUGGGUUAGGCAUUAGAGACAACCGCAUUCACUUUAAAUAGGGCACCACGCAAUUCCGUUGAGACGACACCGUAUGAACUAUGGUUUAGAGAAACCUAAGCUGUCGUUUCUUAAAAGUCUGGGGCUGCGACGCUUAUGUGGAAAAGUUUCAGGCUGAUAAGCUCGAACCCAAAGCGGAUAAAUGCAUCUUCAUAGAAUACCCAAAACAGUUGGGUAUACCUCCUAUUUCAGAUCCGGAAGCAAAGUGAUUGUUUCUAGAAACAGGUCCUUUCUCGAGGAAAAGUUUCUCUCGAAAGAAUUGAGUGGGAGGAUGGUGGAGACUUGAUGAGGUUAUUGAACCAUGACUUCAACUAGUGUGUAGCAGGGCACAGGAAGUUGUUCCUGUGGCACCUACACCAAUUGAAGUGGAAGCUUAUGAUAGUGAUCAUGAAACUUCGGAUCAAGUCACUACCAAACCUCGUAGGACGACAAGGAUGCAUGCUACUUCAGAGUGGUACGUAAUCCUGUCUUGGAAGUCAUGUUGCUAGACAACAAUGAACCUACGAGCUAUGGAGAAGCGAUGAUGGGCCCGGAUUCCGACGAAUGGCUCGAGGCCAUAAAAUCCGAGAGAGGAUCCAUGUAUAAAAACAAAGUGUAGACUUUGGAAGAACUACUUGAUGGUCGUAAGGCUGUUGGGUGCAGAUGGAUUUUAAAAGGAAGACAUACAAUGAUGGUAAGUGUCACCAUUAAGAAAGCUCGACUUGUCGUUAAGAUGUUUUCCGGCAAGUUCAAGGAGUUGAUUGCAAUGAGACUUUCUCACUCGUAGCGAUGCUAAGAGUCUGUUGGAAUUAUAUUAGCAGUUACUGCAUUAUUUAUGAAAUCUUGCAGAUAGGAUGUCAAAACAUUGUUUCCUCGACGAUUUUCUUGAGGAAAGGUUGUAUGUGAUACAACCAGAAGGUUUUGUCAAUCCUGAAAGAUGCUAACAAGUAUGCAAAGCUCCAGCAAUCCUUCUAAGGAUUGGAGUAAGCAUCUCGGAGUUGGAAUGUACGCUUUGAUGAGAUGAUCAAAGAUUUUGGGUUUAUACAAAGUUUACGAGAAACUUGUAUUUCCAAAGAAGUGAGUGGGAGCACUAUAGAAUUUCUGAUGAGUAUAUGUUGUUGACAUAUUGAUGAUCAGAAAUGAUGUAGAAUUUCUGGAAAGCAUACAGGGUUAUUUGAAAAGUGUUUUUCAAUGGAAAACCUGGAUUAAGCUACUUGAACAUUGAGCAUCAAGAUCUAUAAGGAUAGAUCAAAAACGCUUAAUAGUACUUUCAAAUGAAUACAUACCAUGACAAGAUUUUGAAGGAGUUCAAAAUAGAUCAGCAAAGAAGGAGUUCUUGGCUGUGUUACAAGGUGUGAGUAUUGAGUAAGAUUCAAGACCUGACCACGGCAGAAGAGAGAGAAAGGACGAAGGUCGUCCCCUAUGCUUUAGACGUAGGCUCUACAGUAUGAUAUGCUGUGUACCGCACCUGAAGUGUGCCUUGCCAUGAGUUAGUCAAGGGGUACAAUAGUGAUCCAGGAAGGGAUCACAUGACAGCGGUCGAACUUAUCCUUAGUAUCUAGUGGACUAAGGAAUUUUCUCGAUUAUGGAGGUGGAAAAGGAGUUCGUCGUAAAGGGUCACGUCGAUGCAAACUUUGACACUAAUCCGGAUGACUCUGAGUAGUAAACCGGAUUCGUAUAGUAGAGCAGUUAUUUGGAAUAACUCCAAGUAGCGCGUGGUAGCUGCAUCUACAAGAUGACAUAGAGAUUUGUAAAGCACACACGGAUCUGAGUGUUGCAGACCCGUUGACUAAAACCUCUCUCGUAAGCAUAACAUGAUCAAACCCUAGAACUCAUUGAGUGUUAAUCACAUGGUUAUGUGAACUAGAUUAUUGACUCUAGUAAACUCUUGGGUAUUAGUCACAUGGCGAUGUGAACUUUGAGUGUUAAUCACAUGGUGAUGUGAACUAGAUUAUUGACUCUAGUGCAAGUGGGAGACUGUUGGAAAUAUGCCCUAGAGGUAAUAAUAAAAUGGUUAUUAUUAUAUUUCCUUGUUCAUGAUAAUUGUCUAUUGUUCAUGCUAUAAUUGUAUUAACUGGAAACCGUAAUACAUGUGUGAAUACAUAGACCACAACAUGUCCCUAGUAAACCUCUAGUUGACUAGCUCGUUGAUCAAUAGAUGGUUAUGGUUUUCUGACCAUGGACAUUGGAUGUCAUUGAUAACGGGAUCACAUCAUUAGGAGAAUGAUGUGAUGGACAAGACCCAAUCCUAAGCAUAGCACAAGAUCGUGUAGUUCGUUUGCUAAGAGCUUUUCUAAUGUCAAGUAUAAUUUCCUUAGACCAUGAGAUUGUGCAACUCCCGGAUACCGUAGGAAUGCUUUGGGUGUACCAAACGUCACAACGUAUCUGGGUGGCUAUAAAGGUGCACUACAGGUAUCUCCAAAAGUGUCUGUUGGGUUGGCUCGGAUCGAGACUGGGAUUUGUCACUCCGUAUGACGCAGAGGUAUCUCUAGGCCCACUCGGUAUUGCAUCAUCAUAAUGAGCUCAAUGUGACUAAGUAGUUAGUCACGGGAUCAUGCAUUACGGAACGAGUAAAGUGACUUGCCGGUAACGAGAUUGAACGAGGUAUUGGGAUACCGACGAUCGAAUCUCGGGCAAGUAACGUACCGAUUGACAAAGGGAAUUGUAUACGGGAUUGCUUGAAUCCUCGACAUCGUGGUUCAUCCGAUGAGAUCAUCGUGGAACAUGUGGGAGACAACAUGGGUAUCCAGAUCCCGCUGUUGGUUAUUGGCUAGAGAGGUGUCUCGGUCAUGUCUGCAUGAUUCCCGAACCCGUAGGGUCUACACACUUAAGGUUCGGUGACGCUAGAGUUGUUAUGGGAAAUAGUAUGUGGUUACCGAAGGUUGUUCGGAGUCCCGGAUGAGAUUCCGGACAUCACGAGAAGUUCCGGAAUGGUCCGGAGGUAAAGAUUUAUAUAUGGGAAGUCACCAUACGGUCAUCGGAAAUAUUCGGGGGUAUACCGGUAUUGUACCGGGACCACCGGAGGGGUUCCGGGGGUCCACCGGGAGGGUCCACCUGCCCCGGAGGGCCUUAUGGGCUGUAGGUGGAAGGGAACCAGCCCUUAGUGGGCUGGGCGCCAACCCCCCUAGGGCCCAUGCGCCUAGGGUUUGGGGGAAACCCUAAAGGGGGCCCCCCCUUGCUUGGGGGGCAAGCCACCUCCCCCUGGCCGCCGCCCCUCCCACCAGAUGGGAUCUGAGGGGGCCGGCCCCCCUCUCCCUUGCCCCUAUAUAUAGUGGAGGGGUGGGAGGGCAGCUAUACCUUUCCCAAGGCGCAGCCCCUCCCCUCCCCAACACCUCUCCUCCUCCGCGUGUGCUUGGCGAAGCCCUGCCGGAGAACUGUCACUCCACCACCACGCCGUCGUGCUGCUGCUGGAGCCUUCUUCCUCAACCUCUCUCUCCUCCUUGCUGGAUCAAGGCGUGGGAGACGUCACCGUUCCGUACGUGUGUUGAACGCGGAGGUGCCGUCCGUUCGGCGCUUGGAUCAUCGGUGAUUUGGAUCACGACGAGUACGACUCCAUCAACCCCUUUCUUUUGAACGCUUCCGCUCGCGAUCUACAAGGGUAUGUAGAUGCACUCCUCCCCUCUCGUUGCUAGUAAACUCCAUAGAUUGAUCUGGAUGACACGUAGGAAAAUUUUGAAUUAUUGCUACGUUCCCCAACAGCACCAGCGAUCAUCGGGCUUCAAACACUUGAUGAGCUCGCCGCCUAGCUGGUUCAUAAGCUUCCCCAAAAAUUCUAUCUCCCAUGCCUCUUGGGGAGGCCAUCGAAGCUCAGCUUCAUAAAAAUGGCAGCGAGGACUCCUUGCAAAAGGACCUUCGAUGCCAAUGCCUGAAAUGGAUCGUCUCACCACCGAUAUCAGGCGCACGAGAGUGAUUGACAAGAACGCGAGUGCAGUCUUGACUACGUUGGAAUCAGACAAGGAAAUCCGCUGGCGGCAAGGUUACCUCAACCAUGAUGUCCACAGAACGAAAACGGAACUAUGAUUCAAGCGCCGCCAACAGCAUUGCCAGAGACACUGUCGGCCGAGCACCUUGCACAGUCCCAAACAAGGCAUGGCCUUGUAGCUUCCCCUCCAAAGCGUACAUGUCGUGCGUGCACAUCAGCUUGCACCGCCCCUUCUCUGGACGGUGCUUCGGCUUGCCGCGCCUCCACAUCUCCUCUGGGAGAAAGACAUGCCCUUCCUUUAUCCUAUCCAUCCCUUCUGCGCCGAAUCGAGCUAGCGGUUUGCAGGGUGUGUGGGGGGGGGGCGACGAAGACAUAAGAGAGCUAGGGAUUUCGGACUUGGGGAUGGAUCGAUUUGGGAUUUAGGGUUAGUCGAUCAGGUGCUUUUGACCAGUCGGGCACUUUCGCGAAAAAACAAAAAAAAUACUGCAGGGGACACAUUGCAAAAAUACCACCCUCACGCCUCGCUCACGUGACUUAUUUUCGCGCCAAAACUAAUCGGCUGUGGUCCUGGAUCCUAGUCAGCAUGUCACAUGUGCAACCGUUAUGGCAGAGAACGGCAAAGUGCCCACUUUGCUCAUAAAACGGAAUGCCGUGGCCAGUUCUUUACAUUGCGUUAGAUGAGUGACCAAACUGCACAUCUCGCGAGAGUUGUGUAACCAACAAUGUAUUUAUCUCUAAUAAAAUAAUACUAGACAAAAUUCUAUCCCUAUCACUCUUGAUCUUAUACUUAUAUAAAAUAAAACAAAAGCAUUUCUAGUCCGCAACGUCCUCAUAAUCGAACAACUAAGAUCAUGUAGAGAGGCGCUAAAAGUAUAUUAUCAUGCCGAGAGCAAGGGAAGCACGACAAGAGGAAAAACAACGUAAUAGAUUACUGUACAAUGCCAGCUUAAAUUUACCAACACAGAAAACCGAGAUAUGUAUCAAUUAUCAUUUGAUAGAUACCAUAGAUCAAGUUCACCGUAAUAGAUCACCUUCUCAGCGAGAGUUCAUCCACAUCGAUCAUGUCAUAACUCCUACAAAGGUAAAUUGUGUUUCACAUGACUUGCUGAUGCAAAGUUCUCAUGUAAUUUGAUAGAUUAAUGAAAAGAUUAGAUGACAUGGCUGGUUAGCUCGCUCUAAGAUUUGAGAUUGGAUCUAACGCUAGGGCGGCGUUCGGGCUAAAAUCCAGAAACAUGGCACGUUUGGGAGUUAUAGUUUCGGAUAGUAUAUUAUCAUGCUGAGAGCAGGGGAAGCACGACAAGAGGAAAAUAGCAUAUUUUGGGUUGUUGGAAUAUAUGGCUGCAGCGAAAUGACAAGGUCUUCAUAGCAAUUUGUGACCCCCGGAUAAUCAAACUAUAGUAAACCUCUGCUAAUGAUGCCACGUCACCUCGAUUACUGUUGCUAAUCCCGCGUUGGAUCAAAACUGUUCAAAUUCAUAUUUGAAUUUUCGUCAAAUAUCAAAAAUACUCAAACAUUAAAGUAAAAUGUUCGGAGUGUGCAAAUAAAUGCCUAGGUACUUAUGGUGAAGGAACCGUGCUAUUAUAAGAGGCCUAAAUAAUUAAAAGGAAUUAAAACAGAAAAGAAAUAAGGUAAAAGAAAAAAAGAAAAACUAAAACUAACAACAACAAAAUAAAAAGGGAACCUCCCCCCACAACGGCCCACUGGCCCAGCUAGCCGGCCGGCCCACGUGGCCCAUCCGGCCUCACCCCACUCCCCUUAACCCCCCUGUCCCGAAACCCUAGCGCCUCACUCCNNNNNNNNNNNNNNNNNNNNNNNNNNNNNNNNNNNNNNNNNNNNNNNNNNNNNNNNNNNNNNNNNNNNNNNNNNNNNNNNNNNNNNNNNNNNNNNNNNNNNNNNNNNNNNNNNNNNNNNNNNNNNNNNNNNNNNNNNNNNNNNNNNNNNNNNNNNNNNNNNNNNNNNNNNNNNNNNNNNNNNNNNNNNNNNNNNNNNNNNNNNNNNNNNNNNNNNNNNNNNNNNNNNNNNNNNNNNNNNNNNNNNNNNNNNNNNNNNNNNNNNNNNCCCCCUCCCGAUUCAGAUUGGAUCGGGACCGAUCCCAUCGACCCCCCGGCACCGUCGCCGGAUCGCCACCUUGCCGGACGCCAUCGCCGGAGCUGCCGCGCCGCUGCACCUCGUCACCGCGUCGCCGUCAUCCCCGUCUCCUCCCCGCGCCCCACCGCCCUGACCCUACGCCCCCGGUGAGGCCACGGCCUCCACUCCCUCCUCUCUGUCUCCCCCGCGCUCGGUCGCCCAUGCGCCGCGCCCGCACACAGUCGCGGUGCCCCUGGUCGCCGUUGUGUCGCCGCUCCCCUGCUGCAUCUGCUAACCCGGCUCCCCCUCGUCACAUCGGUCGCGCCCGACCGUUUCUACCCACGACCACCGCGCCUCCACGUCCCACUUCUGGCGCCGUCGCCGUGUCCGGCAACACCCGCGCGCAACCACGGGCGCCCAGCCACUCGCCUGUGCUUCCCCGGCUCUACACGCACCCGCAGUCGACAGCGCGCGCGCUACCGAACCUCCUCGUCGCUCGCCGCUUCCUCCGCGGUGCCGUUCGAGUCCGUCCCGAUCGGCCUCCGCCUCCCUGUCGCCGGCCCCGCCUCGGGCUGCCGUGCCCGCUGCCGCCCAGGCUCGGCCUUCGCUCGGGCGCCCGCACGCCCCAGCAACCGAGCGGGCUGGUGCGUGCGCCCGUUUGGCCCCUUUAGGCCAUUGACAACGGGCCCCACCCCUAGAACUUUUAUAUAAAUAAUAAUAAUAAAUAAAAUUAAUUAAUUAAUAAUUUAAUUAAUUAAUUAAUUAACCUAAUUAAUUGUAAUUAAUAAACCUAAUCAUUUUAGUUAGACUAACUAAACCAGAUUAGUUAGUCUUAGUCUAUGACAUGUGGGGCCCUUCUGUUAGUUUGACCAGUCAACGGUCAAUGCUGACCGCUGAUGUCAUGAUGACGCAAUAAACAUUUUUGAAUAAAUUAAUACUAAUAAUUUAUAAAUUGAUUAAAACUUUUAGAAUUAAUAUAAAAUAAACGGUAGUUCGGAUGAAAAAACUUUAUACAUGAAAGUUGCUCAGAACAACGAGACGAAUCCGGAUACGUAGCCCGUUCGUCCGCCACACGUCCCUAGCAUAGUGAACCUGCAACAUUUCACCUCCGGUUCAUCUGUCCGAAAACGCGAAACACCGGGGAUACUUUCCCGGAUGUUUCCCCCUUUCGCCGGUAUCACCUACUACCGCGUUAGGGCUCACCUAACACCGCCGUUUGCUUUGUCAUGCAUCGUUAUGCAUCUGUUUGCAUUGUAUUCAUUGUUUCUUCCCCCUCUUCUCUCUGGUAGACUACGAGACCGACGCCGCUGCUGGUCCCCGACCGACUACGCUGUUGACGACCCCUCCUUCUUGCCAGAGCAACCAGGCAAGCCCCCCUUGAUCACCAGAUAUCGCCUAUUCUUCUCUAUACUGCUUGCAUUAGAGUAGUGUAGCAUGUUACUGCUUUCGGUUAAUCCUAUUCUGCUGCAUAGCCUGUGCUACAGUUGUUACCCUUACCUGCUAUCCUACUGCUUAGUAUAGGAUGCUAGUGUUCCAUCAGUGGCCCUACACUCUUGUCCGUCUGCCAUGCUAUACUACUGGGUCGUGAUCUUCGGGAGGUGAUCACGGGUAUAUACUAUGUACUUUAUAUACAUGGCACAUGUGGUGACUAAAGUCGGGUCAGCUCGUUGAGUACCCGCAAGUGAUUCUGAUGAGGGGGCUGAAAGGACAGGUGGCUCCAUCCCGGUAGAGGUGGGCCUGGGUUCCUGACGGCCCCCGACUAUUACGUUGUGGCGGAGCGACAGGGCAGGUUGAGACCACCUAGGAGAGAGGUGGGCCUGGCCCUGGUCGGCAUCCGCGGAUACUUAAAAAUAACACGCUUAACGAGUUCUUGGUAUUUGGUCUGAGUCUGGCCAUUUGGUCUAUACGCACUAAUCAACUACGCGGGAACAGUUAUGGGCACUCGACGUCGUGGUAUCAGCCGAAGCCUUCUUGACGUCAGCGACUGAGCAGCGCACGCCGGAUUGGACUGGAACGCCUGCUAGGCUAGGUCUGCUUCCGGCCGCGUUCGCAACGUGCAGGUGUGCAAUGGGCGAUGGGCCCAGACCCCUGCACCAUAGGAUUUAGACCGGCGUGCUGACCUCUCUGUUGUGCCUAGGUGGGGCUGCAACGUGUUGAUCUUCCGAGGCCGGGCAUGACCCAGGAAAGUGUGUCCGGCCAAAUGGGAUCGAGCGUGUUGGGUUAUGUGGUGCACCCCUGCAGGGAAGUUUAUCUAUUCGAAUAGCCGUGUCCCUCGGUAAAGGGACGACCCGAAGUUGUACCUUGACCUUAUGACAACUAGAACCGGAUACUUAAUAAAACACACCCUUCCAAGUGCCAGAUAUAACCCGGUGAUCGCUCUCUAACAGGGCGACGAGGAGGGGAUCGCCGGGUAGGAUUAUGCUAUGCGAUGCUACUUGGUGAACUUACCAUCUACUUGUUGGAAAUAUGCCCUAGAGGCAAUAAUAAAUGGUUAUUAUUAUAUUUCUUUGUUCAUGGUAAUUGUCUAUUGUUCAUGCUUUGAUUGUGUUAUCCGGAAAUCGUAAUGCAUGUGUGAAUACAUAGACCACAACGUGUCCCUAGUAAGCCUCUAGUUGACUAGCUCGUUGAUCAACAGAUAGUCAUGGUUUCCUGACUAUGGACAUUGGAUGUCAUUGAUAACGCGAUCACAUCAUUAGGAGAAUGAUGUGAUGGACAAGACCCAAUCCUAAGCAUAGCUCAAAGAUCGUGUAGUUCGUUUGCUAGAGCUUUUCCAAUGUCAAGUAUCUUCUCCUUAGACCAUGAGAUCGUGCAACUCCCGGAUACCGUAGGAGUACUUUGGGUGUGCCAAACGUCACAACGUAACUGGGUGACUAUAAAGGUACACUACGGGUAUCUCCGAAAGUGUCUGUUGGGUUGGCACGGAUCGAGACUGGGAUUUGUCACUCCGUAUGACGGAGAGGUAUCUCUGGGCCCACUCGGUAAUGCAUCAUCAUAAUGAGCUCAAUGUGACUAAGGAGUUAGUCACGGGAUCAUGCAUUACGGUACGAGUAAAGAGACUUGCCGGUAACGAGAUUGAACAAGGUAUUGGGAUACCGACGAUCGAAUCUCGGGCAAGUAACAUACCGAUUGACAAAGGGAAUUGUAUACGGGAUUGAUUGAAUCCUCGACAUCGUGGUUCAUCCGAUGAGAUCAUCGUGGAACAUGUGGGAGCCAACAUGGGUAUCCAGAUCCCGCUGUUGGUUAUUGACCGGAGAGGCGUCUCGGUCAUGUAUGCAUGUCUCCCGAACCCGUAGGGUCUACACACUUAAGGUUCGGUGACGCUAGAGUUGUAGAGAUAUGAGUAUCCGGAAACCCGAAAGUUGUUCGUAGUCCCGGAUGAGAUCCCAGACGUCACGAGGAGUUCCAGAAUGGUCCGGAGGUGAAGAAUUAUAUAUAGGAAGUCCAGUUUCGGCCACCGGGAAAGUUUCGGAGGUUAUCGGUAUUGUACCGGGACCACCGGAAGGGUCCCGGGGGUCCACCGGGUGGGGCCACCUAUCCCGGAGGGCCCCAUGGGCUGAAGUGGGAAGGGAACCAGCCCUUAGUGGGCUGGGGCGCCCCCCAUGGGCCUCCCCCCUGCGCCUAGGGUUGGAAACCCUAGGGUGGAGGGGCGCCCCACUUGACUUGGGGGGGAAGUUUCCCCCCUUGGCCGCCCCCCCAUAGAUGGGUUCUUGGCCGGCGCCCCCCCUCCNNNNNNNNNNNNNNNNNNNNNNNNNNNNNNNNNNNNNNNNNNNNNNNNNNNNNNNNNNNNNNNNNNNNNNNNNNNNNNNNNNNNNNNNNNNNNNNNNNNNNNNNNNNNNNNNNNNNNNNNNNNNNNNGAGGGAGGGAAGCAAUACCACAGCCUUUGGCGCCUCCCUCCUCCCCUGCAACACCUCUCCCUCUCGUAGAAGCUUGGCGAAGCCCUGCCGAGAUCCCGCUACGUCCACCACCACGCCGUCGUGCUGCUGGAUCUCCAUAAACCUCUACUUCCCCCUUGCUGGAUCAAGAAGGAGGAGAACGUCGCUGCUCCAUACGUGUGUUGAACGCGGAGGUGCCGUCCGUUCGGCACUCGGUCAUCGGUGAUUUGGAUCACGGCGAGUACGACUCCAUCAACGUCGUUCAUUGGAACGCUUCCGCUCCCGAUCUACAAGGGUAUGUAAAUGCACUCCUUUCCCCUCGUUGCUAGUAUACUCCAUAGAUGGAUCUUGGUGAUGCGUAGAAAAUUUUAAAAUUCUGCUACGAUCCCCAACAGUGGCAUGAUGAGCCAGGCCUAUGCGUAGUUACUAUGCACGAGUAGAACACAAAGCAGUUGUGGGUGUAGAUGUUGCCAAUUCUUCUUGCUGCUACUAGUCUUAUCUUGUUUCGGCGGUAUUGUGGGAUGAAGCGGCCCGGACCAACCUUACACGUACGCUUACGUGAGACAGGUUCCACCGACUGACAUGCACUAGUUGCAUAAGGUGGCUAGCGGGUGUCUGUCUCUCCCACUUUAGUCAGAACAGAUUCGAUGAAAAGGGUCCUUAUGAAGGGUAAAUAGAAAUUGGCAUAUCACGUUGUGGUUUUACGUAGGUAAGAAACGUUCUUGCUAGAAACCUAUACAAGCCACGUAAAAACUUGCAACAACAAUUAGAGGACGUCUAACUUGUUUUUGCAGCAUGUGCUAUGUGAUGUGAUAUGGACAGAAGAUGUGAUGAAUGAUAUAUGUGAUGUAUGAGAUUGAUCAUAUUCUUGUAAUAGGAAUCACGACUUGCAUGUCGAUGAGUAUGACAACCGGCAGGAGCCAUAGGAGUUGUCUUUAUUAUUUUGUAUGACCUGCGUGUCAUUGAAUAACGCCAUGUAAAUUACUUUACUUUAUUGCUAAACGCGUUUGCCAAAGAAGUAGAAGUAAUCGUUGGCGCGACAACUUCAUGAAGACACAAUGAUGGAGAUUAUGAUGAUGGAGAUCAUGGUGUCAUGCCGGUGACAAAGAUGAUCAUGGUGCCCCGAAGAUGGAGAUCAAAGGAGCAAAAUGAUAUUGGCCAUAUCAUGUCACUAUUUGAUUGCAUGUGAUGUUUAUCAUGUUUUUGCAUCUUAUUUGCUUAGAACGACGGUAGUAAGUAAGAUGAUUCCUUAUGAUAAUUUCAAGAAAGUGUUCCCCCUAACUGUGCACCAUUGCGAAGGUUAGUUGUUUCGAAGCACCACGUGGUGACCGGGUGUGAUAAAUUCUAACGUUCGCAUACAACGGGUGUUGACGAGCCUAGCAUGUACAGACAUGGCCUCGGGACACACGCAAUACACUUAGGUUGACUUGACGAGCCUAGCAUGUACAGACAUGGCCUCGGAACACGGAGGACCGAAAGGUCGAGCAUGAGUCGUAUAGAAGAUAUGAUCAACAUGGAGAUGUUCACCGAUCUUGACUAGUCCGUCUCACGUGAUGAUCGGACAAGGCCUAGUUAACUCGGAUCAUGUUUCACUUAGAUGACUAGAGGGAUGUGUAUCUAAGUGGGAGUUCAUUGAGUAAUUUGAUUAGAUGAACUUAAUUAUCAUGAACUUAGUCUAAAAUCUUUACAAUAUGUCUUGUAGAUCAAAUGGCCCAGGUUGUCCUCAACUUCAACGCGUUCCUAGAGAAAACCAAGCUAAAAGAUGAUGGCAGCAACUAUACGGACUGGGUCCGGAACCUGAGGAUCAUCCUCAUAGCUGCCAAGAAAGAUUAUGUCCUAGAAGCACCGCUAGGUGAAGCACCAAUGCCAGAGAACCAAGACGUUAUGAACGCUUGGCAAUCACAUGCUGAUGAUUACUCCCUCGUUCAGUGCGGCAUGCUUUACAUCUUAGAACCGGGUCUCCAAAAGCGUUUUGAGAAACAUGGAGCAUAUGAGAUGUUCAAAGAGCUGAAAAUGGUUUUCCAAGCUCAUGCCCGGGUCGAGGGAUAUGAAGUCUCCGACAAGUUCUUCAGCUGCAAAAUGGAGGAAAAUAGUUCUGUUAGUGAGCACAUACUCAGAAUGUCUGGGUUACACAACCGCUUGUCUCAGCUAGGAGUUAAUCUCCUGGAUGACGCGGUCAUUGACAGAAUCCUUCAGUCGCUUCCACCAAGCUACAAGAGCUUUGUGAUGAACUUCAAUAUGCAGGGGAUGGAAAAGACCAUUCCUGAGGUAUAUUCGAUGCUGAAAUCAGCGGAGGUGGAGAUCAGAAAAGAACAUCAAGUGUUGAUGGUGAAUAAAACCACUAAGUUCAAAAAGGGCAAGGGUAAGAAGAACUUCAAGAAGGACGGCAAGGGAGUUGCCGCGCCCGGUAAGCCAGUUACUGGGAAGAAGCCAAGGAAUGGACCCAAGCCUGAGACUGAGUGCUUUUAUUGCAAGGGAAGUGGUCACUGGAAGCGGAACUGCCCCAAAUACUUAGUGGACAAGAAGGCCGGCAACACCAAAGGUAUAUGUGAUAUACAUGUAAUUGAUGUGUACCUUACCAGUACUCGUAGUAGCUCCUGGGUAUUUGAUACCGGUGCGGUUGCUCAUAUUUGUAACUCAAAACAGGAACUGCGGAAUAAGCGGAGACUGGCAAAGGACGAGGUGACGAUGCGCGUCGGGAAUGGUUCCAAGGUCGAUGUGAUCGCCGUCGGCACGCUACCUCUGCAUCUACCUAUGGGAUUAGUUUUAAACCUCAAUAAUUGUUAUUUAGUGCCAGCUUUAAGCAUGAACAUUGGAUCUGGAUCUCGUUUAAUUCGAGAUGGCUACUCAUUUAAAUCCGAGAAUAAUGGUUGUUCUAUUUAUAUGAGAGAUAUGUUUUAUGGUCAUGCCCCGCUGGUCAAUGGUUUAUUCUUGAUGAAUCUCGAACAUGAUAUUACACAUAUUCAUAGUGUGAAUACCAAAAGAUGUAAAGUUGAUAACGAUAGUCCCACAUACUUGUGGCACUGCCGCCUUGGUCACAUUGGUGUCAAGCGCAUGAAGAAGCUCCAUGCAGAUGGACUUUUGGAGUCUCUUGAUUACGAAUCAUUUGACACGUGCGAACCAUGCCUCAUGGGUAAGAUGACCAAGACUCCGUUCUCCGGAACAAUGGAGCGAGCAACCAACUUAUUGGAAAUUAUACAUACCGAUGUGUGCGGUAAAAUGAGUGUUGAGGCUCGCGGAGGAUAUCGUUAUGUUCUCACUCUCACUGAUGACUUAAGUAGAUAUGGGUAUGUCUACCUAAUGAAACACAAGUCUGAAACCUUUGAAAAGUUCAAGGAAAUUCAGAGUGAGGUUGAGAAUCAACGUGACAGGAAAAUAAAAUUCUUACGAUCAGAUCGUGGUGGAGAAUAUUUAAGUCACGAAUUUGCUGCGCACUUAAGGAAAUGUGGAAUCGUUUCACAACUCACGCCGCCUAGAACACCUCAGCGAAACGGUGUGUCUGAACGUCGUAAUCGCACUCUAUUGGAUAUGGUGCGAUCUAUGAUGUCUCUUACCGAUUUACCGCUCUCAUUUUGGGGCUAUGCUUUAGAGACUGCCGCAUUCACUUUAAAUAGGGCUCCGUCGAAAUCCGUUGAGACGACACCGUAUGAAUUAUGGUUUGGGAAGAAACCUAAGCUGUCGUUUCUAAAAGUUUGGGGAUGCGAUGCUUAUGUCAAGAAACUUCAAGCUGAAAAGCUCGAACCCAAGUCGGAGAAAUGCGUCUUCAUAGGAUACCCUAAGGAAACUAUUGGGUAUACCUUCUACCUCAGAUCCGAAGGCAAGAUCUUCGCUGCCAAGAACGGGUCCUUUCUGGAGAAAGAGUUUCUCUCGAAAGAAUUGAGUGGGAGGAAAGUGGAACUUGAUGAGGUGAUAGUCACCCCUUCCGAACCGGAAAGUAGCGCAGCACGGGAAGAUGUUCCUGUGGUGCCUACACCGACUGGGGAGGAAGUUAAUGAUGAUGAUCAUGAAUCUUCGGAUCAAGUUACUGCUGAACUUCGUAGGUCCACAAGGACACGUUCCGCACCAGAGUGGUACGGCAACCCUGUCCUGGAAAUCAUGUUGUUAGACAACGGUGAACCUUCGAACUAUGAAGAAGCGAUGGCGGGCCCGGAUUCCGACAAAUGGCUAGAAGCCAUGAAAUCCGAGAUAGGAUCCAUGUAUGAAAACGAAGUAUGGACUUUGACUGACUUGCCCGAUGAUCGGCGAGCCAUAGAAAAUAAAUGGAUCUUUAAGAAGAAGACAGACGCGGAUGGUAAUGUGACCAUCUAUAAGGCUCGACUUGUCGCUAAGGGUUAUCGACAAGUUCAAGGGGUUGACUACGAUGAGACUUUCUCACCCGUAGCGAAGCUGAAGUCCGUCCGAAUCAUGUUAGCAAUUGCCGCAUACUAUGAUUAUGAGAUAUGGCAGAUGGACGUCAAAACGGCAUUCCUUAACGGCUUCCUUAAGGAAGAAUUGUAUAUGAUGCAGCCGGAAGGUUUUGUCGAUCCUAAGAAUGCUAACAAAGUAUGCAAGCUCCAGCGCUCAAUCUAUGGGAUGGUGCAAGCAUCUCGGAGUUGGAACAUUCGCUUUGAUGAGAUGAUCAAAGCGUUUGGGUUUACACAGACUUAUAGAGAAGCCUGUAUUUACAAGAAAGUGAGUGGGAGCUCUGUAGCAUUUCUCAUAUUAUAUGUGGAUGACAUACUAUUGAUGGGAAAUGAUAUAGAAUUCUUGGAAAGUAUAAAGGCCUAUUUGAAUAAGUGUUUUUCAAUGAAGGACCUUGGAGAAGCUGCUUAUAUAUUAGGCAUCAAGAUCUAUAGAGAUAGAUCAAGACGCCUCAUUGGUCUUUCACAGAGUACGUACCUUGACAAGAUAUUGAAGAAGUUCAAUAUGGAUCAGUCCAAGAAGGGGUUCUUGCCUGUAUUGCAAGGUGUGCAAUUGAGCACGGCUCAAUGCCCGACCACGGCAGAAGAUAGAGAAAAGAUGAGUGUCAUCCCCUAUGCCUCGGCCAUAGGGUCUAUUAUGUAUGCCAUGCUGUGUACCAGACCUGAUGUAAACCUUGUCGUAAGUUUGGUAGGAAGGUACCAAAGUAAUCCCGGCAUGGAACACUGGACAGCGGUCAAGAAUAUCCUGAAGUACCUGAAGAGGACUAAGGAUAUGUUUCUCGUUUAUGGAGGUGACGAAGAGCUCGUCGUAAAGGGUUACGUCGACGCUAGCUUCGACACAGAUCCGGAUGACUCGAAGUCACAAACCGGAUACGUGUAUAUUUUGAAUAGAGGAGCAGUAAGCAGGUGCAGUUGCAAGCAAAGCGUCGUGGCGGGAUCUACAUGUGAAGCGGAGUACAUGGCAGCCUCGGAGGCAGCACAGGAAGCAGUCUGGAUGAAGGAGUUCAUUACCGACCUAGGGGUGAUUCCCAAUGCGUCGGGCCCGAUGACUCUCUUCUGUGAAAACACUGGAGCUAUUGCCCCUGCGAAGGAGCCCAGGUUUCACAGGAAGACCAGGCAUAUCAAGCGUCGCUUCAACUCCAUUCGUGAAAGUGUUCAAAAUGGAGACAUAGAUAUUUGUAAAGUACAUACGGACCUGAAUGUAGCAGAUCCGUUGACUAAACCUCUCCCUAGAGCAAAACAUGAUCAACACCAGGACGCUAUGGGUGUUCGAUUCAUCACAAUGUAACUAGAUUAUUGACUCUAGUGCAAGUGGGAGACUGUUAGAAAUAUGCCCUAGAGGCAAUAAUAAAUGGUUAUUAUUAUAUUUCUUUGUUCGUGGUAAUUGUCUAUUGUUCGUGCUUUGAUUGUAUUAUCCGGAAAUCGUAAUGCAUGUGUGAAUACAUAGACCACAACGUGUCCCUAGUAAGCCUCUAGUUGACUAGCUUGUUGAUCAACAGAUAGUCAUGGUUUCCUGACUAUGGACAUUGGAUGUCAUUGAUAACAGGAUCACAUCAUUAGGAGAAUGAUGUGAUGGACAAGACCCAAUCCUAAGCAUAGCUCAAAGAUCGUGUAGUUCGUUUGCUAGAGCUUUUCCAAUGUCAAGUAUCUUCUCCUUAGACCAUGAGAUCGUGCAACUCCCGGAUACCGUAGGAGUACUUUGGGUGUGCCAAACGUCACAACGUAACUGGGUGACUAUAAAGGUACACUACGGGUAUCUCCGAAAGUGUCUGUUGGGUUGGCACGGAUCGAGACUGGGAUUUGUCACUCCGUAUGAUGGAGAGGUAUCUCUGGGCCCACUCGGUAAUGCAUCAUCAUAAUGAGCUCAAUGUGACUAAGGAGUUAGUCACGGUAUCUCCCGAACCCGUAGGGUCUACACACUUAAGGUUUGGUGACGCUUGGGUUGUAGAGAUAUGAGUAUGCGGAAACCUGAAAGUUGUUCGGAGUCCCGGAUGAGAUCCCGGACGUCACGAGGAGUUCCGGAAUGGUCCGGAGGUGAAGAAUUAUAUAUAGGAAGUCCAGUUUCGGCCACCGGGAAAGUUUCGGAGGUUAUCGGUAUUGUACCGGGACCACCGGAAGGGUCCCGGGGGUCCACCGGGUGGGGCCACCUAUCCCGGAGGGCCCCAUGGGCUGAAGUGGGAAGGGAACCAGCCCUUAGUGGGCUGGGGCGCCCCCCAUGGGCCUCCCCCCUGCGCCUAGGGUUGGAAACCCUAGGGUGGAGGGGCGCCCCACUUGACUUGGGGGGGAAGUUUCCCCCCUUGGCCGCCCCCCCAUAGAUGGGUUCUUGGCCGGCGCCCCCCCUCCNNNNNNNNNNNNNNNNNNNNNNNNNNNNNNNNNNNNNNNNNNNNNNNNNNNNNNNNNNNNNNNNNNNNNNNNNNNNNNNNNNNNNNNNNNNNNNNNNNNNNNNNNNNNNNNNNNNNNNNNNNNNNNNNNNNNNNNNNNNNNNNNNNNNNNNNNNNNNNNNNNNNNNNNNNNNNNNNNNNNNNNNNNNNNNNNNNNNNNNNNNNNNNNNNNNNNNNNNNNNNNNNNNNNNNNNNNNNNNNNNNNNNNNNNNNNNNNNNNNNNNNNNNNNNNNNNNNNNNNNNNNNNNNNNNNNNNNNNNNNNNNNNNNNNNNNNNNNNNNNNNNNNNNNNNNNNNNNNNNNNNNNNNNNNNNNNNNNNNNNNNNNNNNNNNNNNNNNNNNNNNNNNNNNNNNNNNNNNNNNNNNNNNNNNNNNNNNNNNNNNNNNNNNNGCUACAUCCACCACCACGCCGUCGUGCUGCUGGAUCUCCAUCAACCUCUCCUUCCCCCUUGCUGGAUCAAGAAGGAGGAGAACGUCGCUGCUCCGUACGUGUGUUGAACGCGGAGGUGCCGUCCGUUCGGCACUCGGUCAUCGGUGAUUUGGAUCACGGCGAGUACGACUCCAUCAACCUCGUUCAUUGGAACGCUUCCGCUCGCGAUCUACGAGGGUAUGUAGAUGCACUCCUUUCCCCGUUGCUAGUAUACUCCAUAGAUGGAUCUUGGUGGUGCGUAGAAAAUUUUAAAAUUCUGCUACGAUCCCCAACACUACUCUCUUCUACAUGCUGCAAGAUGGAGGUGGCCUGAAGCGUAGUCUUCGACAGGAUUAGCUAUCCCCCUCUUAUUCUGGCAUUCUGCAGUUCAGUCCACCGAUAUGGCCCUUUACAGAUAUACCCAUGCAUAUGUAGUGUAGCUCCUUGCUUGCGAGUACUUUGGAUGAGUACUCACGGUUGCUUUUCUCCCUCUUUUCCCCUUUCCCUUCUACCUGGUUGUCGCACCCAGAUGCCGGAGCCCAGGAGCCAGACGCCACCGUCGAUGAUGACUCCUACUACACCGGAGGUGCCUACUACUACGUGCAGGCCACUGCCGACGACCAGGAGUAGUUUAGGAGGAUCCCAGGCAGGAGGCCUGCGCCUCUUUCGAUCUGUAUCCUAGUUUGUGCUAGCCAUCUUAUGGCAACUUGUUUAACUUAUGUCUGUACUCAGAUAUUAUUGCUUCCGCUGACUCUUGUGUUUUCGAGCUUAUGUAUUCGAGCCUUCGAGGCCCUGGCUUGUAAUAUAAAGCUUGUUUUAUUUUAAUUUGUGUCUAGAGUUGUGUUGUGAUAUCUUCCCGUGAGUCCUCGAUCUUGAUCGUACACAUUUGCGUGUAUGAUUAGUGUACGAUUGAAUCGGGGGCGCCACAAGUUGGUAUCAGAGCCGACUGCCUGUAGGAAUCCCCCUUCCACACUCCUUGGCCGAAGUUGAGUCUAGUCAAUUGCCAAACUUUUACUAACAUGGCUGUGUGGCUUACGGGCCCACGUCGCCAUUGGGUGGUAUUAGGAUCUUUUAUUCUCGACCUAUACUCUGGGACUCUGAUCUCUCUUCUAUUCGGGUUAAAUGAUUUACUAAAUCCAACUCUAGGUUCUCGUAACUACUUUCUCCCGGAGAGCCCCUUAUUACAGAUGAUCGCCUGCUGCCCCAGGAGAUUCCGAAGAUACUCUACGAUGUUCUCUCGACACUUUGUGCCAUCGUUUUAGCAAUUCCCUUCCAUCGAUAAACCCGAUGGAUAACCACGUACACUUGUCAUUCAUACAAUCAUUCCCCGUUGAUCUUGUUAUUACAAGAUACCCCGGCAUUCUCUCUAUUGCUCCGAGAAUCCUUUGUGCCUACUGCCUUGCAGUUUCUUCUCGCCAGAAUACACCUACAAAUUAAUCCUCACACAUACCAAGGAUUUGUUUCUCCUCAGUUGUUCGUGUGUUUCACAAAAGUCUUCGAAAUACUAUUCAAUCUUUCGAAAAUCCUGUGUAGCCUGUUAUUCUUGAAAUUCUUGCCUGCUUACAUUAUGGUUAAUUCCAUAUGGCUAGUAGUCCUUGUUAACAUCCCUUGUCUUAGUCAUUUUGAACCUAUUGAUUCAAUAUGUGCGUACGCACGCAGUCAUCAGGUUAUCCUUCUUAAAAUUAUCUUUCUGAUUCAGACGUCAUUCCUGACAUGAGUUGGUUCUUGGCAAUUCAAACCUUUAUUGAUUGUCCAACUAAGUGUUUUCAACUUAUCCAUCCUUGAUCAGAGCGUCUGCUUCUGAUCCUUCGUUUUGGAAACCAUAAUUUCUUUCUAUUUAAGCAUCAGACUAAUCAGGUGAUUCUUGAAUCUGAUGCCUCUGCAUUCUUACUUCCUCUGAGUGAGUACCGAUACUCACAUCAGCUCCGUUGUGGAUCGCCCGAUCCAUUGUUGGAUUUUUUUUAUCCGACAAUGUCCUUCUUAUUCAAUCACCUUGUGAGUUCUUCCCCUGAUACAUAAUGCCUUUGGUAAACUGUAUCCUCUGCUUGGCCAACCAUGCUCUGCUUUCGAGCUUGUGUAUUUACUUUUGAAACUUAUGGUAUAUGUUACUAAGAUGCCCGAUGGGUUGAACCUAUGCCUUCCCCAAAUCCGUGAGAACCCGAAAGUUUUCACAUGUCAUACUCUUCCGGUGUUCUACCAGAUAAAAUUCCAACACUACAGUUUUAUCAAAGAGGGAGGUGAAUGAAAUGUUAUGCAUUAAAGAAGUGGGAGUCGACCAUGAACUUUGUGUUCAUGCCCAUGAAAAUGAUGUAGACCGCCUCGGAAGCUUCUUGCAAAAUGAUUAUCCAGCUGUAUGAUUCUUUCGGUAUUCUUGAAUUGAUUCCUUACAGUUAUGGUUCUGACCAUGCUGUCCUGAUCUGAUAUAUCUGAUGGGAAUUCAUUCCAGUGCCUCGUCUAUUUUUGGCAAGGUUGAAGUAUCUGCUAUCACGGGUCAAUGACCCGGUUCUACUUCUAUCAUGUUCUACCUUCGAGUAUUACCCCCUGGUAUCUCGAAGAUGUCUGGCCAUUGCACCACAUCUUACUAACUUUGUUGAAGUAAUGUCUUUCCUUGUCGUAAUCACUCUACGGUUUCUGGAUUGUUGUCAACCGAGGACACCGACUAGUGAAAUUAUUCCCCACUACAAAUCAAAUACCCCUAGUAUUUUUACUGGGAAAUUCUGAACCCAAUCUGGUCAUUCCUAGACUAUCGGCUGCAUCCUGGUCUUCCUAUCUUUAACUGUGCUACCUCGUCCUUCUCUGGUGCACGAAUUCUUCAGUGUGUGAGCACGACUUACGUCGAGAUUUCAACAUCAUGUUGCUUGACUUGAAAGGCAACUUUGGUUCCGAGCUUGCAUCUUAUAUAUUGAUCCUAUAACUUGCCACUUUGUCAUUUCCUUGCUUGUUGCCGUUCUUGUUGGAUUGCAUCCUCUUGAAACCUCCCGGCAAAUGUGUCGGAUCACCUUCAACUCUUUGACUUCUUCUGAGAUGUCAACUGUGAUCAUGAUGAGAAAUACCAUCCUUGCCCUCGAUGAUUUUUAUUAUCAUCGACAACACCCUUGACUUCCUUUCAUCGCAAACUUGUCCACCUUAUGAAUACAACGUGCUCUCCAGCUAGUGUUGUGUUCUGCCUUGAAGAAUUACUGUCUUUUCUAUCGAGAAUGUUGUGGGGAUUGCUCCACCUCUUAAGAAUUCUUGGUAUAGUGAUACUUCUCACCGUCACCAUUCUUUCCUGGUCCUCUUGUUGAUUCCAACGGGUACCAACAAGUGAACGGUGUUGUUUGGAUUCUGCCCUUCUACCAACCCUAUUGCUUUCGAGUUAAUGGUCGGCCGUUCAUUCUUAGACUAUUGGUUAUUGGAUCACCAUUCCGACAUUGGUCGUGCAACCCAACCCAUAUUUCGGGCACACCUUUCAAUCAAUGUUUAAUUGUGUAUGUUUUCCUCGAGCAUACUUCAUUAUAUCAUUUGGUCUGACAAAUGUUAUCUCCUUAUCCACAUAAUUGUGGCGAUCCAUCUUUUUGGAUAUUUGUUGAAUUAUCGCUGAGUCCAUCAACCACCUCCUCAUCCUCUCCUUGGCUUAAUGAUGAACCCUUGUUCGGAACUCGCGUCCAUAGUUCAUUUCCCGAUAAUCAUAUAAUGUCAUCUCAUUAAUUUGCGUUGCACCUUUUCUUCUCAGGCAUCCCGUGUCUGAGGUAUCUUGACACCAAUCAGAGCUGAAUCUCGGUCAGCUAUGAUGGUUGGAACAUAUUUUCAAGAGUUAUAACAUUGAUCCUCAUAUGACCCGGUAAGGUGAUGUCAUGCCUAGCACGCCUGACCGGAGGACCUAGUGUUAUAGUUUCCUUUUUAACAAGGUUACCCUUUUUUUUAUGAGGAAAUUGAAUGCCUUGUUUAAUAAGUUUAUCCUGAUGGAUCAUUUGUGUAUCCAAAGUUUGUCCUUUGCUUGAAGACCAUGUCAAUGCUAUCUCGAAGCAUGUCUGUGGUACUCCGAUUUUCAACAAGAACAUUUGAAGCCCAAUGCUAAAUGUUUCCUGCUCAACUAUCCAAACACCGUUGUAUGGGUAACAUCUUGAUUAAUCCUUGCCUCUUAUCUGAAUGGUUGGGUACUUGCUCUCCUAUCCUGUAUGCCAUGUUCUGCUUGUACAUGGGAAGGAUAUACUCCUAAUAAUUGUGUGUAAUCACAAUUUUCCUUUCCAUUGUUUUGUUUAACCUGAUAAUUUUAUUUUCCAUUCCAUUGUCUUCUUUAACCUUUCUUGUGGUCUAUAUGAACUAAGCAGUAAUAUUCUCCUGCUUAUGUAAACACCUCGUCGUACAACCUAGUCAGUAAGACCCUGUUACUAUUGUUGAUGACAUUUCGGUAACCACCGAUGGACGAGAACUUUGCCUAUUGGUCUGCCUCGUUUCAAUGAGCAGGAAAAUGGUUCUCUUCGUCCCUCGCCCUUGGUACCAACGAUGUUGCCAACAUAACUGAUCGGUUAUUCUCUGACAUGCCUUGCUUACAUGAUCGUGCAAGACGUCACCCCUCUUUCUACUUUUAACCCACAUGGUGGGCCCAUAACCCACAGUUCUACAGGAUCGAAACCUGACUCUCCUGUACACCCCUGUUCCUAAAGUUAUUCCUCAUGCUUGGCUUCGUAUGAAAGAUCACGAGCCACCUUCCUAGUGAUCUAUUCUGGUAUCAGACGCAAUACUUAUUCCCAUUGCUCUGAACCCCUUUCAAAUUUCGUAUCAGGCAACGAACGAUUGCCUAUGCGCUUGAAUCUUCUAUGGUGCACCUUCUUAUUUUGCUCUCGAUAAUUUCUUAAGUUUCAACUCGAGAGUUACUUUCCGCCACCUUCCCUAAUAUUAUCUACUAGAUAAGCAACCUUGUAGAGGUCUGUGCUUUUGAAGCUACCCCUUAUCCUUUUCGUAAGUACGAUCUAGAUCCCGAAGGAAGGACGACAACUUCAUCAUGAUGACCCGAAGCAGAGAAAUGAAGACCUCAAUGUAAUGGAUCGACCUCUUCGAGAAGAGCAACUAAGACCGAGAACACUCGCUAGAAUUUCGUAACUCGAACUUUCCCCCUUACACCCCUCUUAAAUCUCGGGACGAGAUUUCUUGUAGUGGAGGAGAAUUGUGACGCCCGGAUAAUCAAGCUAUAGUAAACCUCUGCUAAUGAUGCCACGUCACCUCGAUUACUGUUGCUAAUCCCGCGUUGGAUCAAAACUGUUCAAAUUCAAAUUUGAAUUUUUGUCAAACAUCAAAAAUAUUCAAACAUUAAAGUAAAAUGUUCGGAGUGUGCAAAUAAAUGCCUAGGUACUUAUGGUGAAGGAACCGUGCUAUUAUAAGAGGCCUAAAUAAUUAAAAGAAAUUAAAACAGAAAAGAAAUAAGGUAAAAAAAGAAAAAUUAAAACUAACAACAACAAAAUAAAAAGGGAACCUCCCCCCCCCCAACGGCCCACUGGCCCAGCUAGCCGGCCAGCCCACGUGGCCCAUCCGGCCUCACCCCACUCCCCUUNNNNNNNNNNNNNNNNNNNNNNNNNNNNNNNNNNNNNNNNNNNNNNNNNNNNNNNNNNNNNNNNNNNNNNNNNNNNNNNNNNNNNNNNNNNNNNNNNNNNNNNNNNNNNNNNNNNNNNNNNNNNNNNNNNNNNNNNNNNNNNNNNNNNNNNNNNNNNNNNNNNNNNNNUGCACCUCGUCACCGCGUCGCCGUCAUCCCCGUCUCCUCCCCGCGUCCCACUGCCCUGACCCUACGCCCCCGGUGAGGCCCGGCCUCCACUCCCUCCUCUCUGUCUCCCCCGCGCUCGGUCGCCCAUGCGUCGCGCCCGCGCACAGUCGCGGUGCUCCUGCCCGCCGUUGUGUCGCCGCUCCCUUGCUGCAUCUGCUAACACGGCUCCCCCUCGUCACAUCGGUCGCGCUCGACCGUUUCUACCCACGACCACCGCGCCUCCAUGUCCCACUUCUGGCGCCGUCACCGCGUUCGGCAACACCCGCGCGCAACCACGGGCGCCCAGCCACCCGCCUGUGCUUCCCCGGCUCUACACGCACCCGCAGUCGCGAGCGCGCGCGCCACCGAACCUCCUCGUCGCUCGCCGCUUCCUCCGCGGUGUCGUUCGAGUCCGUCCCGCUCGGCCUCCGCCUCCCUGUCGUCGGCCCCGCCUCGGGCUGUCGUGCCCGCUGCCGCCCAGGCUCGGCCUUCGCUCGGGCGCCCGCAUGCCCCAGCAACCGAGCGGGCUGGUGCCUGCACCUGUUUGCCAGCGCCCGUUUGGCCCCUUUGGGCCAUUGACAACGGGGCCCCACCCCUGGAACUUUUAUAUAAAUAAUAUUAAUUAAUUAAGUAAGUAAAUUAAUUAACCUAAUUAAUUGUAAUUAAUAAACCUAAUCAUUUUAGUUAGACUAACUAAACCAGAUUAGUUAGUCUUAGUCUAUGACAUGUGGGGCCCUUCUGUUAGUUUGACCAGUCAACGGUCAACGCUGACCGCUGGCGUCAUGAUGAUGCAAUAAACAUUUUCAAAUUAAAUUAAUACUAAUAAUUUAUAAAUUGAUUAAAACUUUCAAAAUUAAUAUAAAAUAAACUGUAGCUCGGAUGAAAAAACUUUAUACAUGAAAGUUGCUCAGAACGACGAGACGAAUCCGGAUACGUAGCCCGUUCGUCCGCCACACGUCCCUAGCAUAGUGAACCUGCAACAUUUCACCUCCGGUUCAUCUGUCCGAAAACGGGAAACACCGGGGAUACUUUCCCGGAUGUUUCCCCCUUUCGCCGGUAUCACCUACUACCGCGUUAGGGCUCACGUAACACCGCCGUUUGCUUUGUCAUGCAUCGUUAUGCAUCUGUUUGCAUUGUAUUCAUUGUUUCUUCCCCCUCUUCUCUCUGGUAGACUACGAGACCGACGCCGCUGCUGGUGCCCCGACCGACUACGCUGUUGACGACCCCUCCUUCUUGCCAGAGCAACCAGGCAAGCCCCCCCUUGAUCACCAGAUAUCGCCUAUUCUUCUCUAUACUGCUUGCAUUAGAGUAGUGUAGCAUGUUACUGCUUUCGGUUAAUCCUAUUCUGCUGCAUAGCCUGUCAUUGUUGCUACAGUUGUUACCCUUACCUGCUAUCCUACUGCUUAGUAUAGGAUGCUAGUGUUCCAUCAGUGGCCCUACACUCUUGUCCGUCUGCCAUGCUAUACUACUGGGCCGUGAUCACUUCGGGAGGUGAUCACGGGUAUAUACUAUAUACUUUAUAUACAUGACACAUGUGGUGACUAAAGUCGGGUCAGCUCGUUGAGUACACGCAAGUGAUUCUGAUGAGGGGGCUGACAGGACAGGUGGCUCCAUCCCGGUAGAGGUGGGCCUGGGUUCCUGACGGCCCCCGACUGUUACUUUGUGGCGGAGCGACAGGGCAGGUUGAGACCACCUAGGAGAGAGGUGGGUCUGGCCCUGGUCGGCGUCCGCGGAUACUUAAAAAUAACACGCUUAACGAGUUCUUGGUAUUUGAUCUGAGUCUGGCCAUUUGGUCUAUACGCACUAACCAACUACGCGGGAACAGUUAUGGGCACUCGACGUCGUGGUAUCAGCCGAAGCCUUCUUGACGUCAGCGACUGAGCGGCGCGCGCCGGAUUGGACUGGAACGCCUGCUAGGCUAGGUCUGCUUCCAGUCGCGUUCGCAACGUGCAGGUGUGCUAUGGGCGAUGGGCCCAGACCCCUGCGCCAUAGGAUUUAGACCGGCGUGCUGACCUCUUUGUUGUGCCUAGGUGGGGCUGCGACGUGUUGAUCUUCCGAGGCCGGGCAUGACACAGGAAAGUGUGUCCGGCCAAAUGGGAUCGAGCGUGUUGGGUUAUGUGGUGCACCCCUGCAGGGAAGUUUAUCUAUUCGAAUAGCCGUGUCCCUCGGUAAAAGGACGACCCGGAGUUAUACCUUGACCUUAUGACAACUAGAACCGGAUACUUAAUAAAACACACCCUUCCAAGUGCCAGAUAUAACCCGGUGAUCGCUCUCUAACAGGGCGACGAGGAGGGGAUCGCCGGGUAGGAUUAUGCUAUGCGAUGCUACUUGGUGAACUUACCAUCUACUCUCUUCUACAUGCUGCAAGAUGGAGGUGGCCUGAAGCGUAGUCUUCGACAGAAUUAGCUAUCCCCCUCUUAUUCUGGCAUUCUGCAGUUCAGUCCACCGAUAUGGCCCUUUACACAUAUACCCAUGCAUAUGUAGUGUAGCUCCUUGCUUGCGAGUACUUUGGAUGAGUACUCACGGUUGCUUUUCUCCCUCUUUUCCCCCUUCCCUUCUACCUGGUUGUCGCACCGAGAUGCCGGAGCCCAGGAGCCAGACGCCACCGUCGACGACGACUCCUACUACACCGGAGGUGCCUACUACUACGUGCAGGCCGCCGCCAUGACCAGGAGUAGUUUAGGAGGAUCCCAGGCAGGAGGCCUGCGCCUCUUUCGAUCUGUAUCCCAGUUUGUGCUAGCCAUCUUAUGGCAACUUGUUUAACUUAUGUCUGUACUCAGAUAUUAUUUCUUCCGCUGACUCUUGUGUUUUCGAGCUUAUGUAUUCGAGCCUUCGAGGCCCCCUGGCUUGUAAUAUAAAGCUUGUUUUAUUUUAAUUUGUGUCUAGAGUUGUGUUGUGAUAUCUUCUCGUGAGUCCUCGAUCUUGAUUGUACACAUUUGCGUGUAUGAUUAGUGUACGAUUGAAUCGGGGGCGCCACACAAUUCCACAAUCCAUUCAGUCUUAGAGAUUUUACCUUAAGCAAGACCUUAAACUCCUCAGACACAAGAUCAAGCAAAAGUUUGAAGCUCGGUUGUCUCAGUGGAUAGAUCAUAAUCUGUAAUCAUGAGUUUCAUUCCUCGAGCACGCAUUGGCUAGCUUCUUAGCUGCACCUCCUCCCUUUGGGGAUUUGUAAUAUACUUGUACUAUAUUAGCUUAAUAUAUUUACCGUAGAACAAUUGUUCUACGGUGUUGGGUCAAAAAAAGAGGAAAAUAGCAUAAUAGAUUGAUGUAUAAAGCCAGCUCAAAUUUACCAACACGGAAAACUGAGAUAUGUAUCAAUAUCGUUUGAUGGAUGACAUCAAUCAAGUUCGUAUUAUUAAAAAAAUGCCUUCUCACCUUCUCAGCUAGAGUUACUCCACAUCGAUCAUGUCAUAACUCCUACUAUGGUAAACGGUGUUUCACGUGACUUGCUGAUGCAAAGUUCUCAGGUAAUAAGAGGGAUGUCGUCAACCUGGUACAUGUGUAAAUGUCCAUCUAAUGCAGCUACAAAAGUCCUUGCCAAGGUCCCCUUGGAGAAGAAAGUGUCUUAUGAAGUUUUGUUUCACUGCACAUCAAAGCAUCGACUCUGGGAUUUUUUUUCUCAACAAUCACCUACUCUAGAUCAGAAGAGACCGUUGUUCAUUUGUAAGAAAAUGAAAUCAUCACGUGCACUAGUCUAACCUGGGCUAUUGAUUUGAGCCAAUAAAUAAUUGCAAGAGGAAAAAGUUGCUUUCAAAUACAGAAGUAUACAGAGACGCUAGGCACCUUGUUGUUCGUGGGAACGACUAGGUCAUCCCAUUGACUCCACGACAUGGCGUUGACACCUUUUCGAAUAAAUAUAUUGUUAAGAAGCGGGUUAGAUGAGUGAUGAUGUGGCAUGACUAGACCGUUAGGAACAUAAUGUGUAAUAAAAAAAGUAUUACAAAUAUAGUGCAUAGUAAAAGUUGGGAUAAUUAGCUUCAUGGUUACUUGUGUGUGAGUUUCAAAUAUAUAGUUUGCACAAUCAAGUACCAUGAGAGAGUUUGAAGCAUCAUCGCACGCAACCAGCAGUAUGUUUUCAUUAGUUGUGUUGAACUCCACAGAUGAACGGUGUCUUAUGCAUUCACAACGACUAGUAAAUGUAUUAAUAAAGUACAUCCCUUCAGUUAUGUACUUCAUUUUCAAACCCGAGGAGAUGUAAAAUAACUUAUUCAUAAUAAAAUUUUAUACUUAUUUUAAAUUAAUAAGUGUGCCAUAUACAAUUGUAAUUAAUAUCAUUUAUUACUUAGUAAGAUAACAAUAUUUCCAAAUACUAGUUAUGUUAUUUGUUGGUAUAAAUUUGUUAUAUCAUUAAAAAAAUUGAUUACAAAAUUGUAUAAUGUAUUAAAAAUUCUUUAUUGUUAAAAAAUCUUUGGAAUUUAUUUUCUAAUAUUACAUAAACUAUAUAGUGUAUGCACAUACAUUUGCAUAUCUAAUUGUGUGUUCAUAUAUCUUUUGAUAUUAUUCAAUAUCAUGGUAGAGAGUUCUAGAUUGUAUACACACUAACAAAUAUUUUAAUAGUGGUUUCUACUCUAUAUUAGGCAUCCAUAUUCAUAGAAACUUCCAGGGCAUAGAAAAUCUGACUUGCAAGUUGGGUUCAGUAAUAGAAUCGAAGCGGCGGCGGUGAUCUCCGGUGGCCGAAGGUGGAAGAGGAGGUCGAGAGCUCGGUGCAGGGAGAUGAGCUCGAGGCCGAGGGCGUAGACGAUGUAGCGGAGCACGGCGCAGCUCUAGGACACGAUGGCGGGGCACAGGGGCGACGAUGGCCGUGGCUACGCUGGAGCCAUGGUGACGGAGGCGUUCUAGCAAGAUCGGGAUCGAGGGAGAGAGGGAGGGAAUAUAUUUGGGUUGUCCAGGGCGUCGACGUUGUCGUCCUUAUCCUCCCUGCGGCGCCUGUAGCGGCGCGGUGCCCAGCGACAGGGGGAGGACGAAAAGGCCUCGGCUAAUGGGCUGGGCCGCACUGUUGUUCACUCAGGCCCAACUGAACAGGUACGCUUCUGACUUUUUCUUUUUCCUUUUUUUAUUUUCCAUUUUACUCUCUGUUUUGCACUAAUUUGAGCUACCAAAUGAAUUUAGUUAAAUGUGCAACUUAUCACAUAAAUACUAGGCAAUAUUUUGGGCUGCCACAGAAAGUUUGGAGUCUAUUUGAAUUCAUUCAAAUUAUGUUUGCAUUUAAAUGGGGCUAAAAUGGUGUUGUUUGGUCAUGUUUAAAUUUCCAGGCGCAAUUUGGGGAUUUUGGUGAUGUUUCCUUCUUUCAAAUAAUUACUUAUGGAUUAUUUACAAAAUUAUGAACUAUUUUGUUGGCAUGUUUGAAGAUGUAAAUAUUUGACUUGCAAUUUAAAUUUGACUUUGUUUUUUAGGACAAGUGGCAAUUUGCAUAAUAAUCAUGAUGACAAGGCCACCAUUAGAGGGGGUUACUGUAGCAUGGUUCUCCCGGUGUUACACAUGGUCUAGUGGCCAUCGGAGAUGGGACUGACCGGCGGCGGCGACGACGGAAGGAGAAGAGCUUUUCUUAUCUGAUUGCUCAUUUGUGGUGGAGGCAAUUCAGCAUGAUCUCUGACCGCAAGCAGUUGUCAAUGGAUUUUGCCAAAAUAUCAUUUAAACACUGUUUUUGAGAAGCCAAUCAGGCAGAUAGCAGAUGAUCUAGCUAAGCAUUCUUUUAGUGCUGAUCUUCGGGGUUUUGGGAUGAAGUAAUCCCUGACUUUGUUUUUCACUUACUUGCAAACAACAUGAGGAAUAAAGUAUAUUUGCGGUAAUAAAAAAACAAGGCGUUCCUUAAAAAAAAGGGCAACAAGACGUGCAUAGCGUGCGAAUUUCCCUUUCCAUUUGUCUAGACGGACGUACCUAAGCAUGUCGCGGAGCCAAUAAAGUAGGCCACAUGGGGUGCCCAUGCUCCCACCCAAAUCAUGAAGCUUAAUUAACCAACUCACGCCCGGCACUGCUUUCCCCAUACAUGCAUGUCAUCAGGCACGCAUGAGCGAAAGGGAGCCCAUCCUUUUCUGCCCGAGAACCAUGAUUAGAGGGCAUCCUUGCUUUGGUCGCUUUCCAUUAGUGGGAUUGAGAUCCUGCUUUGCGAAUAGCAACUCAGAUCAGGCUGCAGCCCGAGCAGGACCCUAUCUCAUCUAAACUCCGGUUAACCAGUUACUUAAUGAUGAUCAAAUGGACCUCGGAUCCGCCCCCAUCCUGUACGGAAUAUAAUCCGUGCUCACUCGAUCGAGGCUGUUGUCAGCGUCAUCAGAUCAUGCAUGGGCGCAUGGCUGCCCGCGUAGAGAAGAGAUAUGGGUAAAUUCUGCAGCCGUUUUAUUUCCCGGUCGGCUGCGGUGCAGGUAUACGUUUUGGUAGUUUCUGCUGAAUCAAUACACACGCACAGGACCGUCAGCGUGCAGCAGCAUCCAUUCAAUUUCUGUCAGCGGCACUGCUAGUAGCUAGCUUUUGCAUGAAUAGUGAUUGGAUAGUCCAGUCGAGUGGGCAUUGGCCAUUGGCCGCAUAAAUGUGAUAUAUACUAUAUAUCGCACGUACGUACUCCUACGUAGGCGGCAGGAACGCGCGUGCAUCGUGCAUGCGUGUUCCCCGUUUUUGUUCUGGAGUCGCUCUAGAUGUUUUGGAUGGCAAGAGCUCACGUAUAUCGUGUACUACUGUAGACGAAAGUAGAUAUUGCAGACAUAGAAAUAGAUACUCCCUCCGUAAAGAAAUAUAAAAGGGCGAUGCUAGGCGCCGGCGCACCGGCCGAACGCUUCGGCCGGUCCAACCCUAGCCGUCAGAUUGCCCGUUCCGAUCCGUUGGAUCCUUAUCCAACCAGGGCGUCGUCUCCCUCUCGCGAGCGCGGACGACCGCACGCGUUUUCCCCUCGUCGCCGCCCCCCUCGCCUGUCCUCCCCGUCUCUGAUCGCCGCCCGUCUUCGCCGGCCGCCCUGGUCGCCGGUCCCAGCCCUCGGCGGCCGUUCUCGUCGCCGGCCGCCCUGGUCGCCCAUGCAACAGCCCAUCCCAUGCGGUUGUAGCUUCCGUGGCAACCGUUGUAGCUCCGAUGGCGACGACCGGAGCUCACCGGCGUGCUCACCGGUGUGCUCGCGGACGCUCAUCCCCCGCUUGCAACAAAAAAAAUCAAGCCCCAGGGAGAUGCCCAGUGCUGCAACCUACGACGAAAAAAGCUACAACUAGCGAUAGGAAAAGCUUCAACCGGCUACGUAAAAAGCUUCAACCAGUAUACCGCUGGAGCUAUUGAUGACCAAGAAAAGUUACAACCGGUGACAGAAAAAGCUUCAUCUAGCAAUAAAAAAAGCUUCAUCCGACUAUAAAAAAAGUUUCAACUGUGGAAACAAAGCCAUGGACGGAAAACGAAAAAGUUGCAACCGGCAGUUAUAAAAGUUACAACCGCAUUGAAAAGAGCUUCAAACCUCUUAUCUCAGCUGCGACCCCGUGAUGACGAUGACGCCGUUUUGCUGCAACCGUAGUAGCUUUUUGCUACCACCGGUGAUUGAAUUCGCUACAACCGGUUCCAGCAAAAAAUUCAUCGUGGGGGGUAGUUCUGCCAUGGCUGGUUACAGCUCCGGCGUGGCCGGGUCCGGCGAGGUAGGCAGAGCUCCGAUGCAUGCGAGGGAGGCGUCGCCGUGGUAGCACCCCGUAGCACCGGUUGCAGCAUCUCCCGUUGUCACUGCCCCUCGGUCGCCGGCGAGAUGGGAUGGUCGCCGGCGAGCUUCGAGCGGGGAGGGGAGCGCGUGGCGCUGCGACCGGGGGGGCGGGGGGGGGAGGGGGAAGGGAUGGGGAAGGGGUGGGGAGGAGAGGGCAGAAGAAGAGGGCGGCGCGCGCCCCGGCGAGCUGCGCGAGAUGUGGGGGAGCUGCGAGCUGCGCGAGGAAGAGGGAGACCGGCCCAAUGUUUCGGCCGGUGCCCCGACCCUAAACGUUUUCCAAUAUAAAAAUAUUUAGAUCACUAUUUUAGUGAUCUAAACGCUUUUAUCUUUCUUUACAGAGGGAAUACAACACAAGGGAAUAAGGUCUUUUAGAAGGAACGACACAGUAGAUUAUUAUUUUUCCUUACUUGUCAUCGUCCCCUUACUGAGCCUAGCUACAGCAUUUUUCCAGCGCGGUAUAUGUACAAGGGGAAUGUAUGGUCCAUGAGGUCCAUGAUCGAAACAACCCAGUGAUGGGAUAAUCGAGCGGUGAAACUUAAUGGAAGGGAUCGUGUGCCUCGUAGGCCCUUGUGCAGCGCGUCCACCACCAUGACUACACUACACUUCCGGGACCCAUCUGACAGCGGGCCGAUGGGUUGUCGUGAGAAACAUAGAGUUCAUGAGGAAGCCACGGAGCGCACGGCCAGCGGGAUGGUCGUGCUGUAUGUGCGCUCCAGCAAUUACUUGUGAACCUAAAUCAUUUUACUGGUCUACUGUAUCAGUUGCCUUAGGGCAUGUCCAACGCGGACGCUCAAACCGUGGUUCGGAUUGAGUUUGCACGCAUUUUGCUAUGCAACGUAGUCCCGCAUUGGUCCGUCAACGUGUCCGGCUAUUCAUUUUUCCGUAAAUCGGAAGCAAGCUGAGAGGAGAGGCUUUGCGGGAGUCUAGAAUGUCGUCAUGUAGGACUUCAACAACCUUGGCCCACUGAAAUCAUCCCCCGNNNNNNNNNNNNNNNNNNNNNNNNNNNNNNNNNNNNNNNNNNNNNNNNNNNNNNNNNNNNNNNNNNNNNNNNNNNNNNNNNNNNNNNNNNNNNNNNNNNNNNNNNNNNNNNNNNNNNNNNNNNNNNNNNNNNNNNNNNNNNNNNNNNNNNNNNNNNNNNNNNNNNNNNNNNNNNNNNNNNNNNNNNNNNNNNNNNNNNNNNNNNNNNNNNNNNNNNNNNNNNNNNNNNNNNNNNNNNNNNNNNNNNNNNNNCAUCUUCGGUCAUCGCCCAGGCAUCCUGGGACGCCCGCAGCCCCACCAACGUGCCUGGCCGUCUUGGACUACGGCGUCGUUCACCCACGAUCCAUUCGUAGACAAAUACCCAUCGGCCCCGUGACGACGCCGCCCGUAGCUGACACCACGUACGGCAGGUGUUCGGUCAAAUGCCAUUGAACUUUUUGUUGUUUCCUAGAGUAAUUCAAUGGCAGGGUACUCGAUGGUCAAGGAUAAGUUGCUGUGUGAUGCGUAGUUGUUCAUAUUUAUAGACUUUGUAGGCAGGAACUCAAAGGGUUCGAUCUUUUGGCAGCGCGUGCAUGCUUCGUUUCAUGAGCAAAAGAACUUCGCACCCUACUACAUGCACGUUAUCCAUGAACACAAUGUGAAGCCGAUAUUGCAUCGAUGAUACAUCAUCUGCAACUCAGUCAUGAAUUAUUGCGGUCCGAUUCACUGAGUGGAGACAAUGUGGCCAUUGGGCUCGUCAAUCAUGGAUGUCGUAAGUUUUGCUUCUUGAUGCUCUACAUGUUGGUUAAUUUAUUCAUUCACUCAAUGUUGCUCUAGACGUUGUAUAGCAUGCACGCGUUGUCGUGUUGUGCUACAAGGCUGAGGGUAGGGCAUUCACACACAUAUAUUGUUAGAUGAAGCUCAAGGGGCAGCAUGUGCGGAACUACAUGUGUUGAUUCUAACUCGAGUAUCGUUGAAUUUGGAAUUGAGGAAUUCUAAAAACUUGAUGGACAUCUGGUUAUCUCGAAUGUAAUUCAUUUGAACUAUUCUUGUACUAGGGAUAUUUGCAAGUUAUUUAUGGAUGAAUUGUGUUAUUUUCUAUAGUUAUUUUGAGUGUUGUGGUCUUAGAAAAAAAAUAGGGGCAAAUAUUUAGGGGACGGGGUUAGAUGGCCGACUCCUGCAUCAAUGCCGGCGGACUGGUCCAGAUAAGUCCGGAGACAAAUAGUGUGUCCAUUAUAGGGUCAGCAUUGGAGUUGCCUUUAUAUUUGUCAUUUCGAGAAACACCAAACACACCAAUAAACAUACACAUCGUAACCACCAUACACACACUUACACAAUGUUUACUGAAGACUAUAAUCAUGUUUUUGUAAGGUUGAUAAAGUCAUGACAUGUGUUGUGUCCCGUCGGCAAAUUUUUUUGACUCCUACCAAAAAUAUAAUAAUGUGACAUCAUAACUGAGGUCCAUUCCUAGUGGGUUGUGGUUACACCGCCAUUAACCACCCAACCAGCCAUCCAACCCAUAUAAUUGUUUUUUCGGUUGCUUCCUUUUCUUAGUGAUCAAUCUUGGUUCAAAAUUGACAUGGUGUGCGACACAUAUAAAACUUCAAUUACUUAUUAUUGCUUUUCCUUGAGUCAAUCUUGUAUAUCAAAUUGAUAGAUGGAUUAAAUUUUCAGCUCUCUCAUAACUUCUACUGUUAGUUCGAAAUGCCAAAAUUGUACCAAAAAACAGACAUAUAGUAGUUUUCUAGAAACCACAAAAGAUUCACUUGCUUGCUUGCCCCAUUUUAGAAUCUAUAUGAGACCAGCGGAUAUUGCAGCCUACAAUGAAAUGUUCAUCUCCAAGACUACCCUCCUCGACUUGGAGGCUAAAAACUUCAUGAAAAAUUAGCCCAAAGACAUCCGCCUUGGUGUGACUUUUCUGUGGCGGGCUUUGGUGACCAGUCUUGGAAGCUCCACCUUUAAAGAUAAAAAAUUUAAAAUUUCUUAUUCAAACCCCUCCUCUCUAGCCGCUAGGUCAUGAUCCUUCAACUGCCUCAAGAAAAACGUAGUCGAUCAUGAUCAUUUUGUUUUAGUCGAAAGGAAAAUGCGCAGGCACACAUUUUCCAAACUGUGUGCAACUUACAGUCUAGAAAUACAUAAGCAAUUUUAGACGGAUAGUUUGGGCAUAAUGUUUUCGUAGGAUUUUCUAUUUCUAAGUGGCAAGAGAAUAGUAAUAACCGAGUUGCAUAUUAUCAAGCAUGGAACUGCAUAAAAACAUAUCCAAGUGCCUAGAUUUACAUCUCAAGACCUAAAAUUGCACAUACUCUCUUGAAGAUGUUGUCACUCAAUUAAGUAUUAGAUGAAUAAUGAACCCCUAAAAUCUUUUUUUCAAUCUUGCAAAAAACAAAACUGCUUUUUAGUGGCACUCACCUCUACUAUUAAAGGGGUGUUGGUGAUCAUACGUCCUUUGGUGAAGGCUUCCCUCACCAUGUCAUGCAUUAACGCAAUCAAAUCAAAUCGAAUCUUUUACACCUCCCUUCCCUUGGUGGGUGUAUGGUAAUUGCAAUAAUUCAACCAAGUCAAAUCAAAUCAUUCUAGCUAUAUGUCAGACACAUGCAAUCAAAUCUUUUGCAUUAACUCAAUCAAAUAAAAUCACUUUCUGCAUUAGAAUAUGGUAGGUGUAAGGUAUAUGUCGGACACGACUGGGCUUAAAUCACUAGAAUAUAUAUGCCCCAUUGCAACGCAUGGGGAAUUUGCUAGUUUUUUAUAACUUUAAUCUUUUGGGGUUGACUCAGAUAUAAAAAUUUAUCAAACAACUUAGUAAUAGCAAUUCCUCAAUUUACUUUACCCACCCUCUCAUCACAAUCAUUCGCAUCUUUGCACCUGCCUGGAGGCUGCCUCCCUCGGUCCCUCUCAUAUAAUGCUGUCCCUCCCCUCCCCUCCCGGCCUUUCUCUCCCUCCCCCGGUGCUCCGAUCGAUCAUCCCAUUCGCCCGCCGUCAUCACUGCCAUCCUCCACGCCUGCCCCCUUCCGGCCCUCUCCUUUUACAAUUACACCACCACAAGUGAACCCACAACCGCCGCUACUUAAGCGCACCUCGCACAACCCUACCUUGUUUCUUCUUGCUUUCCUCCACGCGCGCCACCCCCACUCUUUGCUAACUUCUAUAUCCACCACGCGCUAAUCGAGUUGCUACUUCAUGGGCCUCGAGCUCGAUCAGCUUGAGCUUUUGUCUCACCAGCUCCCUCCGGUCCGGACGUCCGCAACCGACGACGGCGCGACCGCCGCGGACGAUGAAGACCGGUGUGCCACGCCGACGUCGGAGGCGAACAUGCUGCGCGCGCCGUCACUGUGCCCCCCGGCGCCGAGGAAGCCGAGGCCGGCGCGGGCCAAGAGGAGGCAGCAGCACUGCUACUACCGCGGGCGGCGGCGCCGGUGCAGCAGCGGGCCGGCGCACGCGCGGUACUGGAUCGUCGCCGUGCCACACGACCUCGCCGCAGUGUUCAUCGCGGCGCGGCCGCCCUCGCCUUCGAGCUCGCCGUGCCGGCCGCCGGGAGGCAAGAAGAUCCGAGUGCACGUCGUAGGCUGACACCGGCACAUGCAUGCAUGCAUGCACCCGCGGGUCCAUACGAGCCGGCAUGCCGCUGUGUCUGCAGCCGAGCCGGCGUCCAUGCAUGCAGCUCUUGCAUCGUUGCUAGAAGAGAUAAGAUGUGAGCCUGUGAAUGCCCACAGGCCACAGCAUUGCCUAAUGAUAGCUAGUUUAUUAAUUUAGGCUUAAUUAGCUCAUCUAGUUUAGUCUAGUUCCUUGCGCUCAAAUAACCAAGUGUACAUGUAGUUGAUGGCCCACGUGAUCUUGGUAAUUGUUAGCAAAAUGAUGAUGCCAUUGGAGUUGCAUAGAUCGACAAUUUUGCUGCAAGUUAACCAGCUGAGGAUUUGUUCAUGUCUGUUGUCUCUUGUGAACUUGUGAUCACCGUUUUUGUUACACUCUGAGCGGUAAGAAAUGUCUGGAUCCCUUUUUUUCAAAUGGCCUAAAGCCCUAUAUUAUAUCACAGAUCCUUACGAACAUACCCUUACAGAAAAAUAAAAAUUACAUUCAAAAUCAUGGGAGUGUCGGUGUCUUCUUCCUCCUGCAUCCACCGGCAGAGCGCCUGAGCAUAGCUCGAUGCCGCCUCUGGGCCUCCCUCCCCCUCGCCAGAGCAACCAUUCUUAGACUCGGAAGCUUGUGGAAGUAGCCAAUGGCUGGAAAGGCAUCUAUGCAUAGCAGAAGAUGACGGCGCCCGCGAUCUGCAAGGCAAAUCGCCGUCUCGUAGGAGAAAACGCCAAGAAGGGCCCAUAGAAACUCCAAAACCAUAAAAAAUCGGCCGAAUCCAAACGGAUCCACCAAAAACUUAAAUCGACUGCGUUGCAGACAUAGCUCGACACGCCAUUCAUUGCUGGUAAGAGAUGUGAAUUUUAUUCCUGUUGCAUGCUUUUGUUGAAUUCCCGGACCACCCCCUGAAUCCUUCUAGAAUUUAGUUGUUUCUCGUGAAAUACCUACAUGACAAAAACAUGCCUUUACUUAGUUGCGAGUCAAUUGGAUUCCACAUGUGAAGCUUCCUUUAUUGGUGUGGAUUAUUCAAUGUUAAUCAAGUCUCAGUCGAUGAUAUAUUCGUUGGAUCUUACGUGAAGAUUCGUGCAAUCUUCUUUUUUAGUUUUUCUUUUUUUUCUUACAUGUUAUGCCACUUGACUUUGGUUAAAUCUCAGUUGACUGAGACCUAGCCACAUCCUAAUCAUUCUUUUCUAGGUUAGAUAGAUACACUAAUCCAUGCAUGGCAGAUUAAGUUACAAUUAUUUGCUAAUUGGGGGAUAGAGAGGGGCAUUAAAAGUGAGAGCGCUUGCAUGUAAUGGCUAGAGGGGAAAGGGGACUGACCAGAGCUUCCAAAGGGUGUCCUCUUACCUAAGUCCCUUUUGAUACCUAAAAAGGGAUGCGUGCAUGAGAGGCAAGAGCAGAAUAGAUCUGGAGGUGAAAAAAGGCGCUUAAUACCACUCAGAUCUGAAUUUUAUGGGGGGCAUUGCAGGAGCGAUUCAAUGAUUCUGUCCACGGUGAAGUACUAUUGCCCCUGCAUUUUCCUGGACAAGCUUGCGGCAGAACUAUCAGUGCUAGUCCAUCAUAUGUGUCCAUACUUUUAUGCAGUAAGAUCACUCAGAGAUGUCAUCAUGGGCAAGGCCCAAAGGUUGAAUAAUUUCAUAGCUCAUGAAGAUUUUGGGAAUUAGAGAACACCAUAUACUGGUAUCAGUCUGAGUAUAUACACCCUCCCAAGACUCCCCACAAAGGAGUACUCAUGGUAAGCAAUUAGUGGUGGUACAUCAAGCUUUUUUUUGACGGUUUUUUUUUUUGACGGGAAGAAGCGCAUCAAGCUUUCUACCAUGAACUCUGAAGUCGCCUUAGCUUUGUAAUUAACUCAGAGUUUGGGGUCGAAAUUAAGGCAGACUUUUUAUUCCUUACUGUUUUCCUGGAUAUAGAAUGUACUACUGCCGGAAAGCUCUCACUGAUGAUUAGCAGUACUUCCAUACGUGUAAGUGACAUGACACAUUCCAUUUGAAGAUUUGUUAGUACUGGUGCGUCGCUGUGGUGGCUCUUUGCAUGCAUGCAUGCAUGCACGGAGCUGCCAUGCGUUAUGGCCGCCGUGGAUUCGUGAUAAAUGGUGUCUGCUUUCAUUUGUGGUUGGUGCGUUGUUGAUCGUAUAAAUGCUGGGUGGGGUACACGGACACGUAUGGUGGGGCGGCAGCCACUUGUGUAUGUAGUACUCCCUCCGUUCCUAAAUAUUUGUCUUUUUAGAUAUUUUAAAUGAACUAUCACAUACGGAUGUAUAUAGACAUAUUUUAGAGUGUAGAUUCACUCAUUUUGCUCCGUAUGUAGUUAUCUGUUGAAAUUUCUAGAAAGACGAAUAUUUAGAAACGGAUGGAGUAGUACGCAUGCACGUAUGUCCCCUGCCCCACGCCAUUGUGUAUUCCUGCAGGCCAGGGACACCGGUUUAUUAGCCAUGGCUAAUAAGUAAAGCCAUUUCUCUUUGUCGAGUAGUGCCUACUUUACCGCGACUCUUUUUUCACUGCCUUUUGUUGUACUACUACCCUUUGUUAUUUGAGGGGGAGCUUUAAUCUAUUGGGCUAAAGCCUGGCUUUGAGUUCUCCGUCACAUGGAACGAACCUUUGAUGUUGGCUUAAUUUGUUCUAUGCUGAAAUGGGUUUGGUGAGUGCCGAUGAUUAGAGCAACUCCAAAGGGUCGACCCAUUUCGUCCGCCUGCGUCUGUUUGGGUCGGCGCGGACAAAAGUGGCGGCCCAACGCGCCGACCCAAACCCAAAUCACGUCCGCGUCGCGUCCGCGCCGACGCAUUUGCGGCCCAAAUUUGCGCCCCAAAUGCGUCGGCGCGGACGCCGAAUGGACGCUUCGCGCGCCUUCUCGCUAUCCGCCGCGUCCCCACAUGGCUGGCGGGUGUCAGUUUUUCCAACUUUAGUUGAACCGAGUGUGGCUACGCCCGGUCCUUGAGAAGGUUAAAACAGCACAAACUUGACGAACUAUCGUUGUGGUUUUGAUGCGUAAAUAAGAACGGUUCUUGCUAAGCCCGUAGCAGCCACGUAAAACUUGCAACAACAAAGUAGAGGACGUCUAACUUGUUUUUGCAGGGCAUGUUGUGAUGUGAUAUGGUCAAGACAUGAUGCUAUAUUUUAUUGUAUGAGAUGAUCAUGUUUUGUAACCGAGUUAUCGGCAACUAGCAGGAGCCAUAUGGUUGUCGCUUUAUUGUAUGCAACGCAAUCGCGCUGUAAUGCUUUACUUUAUCACUAAGUGGUAGCGAUAGUCGUAGAAGCAAUAGUUGGCGAGACGACAACGAUGCUACGAUGGAGAUCAAGGUGUCGCGCCAGUGAUGAUGGUGAUCAUGACGGUGCUUCGGAGAUGGAGAUCACAAGCACAAGAUGAUGAUGGCCAUAUCAUAUCACUUAUAUUGAUUGCAUGUGAUGUUUAUCUUUUAUGCAUCUUAUUUUGCUUAUAUCGACGGUAGCAUUAUAAGAUGAUCUCUCACUAAAUUUCAAGGUAUAAGUGUUCUCCUUGAGUAUGCACCGUUGCGAAAGUUCUUCGUGCUGAGACACCACGUGAUGAUCGGGUGUGAUAGGCUCUACGUUCAAAUACAACGGGUGCAAAACAGUUGCACACGCGGAAUACUCAGGUUAAACUUGACGAGCCUAGCAUAUGCAGAUAUGGCCUCGGAACACUGAGACCGAAAGGUCGAGCGUGAAUCAUAUAGUAGAUAUGAUCAACAUGGUGAUGUUCACCAUUGAAACUACUCCAUCUCACGUGAUGAUCGGACAUGGUUUAGUUGAUAUGAAUCACGUGAUCACUUAGAGGAUUAGAGGGAUGUCUAUCUAAGUGGGAGUUCUUAAGUAAUUUGAUUAACUGAACUUUAAUUUAUCAUGAACUUAGUCCUGGUAGUAUUAGCAUAUCUAUGUUGUAGAUCAAUAGCUCGCGUUGUUGCUCCCCGUUUAAUUUUUAUAUGUUCCUAGAGAAAACUAAGUUGAAAGAUGUUAGUAGCAAUGAUGCGGAUUGGAUCCGCGAUCUGAGGUUUAUCCUCAUUGCUGCACAGAAGAAUUGUGUCCUUGAUGCACCACUAGGUGACAGACCUAUUGCAGGAGCAGAUGCAGACGUUAUGAACGUUUUGACAAAAGCUCGGUAUGAUGACUACUUGAUAGUUAAGUGCACCAUGCUUUACGACUUAGAACCUGGACUUCAAAAAUGUUUUGAACGCCACGGAGCAUAUAAGAUGUUCCAAGAGUUGAAAUUGGUAUUUCAUACUCAUGCCCGUGUCGAGAGGUAUGAGACCUCUGACAGUACUUUGCCUACAAGAUGGAGGAGAAUUGCUCAGCUAGUGAGCAUGUGCUCAGAUUUUCUGGGUACUACAAUUGCUUGAAUCAAGUGGGAGUUAAACUUCCAGAUAAGAUAGUAAUUGAACUAUAAUAUGCAAGGGAUGACGAAAGUAAUUCCCGAGCUGUUCGCAAUGCUGAAAUUGGCGAAGGUAGAAAUCAAGAAAAAACAUCAAGUGUUGAUGGUUGACAAGACCACUAGUUUCAAGAAAAAGGGCAAAGGGAAGAAGGGGAACUUCAAGAAGAACGGCAAGCAAGUUGCUGCUCAAGUGAAGAAGCCCAAGUCUGGACCUAAGCCUGAGACUAAGUGCUUCUACUGCAAAGGACUGGUCACUGGAAGCGGAACUACCCCAAGUAUUUGGUGGAUAAGAAGGAUGGCAAAGUGAACAAAAGUAUAUUUGAUAUACAUGUUAUGGAUGUGUGCUUUACUAGUGUUUAUAGCAACCCCUCGGUAUUUGAUACUGGUUCAGUUGCUAAAAGUAGUAACUUGAAACGGGAGUUGCAGAAUGAACAGAGACUAGUCAAAGGUGAAGUGACGAUGUGUGUUGGAAGUAGUUCCAAGAAUUGAUAUGAUCAUCAUCGCACACUCCCUAUACUUUCGGGAUUAGUGUUAUUUGGUGUUUGUGUUGAGCAUGAAUAUGAUUUGAUCAUGUUUAUUGCAAUAUGGUUAUUUAUUUAAGUUAGAGAAUAAUUGUUGUCCUUUUUACAUGAAUAAAACCUUCUAUGGUCAUACACCCAAUGAAAAUGGUUUGUUGGAUCUCGAUCGUAGUGAUACACGUAUUCAUAAUAUUGAAGCAUGCAAAGUUAAUAAUGAUAGUGCAACUUAUUUGUGGCACUGCCGUUUAGGUCAUAUUGGUGUAAAGCGCAUGAAAAAACUCCAUGCUGAUGGGCUUUUGGAAUCACUUGAUUAUGAAUCACUUGAUGCUUGCGAACCAUGCCUCUUGGGCAAGAUGACUAAAACGCCGUUCUCCGGAACAAUGGAGCGAGCAACUAACUUAUUGAAAAUAAUACAUAUUGAUGUAUGCAAUCCGAUGAGUGUUGAGGCUCACGACGGGUAUCGUUAUUUUCUGACCUUCACAGAUAAUUUGAGCAGAUAUGGGUAUAUCUACUUGAUGAAACAUAAGUCUGAAAUAUUUGAAAAGUUCAAAGAAUUUCAGAGUGAAGUGGAAAAUCAUCGUGACAAGAAAAUAAAGUUUCUACGAUCUGAUCGCGGAGACGAAUAUUUGAAUUACGAGUUUGGUCUUCAAUUAAAACAAUGUGGAAUUGUUUCACAAAUUCGUGCCACCUGGAACACCACAACAUAAUGGUGUGUCCGAACGUCAUAACCGUACUUUAUUGGAUAUAGUGCAAUCUAUGAUGUUUCUUACCGAUUUACCACUAUCGUUUUGGGGUUAUGCAUUGGAGACAACUGCAUUCACGUUAAAAAGGGCAUCAUCUAAAUCCGUUGAGACGACACCGUAUGAACAGUGGUUUAGCAAGAAACCUAAGCUGUCGCUUCUUAAAGUUUGGGGUUGCGAUGUUUAUAAGAAAAAGUUUCAUCCUGAUAAGCUCAAACCCAAAUCGGAGAAAUGUGUCUUCAUAGGAUACCCAAAGGAGACAGUUGGGUACACCUUCUAUCACAGAUCCAAAGGCAAGAUAUUCGUUGCUAAGAAUGGAUCCUUUCUAGAGAAGGAGUUUCUCUCGAAAGAAGUGAGUGGGAGGAAAGUAGAACUUGAUGAGGUAACUGUACCUGCUCCCUUAUUGGAAAGUAGUUCAUCACAGAAAUCUGUUCCUGUGACUACUACACCAAUUAGUGGGGAAGCUAAUGAUGAUGAUCAUGUAACUUCAGAUCAAGUUACUACCGAACCUCGUAGGUAAACCAGAGUGAGAUCCGCACCACAGUGGUACGGUAAUCCUGUUCUGGAGGUCAUGUUACUGUUGGAAAUAUGCCCUAGAGGCAAUAAUAAAUGGUUAUUAUUAUAUUUCUUUGUUCAUGGUAAUUGUCUAUUAUUCAUGCUAUAAUUGUAUUGUCCGGAAAUCGUAAUACAUGUGUGAAUACAUAGACCACAACGUGUCCCUAGUAAGCCUCUAGUAGACUAGCUCGUUGAUCAACAGAUAGUCAUGGUUUCCUGACUAUGGACAUUGGAUGUCAUUGAUAACGGGAUCACAUCAUUAGGAGAAUGAUGUGAUGGACAAGACCCAAUCCUAAGCAUAGCAUAAAAGAUCGUGUAGUUUCGUUUGCUAGAGCUUUUCCAAUGUCAAGUAUCUUUUCCUUAGACCAUGAGAUCGUGCAACUCCCGGAUACCGUAGGAGUGCUUUGGGUGUGCCAAACGUCACAACGUAACUGGGUGACUAUAAAGGUGCACUACGGGUAUCUCCGAAAGUGUCUGUUGGGUUGGCACGGAUCGAGACUGGGAUUUGUCACUCCGUGUGACGGAGAGGUAUCUCUGGGCCCACUCGGUAAUGCAUCAUCAUUAUGAGCUCAAUGUGACUAAGGCGUUAGUCACGGGAUCAUGCAUUGCGGUACGAGUAAAGAGACUUGCCGGUAACGAGAUUGAACAAGGUAUUGGGAUACCGACGAUCGAAUCUCGGGCAAGUAACAUACCGAUUGACAAAGGGAAUUGUAUACGGGAUUGAUUGAAUCCUCGACACCGUGGUUCAUCCGAUGAGAUCAUCGUGGAACAUGUGGGAGCCAACAUGGGUAUCCAAAUCCCGCUGUUGGUUAUUGACCGGAGAGGCGUCUCGGUCAUGUCUGCAUGUCUCCCGAACCCGUAGGGUCUACACACUUAAGGUUCGGUGACGCUAGGGUUGUAGAGAUAUGUGUAUGCGGAAACCCGAAAGUUGUUCGGAGUCCCGGAUGAGAUCCCGGACGUCACGAGGAGUUCCGGAAUGGUCCGGAGGUGAAGAAUUAUAUAUAGGAAGUCAAGUUUCGGCUACCGGGAAAGUUUCGGGGGUUACCGGUAUUGUACCGGGACCACCGGAAGGGUCCCGGGGGUCCACCGGGUGGGGCCACCUAUCCCGGAGGGCCCCGUGGGCUGAAGUGGGAAGGGAACCAGCCCCUAGUGGGCUGGGUGCCCCCCAUGGGCCUCCCCCCCUGCGCCUAGGGUUGGGAACCCUAGGGUGGGGGGGCUUCCCACUUGCCUUGGGGGGCAAGGCACCCCCCUGGCCGCCGCCCCCCCACCCUAGAUGGGUUUGGCUGGCGCCCCCCCUCCCAAUGGGGCCUAUAUAAAGGGGGAGGGGGGAGGGAGGGCAGCAACGAUUACAGCCUUGGGCGCCUCCCUCCUCCCCUGCUAUACCUCUCCCUCUCGCAGAAGCUCGACGAAGCCCUGCCGAGACCCGCUACAUCCACCACCACACCGUCGUGCUGCUGGAUCUCCAUCAACCUCUCCUUCCCCUUGCUGGAUCAAGAAGGAGGAGACGUCGCUGCACCGUACGUGUGUUGAACGCGGAGGUGCCGUCCGUUCGGCACUCGGUCAUCGGUGAUUUGAAUCACGGCGAGUACGACUCCGUCAACAACGUUCAUUGGAACGCUUCCGCUCGCGAUCUACAAGGGUAUGUAGAUGCACUCCUUUCCCUUCAUUGCUAGUAUACUCCAUAGAUGCAUCAUGAGCCAGGCCUAUGCGUAGUUACUAUGCACGAGUAGAACACAAAGCAGUUGUGGGCGUUGAGUUUGCCAAUUCUUCUUGCCGCUACUAGUCUUUUCUUGUUUCGGCGGCAUUGUGGGAUGAAGCGGCCCGGACCGACCUUACACGUACGCUUACGUGAGACAGGUUCCACCGAUUGACAUGCAGUAGUUGCAUAAGGUGGCUAGCGGGUGUCUGUCUCUCCUACUUUAGUCGGAACGGAUUCGAUGAAAAGGGUCCUUAUGAAGGGUAAAUAGAAAUUGGCAAAUCACGUUGUGGUCAUACGUAGGUAAGAAAACGUUCUUGCUAGAAACCUACAAACCACGUAAAAACUUGCAACAACAAUUAGAGGACGUCUAACUUGUUUUUGCAGCAUGUGCUAUGUGAUGUGAUAUGGCCAGAAGAUGUGAUGAAUGAUAUAUGUGAUGUAUGAGAUUGAUCAUAUUCUUGUAAUAGGAAUCACGACUUGCAUGUCGAUGAGUAUGACAACCGGCAGGAGCCAUAGGAGUUGUCUUUAUUAUUUUGCAUGACCUGCGUGUCAUUGAAUAGCGCCAUGUAAAUUACUUUACUUUGUUGCUAAACGCGUUAGCCAUAGAAGUAGAAGUAAUCGUUGGCGUGACGACUUCAUGAAGACACAAUGAUGGAGAUCAUGAUGAUGGAGAUCAUGGUGUCAUGCCGGUGACGAAGAUGAUCAUGGUGCCCCGAAGAUGGAGAUCAAAGGAGCAUGAUGAUAUUGGCCAUAUCAUGUCACUAUUUGAUUGCAUGUGAUGUUUAUCAUGUUUUUGCAUCUUAUUUGCUUAGAACGACGGUAGUAAGUAAGAUGAUCCCUUAUAAUAAUUUCAAGAAAGUGUUCACCCUAACUGUGCACCGUUGCGAAGGUUCGUUGUUUCGAAGCACCACGUGAUGAUCGGGUGUGAUAGAUUCUAACGUUCGAAUACAACGGGUGUUGACGAGCCUAGCAUGUACAGACAUGGCCUCGGAACACACGCAAUACACUUAGGUUGACUUGACGAGCCUAGAAUGUACAGACAUGGCCUCGGAACACGGAGGACCGAAAGGUCGAGCAUGAGUCGUAUAGAAGAUACGAUCUGUUGGAAAUAUGCCCUAGAGGCAAUAAUAAAUGGUUAUUAUUAUAUUUCUGUGUUCAUGAUAAUAGUCUUUUAUUCAUGCUAUAAUUGUAUUGUCCGGAAAUCGUAAUACAUGUGUGAAUACAUAGACCACAACCUGUCCCUAGUAAGCCUCUAGUUGACUAGCUCGUUGAUCAACAGAUAGUCAUGGUUUCCUGACUAUGGACAUAGGAUGUCAUUGAUAACGGGAUCACAUCAUUAGGAGAAUGAUGUGAUGGACAAGACCCAACUUAAGCAUAGCAUAAAAGAUCGUGUAGUUUCGUUUGCUAGAGCUUUUCCAAUGUCAAGUAUCUUUUCCUUAGACCAUGAGAUCGUGCAACUCCCGGAUACCGUAGGAGUGCUUUGGGUGUGCCAAACGUCACAACGUAACUGGGUGACUAUAAAGGUGCAUUACGGGUAUCUCCAAAAGUGUCUGUUGGGUUGGCACGGAUCGAGACUGGGAUUUGUCGCUCCGUGUAACGGAGAGGUAUCUCUGGGCCCACUCGGUAAUGCAUCAUCAUAAUGAGCUCAAUGUGACUAAGGCGUUAGUCACGGGAUCAUGCAUUGCGGUACGAGUAAAGAGACUUGCCGGUAACGAGAUUGAACAAGGUAUUGGGAUACCGACGAUCGAAUCUCGGGCAAGUAACAUACCGAUUGACAAAGGGAAUUGUAUACGGGAUUGAUUGAAUCCUCGACACCGUGGUUCAUCCGAUGAGAUCAUCGUGGAACAUGUGGGAGCCAACAUGGGUAUCCAGAUCCCGCUGUUGGUUAUUGACCGGAGAGGCGUCUCGGUCAUGUCUGCAUGUCUCCCGAACCCGUAGGGUCUACACACUUAAGGUUCGGUGACGCUAGGGAUGUAGAGAUAUGUGUAUGCGGAAACCCGAAAUUUGUUCGGAGUCCCGGAUGAGAUCCCGGACGUCACGAGGAGUUCCGGAAUGGUCCGGAGGUAAAGAAUUAUAUAUAGUAAGUCAAGUUUCGGCCACCGGGAAAGUUUCGGGGGUUACCGGUAUUGUACCGGGACCACCGGAAGGGUCCCGGGGGGCCACCUAUCCCGGAGGGCCCCGUGGGCUGAAGUGGGAAGGGAACCAGCCCCUAGUGGGCUGGGCGCCCCCAUGGGCCUCCCCCCCCCCUGCGCCUAGGGUUGGGAACCCUAGGGUGGGGGGCUUCCCACUUGCCUUGGGGGGCAAGGCACCCCCNNNNNNNNNNNNNNNNNNNNNNNNNNNNNNNNNNNNNNNNNNNNNNNNNNNNNNNNNNNNNNNNNNNNNNNNNNNNNNNNNNNNNNNNNNNNNNNNNNNNNNNNNNNNNNNNNNNNNNNNNNNNNNNNNNNNNNNNNNNNNNNNNNNNNNNNNNNNNNNNNNNNNNNNNNNNNNNNNNNNNNNNNNNNNNNNNNNNNNNNNNNNNNNNNNNNNNNNNNNNNNNNNNNNNNNNNNNNNNNNNNNNNNNNAAAGGGGGGGAGGGAGGGCAAGAGAACUACAGCCUUGGGCGCCUCCCUCUCCCCCUGCAACACCUCUCUCUCUCUCGUAUAUGCUCGGCGAAGCCCUGCCGGCAUCCCGCUACAUCCACCACCACGCCGUCGUGCUGCUGGAUCUCCAUCAACCUCUCCUUCCCCCUUGCUGGAUCAAGAAGGAGGAGACGUCGCUGCACCGUACGUGUGUUGAACGCGGAGGUGCCGUCCGUUCGGCACUCGGUCAUCGGUGAUUUGGAUCACGGCGAGUACGACUCCGUCAUCCACGUUCAUUGAAACGCUUCCGCUCGCGAUCUACAAGGGUAUGUAGAUGCACCUCUUUCCCCUCGUUGCUAGUAUACUCCAUAGAUGCAUCUUAGUGAGCGUAGGAAUUUUUUUAAAAUUAUGCUACGAUACCCAACAGUGGCAUCAUGAGCCAGGCCUAUGCGUAGUUACUAUGAACGAGUAGAACACAAAGAAGUUGUGGGCGUUGAUGUUGCCAAUUCUUCUUGCCGCUACUAGUCGUUUCUUGUUUCGGCGGCAUUGUAGGAUGAAGCGGCCCGGACCGACCUUACACGUACGCUUACGUGAGACAGGUUCCACCGACUGACAUGCACUAGUUGCAUAAGGUGGCUAGCGGGUGUCUGUCUCUCCUACUUUAGUCGGAACGGAUUCGAUGAAAAGGGUCCUUAUGAAGGGUAAAUAGAAAUUGGCAAAUCACGUUGUGGUCAUACGUAGGUAAGAAACGUUCUUGCUAGAAACCUACAAACCACGUAAAAACUUGCAACAACAAUUAGAGGACGUCUAACUUGUUUUUGCAGCAUGUGUUAUGUGAUGUGAUAUGGCCAGAAGAUGUGAUGAAUGAUAUAUGUGAUGUAUGAGAUUGAUCAUAUUCUUGUAAUAGGAAUCACGACUUGCAUGUCGAUGAGUAUGACAACCGGCAGGAGCCAUAGGAGUUGUCUUUAUUAUUUUGCAUGACCUGUGUGUCAUUGAAUAACGCCAUGUAAAUUACUUUACUUUGUUGCUAAACGCGUUAGCCAUAGAAGUAGAAGUAAUCGUUGGCGUGACGACUUCAUGAAGACACGAUGAUGGAGAUCAUGGUGUCAUGCCGGUGACGAAGAUGAUCAUGGUGCCCCGAAGAUGGAGAUCAAAGGAGCAUGAUGAUAUUGGCCAUAUCAUGUCACUAUUUGAUUGCAUGUGAUGUUUAUCAUGUUUUUGCAUCUUAUUUGCUUAGAACGACGGUAGUAAGUAAGAUGAUCCCUUAUAAUAAUUUCAAGAAAGUGUUCACCCUAACUGUGCACCGUUGCGAAGGUUCGUUGUUUCGAAGCACCACGUGAUGAUCGGGUGUGAUAGAUUCUAACGUUCGAAUACAACGGGUGUUGACGAGCCUAGCAUGUACAGACAUGGCCUCGGAACACACGCAAUACACUUAGGUUGACUUGACGAGCCUAGCAUGUACAGACAUGGCCUCAGAACACGGAGGACCGAAAGGUCGAACAUGAGUGGUAUAGAAGAUACGAUCAACAUGGAGAUGUUCACCGAUCUUGACUAGUCCGUCUCACGUGAUGAUCGGACACGGCCUAGUUAAACUCGGAUCAUGUUUCACUUAGAUGACUAGAGGGAUGUCUAUCUGAGUGGGAGUUCAUUAAAUAAUUCGAUUAUAUGAACUCAAUUAUCAUGAACUUAGUCUAAAAUCUUUACACUAUGUCUUGUAGAUCUAAUGGCCAACGUUGUCCUCAAUUUCAACGCGUUCCUAGAGAAAAUCAAGCUGGAAGAUGAUGGAAGCAACUAUACGGACUGGGUCCGGAACCUGAGGAUCAUCCUCAUAGUAGCCAAGAAAGAUUAUGUCUUAGAAGCACCGCUAGGUGAUGCACCAAUCCCAGAGAACCAAGACGUUAUGAACGCUUGGCAGCAGCGUGCUGAUGAUUACUCCCUCGUUCAGUGCGGCAUGCUUUACAGCUUAGAACCGGGUCUCCAAAAGCGUUUUGAGAAACAUGGAGCAUAUGAGAUGUUCGAGGAGCUGAAACUGGUUUUUCAAGCUCAUGCCCGGGUCGAGAGAUAUGAGGUCUCCGACAAGUUCUUCAGCUGUAAAAUGGAGGAGAAUAGUUCUGUUAGUGAGCACAUACUCAGAAUGUCUGGGUUGCACAACCGCUUGACUCAGCUGGGAGUUAAUCUCCCGGAUGACGCGGUCAUUGACAGAAUCCUUCAGUCGCUUCCACCAAGCUUCAAGAGCUUUGUGAUGAACUACAAUAUGCAGGGGAUGGAAAAGACCAUUCCUGAGGUAUAUUCGAUGCUGAAAUCAGCGGAGGUGGAAAUCAGAAAAGAACAUCAAGUGUUGAUGGUGAAUAAAACCACUAAGUUCAAGAAGGGCAAGGGUAAGAAGAACUUCAAGAAGGACGGCAAGGGAGUUGCCGCGCCCGGUAAGCCAGUUGCCGGGAAGAAGCCAAGGUAUGGACCCAAGCCCGAGACUGAGUGCUUUUAUUGCAAGGGAAGUGGUCACUGGAAGCGGAACUGCCCCAAAUACUUAGCGGACAAGAAGGCCGGCAACACCAAAGGUAUAUGUGAUAUACAUGUAAUUGAUGUGUACCUUACCAGUACUCGUAGUAGCUCCUGGGUAUUUGAUACCGGUGCGGUUGCUCAUAUUUGUAACUCCAAACAUGAACUACGGAAUAAAAGGAGACUGGCGAAGGACGAGGUGACGAUGCGCGUCGGGAAUGGUUCCAAGGUCGAUGUGAUCGCCGUCGGCACGCUACCCCUGCAUCUACCUACGGGAUUAGUUUUAAACCUCAAUAAUUGUUAUUUAGUGCCAGCUUUGAGCAUGAACAUUGUAUCUGGAUCUCGUUUAAUUCGAGAUGGCUACUCAUUUAAAUCCGAGAAUAAUGGUUGUUCUAUUUAUUUGAGAGAUAUGUUUUAUGGUCAUGCCCCGCUGGUCAAUGGUUUAUUUUUGAUGAAUCUCGAACGUGAUGUUACACAUGUUCAUAGUGUGAAUACCAAAAGAUGUAAAGUUGAUAACGAUAGUCCCACAUACUUGUGGCACUGCCGCCUUGGUCACAUUGGUGUCAAGCGCAUGAAGAAGCUCCAUGCAGAUGGACUUUUGGAGUCUCUUGAUUACGAAUCAUUUGACACGUGCGAACCAUGCCUCAUGGGUAAGAUGACCAAGACUCCAUUCUCCGGAACAAUGGAGCGAGCAACCAACUUAUUGGAAAUCAUACAUACCGAUGUGUGUGGUCCAAUGAGUGUUGAGGCUCGCGGAGGAUAUCGUUAUGUUCUCACUCUUACUGAUGACUUAAGUAGAUAUGGGUAUGUCUACUUAAUGAAGCACAAGUCUGAAACCUUUGAAAAGUUCAAGGAAUUUCAGAGUGAGGUUGAGAAUCAACGUGACAGGAGAAUAAAAUUCUUACGAUCAGAUCGUGGUGGAGAAUAUUUAAGUCACGAGUUUGGUGCACACUUAAGGAAAUGUGGAAUAGUUUCACAACUCACGCCGCCUGGAACACCUCAGAGAAAUGGUGUGUCCGAACGUCGUAAUCGCACUCUAUUGGAUAUGGUGCGAUCUAUGAUGUCUCUUACCGAUUUAUCGCUCUCAUUUUGGGGCUAUGCUUUAGAGACUGUCGCAUUCACUUUAAAUAGGGCACCGUCGAAAUCCGUUGAGACGACACCGUAUGAAUUAUGGUUUGGAAAGAAACCUAAGCUGUCGUUUCUAAAAGUUUGGGGAUGCGAUGCUUAUGUCAAGAAACUUCAACCUGAAAAGCUCGAACCCAAGUCGGAAAAAUGCGUCUUCAUAGGAUACCCUAAGGAAACCAUUGGGUAUACCUUCUACCUCAGAUCCGAAGGCAAGAUCUUCGUUGCCAAGAACGGGUCCUUUCUGGAGAAGGAGUUUCUCUCGAAAGAAUUGAGUGGGAGGAAAGUGGAACUUGAUGAGGUGAUAGUCACCCCUUCCGAACCGGAAAGUAGCGCAGCGCGGGAAGAUGUUCCUGUGGUACCUACACCGACUGGGGAGGAAGUUAAUAAUGAUGAUCAUGAAGCUUCGGAUCAAGUUACUACUGAACUUCGUAGGUCCACCAGGUCACGUUCCGCACCAGAGUGGUACGGCAACCCUGUCCUGGAAAUCAUGUUGUUAGACAACGAUGAACCUUCGAACUAUGAAGAAGCGAUGGCGGGCCCGGAUUCUGACAAAUGGCUUGAAGCCAUGAAAUCCGAGAUAGGAUCCAUGUAUGAAAACGAAGUAUGGACUUUGACUGACUUGCCCGAUGAUCGGCGAGCCAUAGAAAACAAAUGGAUCUUUAAGAAGAAGACAGACGCGGAUGGUAAUGUGACCAUCUAUAAGGCUCGACUUGUCGCUAAGGGUUAUCGACAAGUUCAAGGGGUUGACUACGAUGAGACUUUCUCACCCGUAGCGAAGCUGAAGUCCGUCCGAAUCAUGUUAGCAAUUGCCGCAUACUAUGAUUAUGAGAUAUGGCAGAUGGACGUCAAAAUGGCAUUCCUUAAUGGCUUCCUUAAGGAAGAGUUGUAUAUGAUGCAGCCGGAAGGUUUUGUCGAUCCUAAGAAUGCUAACAAAGUAUGCAAGCUCCAGCGCUCAAUCUAUGGGCUGGUGCAAGCAUCUCGGAGUUGGAACAUUCNNNNNNNNNNNNNNNNNNNNNNNNNNNNNNNNNNNNNNNNNNNNNNNNNNNNNNNNNNNNNNNNNNNNNNNNNNNNNNNNNNNNNNNNNNNNNNNNNNNNNNNNNNNNNNNNNNNNNNNNNNNNNNNNNNNNNNNNNNNNNNNNNNNNNNNNNNNNNNNNNNNNNNNNNNNNNNNNNNNNNNNNNNNNNNNNNNNNNNNNNNNNNNNNNNNNNNNNNNNNNNNNNNNNNNNNNNNNNNNNNNNNNNNNNNNNNNNNNNNNNNNNNNNNNNNNNNNNNNNNNNNNNNNNNNNNNNNNNNNNNNNNNNNNNNNNNNNNNNNNNNNNNNNNNNNNNNNNNNNNNNNNNNNNNNNNNNNNNNNNNNNNNNNNNNNAUGAUCAAAGCGUUUGGGUUUACACAGACUUAUGGAGAAGCCUGUGUUUACAAGAAAGUGAGUGGGAGCUCUGUAGCAUUUCUCAUAUUAUAUGUGGAUGACAUAUUAUUGAUGGGAAAUGAUAUAGAAUUCUUGGAAAGUAUAAAGGCCUAUUUGAAUAAGUGUUUUUCAAUGAAGGACCUUGGAGAAGCUGCUUAUAUAUUAGGCAUCAAGAUCUAUAGAGAUAGAUCAAGACGCCUCAUUGGUCUUUCACAGAGUACAUACCUUGACAAGAUAUUGAAGAAGUUCAAUAUGGAUCAGUCCAAGAAGGGGUUCUUGCCUGUAUUGCAAGGUGUGCAAUUGAGCACGGCUCAAUGCCCGACCACGGCAGAAGAUAGAGAAAAUAUGAGUGUCAUCCCCUAUGCCUCGGCCAUAGGGUCUAUUAUGUAUGCCAUGCUGUGUACCAGACCUGAUGUAAACCUUGCCGUGAGUUUGGUAGGAAGGUACCAAAGUAAUCCCGGCAUGGAACACUGGACAGCGGUCAAGAAUAUCCUGAAGUACCUAAAGAGGACUAAGGAUAUGUUUCUCGUUUAUGGAGGUGACGAAGAGCUCGUCGUAAAGGGUUACGUCGACGCUAGCUUCGACACAGAUCUAGAUGACUCGAAGUCACAAACCGGAUACGUGUAUAUUUUGAAUGGAGGAGCAGUAAGCUGGUGCAGUUGCAAGCAAAGCGUCGUGGCGGGAUCUACAUGUGAAGCGGAGUACAUGGCAGCCUCGGAGGCAGCACAAGAAGCAGUCUGGAUGAAGGAGUUCAUUACCGACCUAGGGGUGAUUCCCAAUGCGUCGGGCCCGAUGACUCUAUUCUGUGACAACACUGGAGCUAUUGCCCUUGCGAAGGAGCCCAGGUUUCACAGGAAGACCAGGCAUAUCAAGCGUCGCUUCAACUCCAUUCGUGAAAGUGUUCAAAAUGGAGACAUAGAUAUUUGUAAAGUACAUACGGACCUGAAUGUAGCAGAUUCGUUGACUAAACCUCUCCCUAGAGCAAAACAUGAUCAACACCAGGACGCAAUGGGUGUUUGAUUCAUCACAAUGUAACUAGAUUAUUGACUCUAGUGCAAGUGGGAGACUGUUGGAAAUAUGCCCUAGAGGCAAUAAUAAAUGGUUAUUAUUAUAUUUCUUUGUUCAUGGUAAUUGUCUAUUAUUCAUGCUAUAAUUGUAUUGUCCGGAAAUCGUAAUACAUGUGGGAAUACAUAGACCACAACGUGUCCCUAGUAAGCCUCUAGUAGACUAGCUCGUUGAUCAACAGAUAGUCAUGGUUUCCUGACUAUGGACAUUGGAUGUCAUUGAUAACGGGAUCACAUCAUUAGGAGAAUGAUGUGAUGGACAAGACCCAAUCCUAAGCAUAGCAUAAAAGAUCGUGUAGUUUCGUUUGCUAGAGCUUUUCCAAUGUCAAGUAUCUUUUCCUUAGACCAUGAGAUCGUGCAACUCCCGGAUACCGUAGGAGUGCUUUGGGUGUGCCAAACGUCACAACGUAACUGGGUGACUAUAAAGGUGCACUACGGGUAUCUCCGAAAGUGUCUGUUGGGUUGGCACGGAUCGAGACUGGGAUUUGUCACUCCGUGUGACGGAGAGGUAUCUCUGGGCCCACUCAGUAAUGCAUCAUUAUAAUGAGCUCAAUGUGACUAAGGCGUUAGUCACGGGGAUCAUGCAUUGCGGUACGAGUAAAGAGACUUGCCGGUAACGAGAUUGAACAAGGUAUUGGGAUACCGACGAUCGAAUCUCGGGCAAGUAACAUACCGAUUGACAAAGGGAAUUGUAUACGGGAUUGAUUGAAUCCUCGACACCGUGGUUCAUCCGAUGAGAUCAUCGUGGAACAUGUGGGAGCCAAUAUGGGUAUCCAGAUCCCGCUGUUGGUUAUUGACCGGAGAGGCGUCUCGGUCAUGUCUGCAUGUCUCCCGAACCCGUAGGGUCUACACACUUAAGGUUCGGUGACGCUAGGGUUGUAGAGAUAUGUGUAUGCGGAAACCCGAAAGUUGUUCGGAGUCCCGGAUGAGAUCCCGGACGUCACGAGGAGUUCCGGAAUGGUCCGGAGGUAAAGAAUUAUAUAUAGGAAGUCAAGUUUCGGCCACCGGGAAAGUUUCGGGGGUUACCGGUAUUGUACCGGGACCACCGGAAGGGUCCCGGGGGUCCAUCGGGUGGGGCCACCUAUCCCGGAGGGCCCCGUGGGCUGAAGUGGGAAGGGAACCAGCCCCUAGUGGGCUGGGCACCCCCCCAUGGGCCUCCCCCCCUGCUCCUAGGGUUGGGAACCCUAGGGUGGGGGGCUUCCCACUUGCCUUGGGGGGCAAGGCACCCCCCCUGGCCGCCGCCCCCCACCCUAGAUGGGUUCUGGCCGGCGUCCCCCUCUCCCAGGGGGCCUAUAUAAAGGGGGGGAGGGAGGGCAAGAGAACUACAGCCUUGGGCGCCUCCCUCUCCCCCUGCAACACCUCUCUCUCUCGUAUAUGCUCGGCGAAGCCCUGCCGGCAUCCCGCUACAUCCACCACCACGCCGUCGUGCUGCUGGAUCUCCAUCAACCUCUCCUUCCCCCUUGCUGGAUCAAGAAGGAGGAGACGUCGCUGCACCGUACGUGUGUUGAACGCGGAGGUGCCGUCCGUUCGGCACUCGGUCAUCGGUGAUUUGGAUCACGGCGAGUACGACUCCGUCAUCCACGUUCAUUGGAACGCUUCCGCUCGCGAUCUACAAGGGUAUGUAGAUGCACCUCUUUCCCCUCGUUGCUAGUAUACUCCAUAGAUGCAUCUUGGUGAGCGUAGGAAUUUUUUUUAAAUUAUGCUACGAUACCCAACAGUUACUUGACCAUGACGAACCUACGAACUAUGAGGAAGCGAUGAUGAGCCCAGAUUCCGUGAAAUGGCUUGAGGCCAUGAAUCUGAGAUGAGAUCCAUGUAUGAGAACAAAGUGUGGACUUUCGUUGACUUGCCCGAUGAUCGGCAAGCCAUAGAAAAUAAAUGGAUCUUCAAGAGGAAGACAGACGCUGAGAGUAGUGUUACUAUCUAUAAAGGUAGACUUGUUGAAAAAGGUUUUUGACAAAGUUCAAGGUGUUGACUACGAUGAGAUUUUCUCACUCGUAGCGAUGCUUAAGUCUGUCGGAAUCAUGUUAGCAAAUUGCCAUAUUUUAUGAAAUCUGGCAAAUGGAUGUCAAAACUACGUUCGUUAAUGGAUUUCUUAAAGAAGAGUUGUAUAUGAUGCAACCAGAAGGUUUUGUCGAUCCUAAAGGUGUUAACAAAAAGUGCAAGCUCUAGCGAUCCAUCUAUGGACUGGUGCAAGCAUCUCGGAGUUGGAAUAUACGCUUUGAUGAGUUGAUCAAAGCAUAUAGUUUUAUACAGACUUGCGGUGAAGCCUGUAUUUACAAGAAAGUGAGUGGGAGCACUACAGCAUUUCUAAUAAAUAUAUGUGAAUGACAUAUUGUUAAUCGGAAAUAAUGUAGAAUUUUCUGGAAAGCAUAAAGGAGUAUCUGAAAGGAGUUUUUUCAAAGAAAGACCUCGGUGAAGCUGUUUACAUAUUGAGCAUCAAGAUCUAUAGAGAUAGAUCAAGACGCUUGAUAAGUUUUUUCAAUAAGUACAUACCUUGACAAGAUUUUGAAGUAGUUCAAAAUGGAACAGUCAAAGAAAGAGUUCUUGACUGUGUUACAAGGUGUGAAAUUGAGUAAGACUCAAAGCCCGACCACGGCAGAAGAUAGAAAGAGAAUGAAAGUCAUUCCCUAUGCCUCAGCCAUAGGUUCUAUAAAAGUAUGUCAUGCUGUGUACCAGAUCUAUUGUAUACCCUACACUGAGUUUAGCAAGGGAGUACAAUAGUGAUCUAGGAGUAGAUCACUGGACAGCGGUCAAAAUUAUCCUUAGUGGAAUAAGGAUAUGUUUCUCGAUUAUGGAGGUGACAAAAGGUUCGUCGUAAAGGGUUACGUCGAUGCAAGUUUUGACACUGAUCCAGAUAACUCUAAGUCUCAUUCUGGAUACAUAUUAAAAGUGGGAGCAAUUAGCUAGAGUAGCUCCGUGCAGAGCAUUGUUGACAUAGAAAUUUGCAAAAUACAUACGGAUCUGAAUAUUGCAGACCCGUUGACUAAACUUCUCUCACAAGCAAAACAUGAUCACACCUUAAUACUCUUUGGGUGUUAAUCACAUAGCGAUGUGAACUAGAUUAUUGACUCUAGUAAACCCUUUGGGUGUUGGUCACAUGACGAUGUGAAUUAUGGGUGUUAAUCGCAUGGUGAUGUGAACUAUUGGUGUUAAAUCACAUGGCGAUGUGAACUAGAUUAUUGACUCUAGUGCAAGUGGGAGACUGAAGGAAAUAUGCCGUAGAGGCAAUAAUUAUUUAUUUCCUUAUAUCAUGAUAAAUGUUUAUUAUUCAUGUUAGAAUUGUAUUAACCGGAAACAGGAUACAUGUGUGAAUACAUAGACAAACAGAGUGUCACUAGUAUGCCUCUACUUGACUAGCUCAUUGAUCAAAGAUGGUUAUGUUUCCUAGCCAUUGACAUGAGUUGUCAUUUGAUUAACGGGAUCACAUCAUUAGGAGAAUGAUGUGAUUGACUUGACCCAUUCCGUUAGCUUAGCACUUGAUCGUUUAGUAUUCUGCUAUUGCUUUCUUCAUGACUUAUACAUGUUCCUAUGACUAUGAGAUUAUGCAACUCCCGUUUACCGGAGGAACACUUUGUGUGCUACCAAACGUCACAACGUAACUGGGUGAUUGUAAAGGUGCUCUACAGGUGUCUCCAAAGGUACUUGUUGGGUUGGCGUAUUUCGAGAUUAGGAUUUGUCACUCUGAUUGUCGGAGAGCUAUCUCUGGGCCGACUCGAUAAUGCACAUCACUAUAAGCCUUGCAAGCAUUGCAACUGAUGAGUUAGUUGCGGGAUGAUGUAUUACGGAACGAGUAAAGAGACUUGCCGGUAACGAGAUUGAACUAGGUAUUAAGAUACCGACGAUCGAAUCUCGGGCCAGUAACAUACCGAUGACAAAGGGAACAACGUAUGUUGUUAUGCGGUCUGACCGAUAAAGAUCUUCAUAGAAUAUGUAGGAGCCAAUAUGGGCAUCCAGGUUCCGCUAUUGGUUAUUGACCAGAGAAGUGUCUCGGUCAUGUCUACAUAGUUCUCGAACCCGUAGGGUCCGCACGCUUAACGUUCGUUGACGAUAUAGUACUAUGAGUUAUGUAUGUUGGUGACCGAAUGUUGUUCGGAGUUUCGGAUGAGAUCACGGAUAUGACGAGGAACUCCGGAAUGGUCCGGAAGUAAAGAUUGAUAUGUGGAUAGUAGUGUUUGAUCUCCGGAAGGGUUCCAGAAUUCAUCGGAAGGGGUUCCGGAUGUUUCUCGAAAUGUUUGGGCACGAGAACACUUUAUCUGGGCCAAAGGGGAAAGCCCACGAGGUUUUUGGAAAGCGCAAAAGGAAGUUUUGCGGAGUCCAGGGGUCUGGCCCUGGAGUCCGAGAAGGACUCUUGCCUUUCGGGUGAAACCGACUUUGUGGAGGAUUUUACUCCAAGUUUCGACCCCAAGGCUCAACAUAUAAAUAGAGGGGUAGGGCUAGUACCCAAGACACAUCAAGAAACACCAAGCCGUGUGCCGGCAACCCCGUCCCCUCUAGUUUAUCCUCCGUCAUAGUUUUCGUAGUGCUUAGGCGAAGCCCUGCGAAGAUUGUUCUUCACCAACACCGUCACCACGCCGUCGUGCUGCCGGAACUCAUCUACUACUUCGCCCCUCUUGCUGGAUCGAGAAGGCGAGGACGUCACCGAGCAGAACGUGUGCAGAACUCGGAGGUGCCGUGCUUUCGGUACUUGGAUCGGUCGGAUCGUGAAGACGUUUGACUACAUCAACCGCGUUGAUAAACGCUUUCGCUUACCCCUCGUAGACUACACUCUCUCCUCUCGUUGUUAUGCAUCACCAUGAUCUUGCGUGUGCGUGGGAAAUUUUUUGAAAUUACUACGUUCCCCAACAGGUUCGCCUUCGAGCACGAGGAGGCGAGGCGACGGGGCGUGCGCGAGGUCGACCGGAGGUCGCCGCCACCGGCGCUCAUCGUCCGCGAGGAGGACCAGGCGACCCUUGCGGCCGUCUACCGGGAGAGCGAGGAGGACGAGCGGCGCAGGGCGGAGGCGGAAGAGGAGGCUCGGUACGAGGCGGCAAUGGCGCAGGCCCUUGCCCUCUCCGCGGCGGGCGACAGCGUGGUGCCGCCGGUGGCCCCGCCGUCCCCCAUCAAGCCGGAGCCGGAGCGGGAGCCGUCCCCCAUCGAGCGCUACUCCUGGACGGGAGUAGUGCGCGAGUGGGUACGCGCGCCACCGGUCUGGAUGGGAGCGACGCCAGCGCAGGAGCAGGCGUACCUCGAGCACUGGCGCACGAUCAGGGUGGCCGAGGAGCGCCGCGACAGCGAGUACCUCGAGAUGCUCGAGCGCGACCUCGAGGAGGAGGAGCGUGAGGCCGAGGAGGAGGCGCGCCAGGCCGCGGCUGCACAGGCAGCCGCACACACCCCCGCGCCGGCACUGCCUGCGCCGGCACUGCCCGACAUGACGGCGCUCUGGAACACGGCGUUCGCCUGGGCCGGGCCGGCGCCGACGCUCAUCGACCUCACGGACCCCGAGGACGACAACGACGACGCCUAGGGCAGCGCGCCGUCUCGUUGUUUAGGCUGUUUUUAUUUUGUUUAAAUGCAAAUGUGGACGCGUGGACUCUCGCCGGCCUUCGUGGCCGGCUUUAAUGUUUAAUUAAUGUUGUUUCUCUUUUUUAAUAUGCAUGCAUUCAAUUUUUUUUCGCCGUCAAAAUAGCUUCAGGCUAGCAUUGGGCGCACGCGCCGACCCAAAUGCGGAAGCGAACAUCCGUGUCUGUCUGGCCGAUCCAAACUAAUAAAAAGCGGACGAAAUCGUCGUCCGUUUGGGUCGGCCCGUUGGAGUUGCUUUUAGGGAUGAGAAAUUGUUGUGUGGGGACUUAGGCGAAAUUGGCUAUAGGAAUGUCACAACACUCUAGACUCUAGAGUGGUGGCUUUAUCUGCCACCGGACGUACGUAAUAUCUCAACACGCAAAUCGUAAAUUCAUGUUGGGCAGCUAAUUCAUUUUGGGCAAGGGCCACACCGCAGCCUAUAUAGCAGUGUGUUCCAACCCAACAGGAAACACCUUUUGUGUUCUACAGUACAUAAUAGAGACACUACUCUUCAUCACUCAACUAGCACAGUAGAAAUUUGGUGGAUGAUUUGCUAGCAGGCUGCAGCGUGUGCCUCCUUGAACACUGCUCCAAAAUUAAGUUAGAUACAGUAACCGAGCUUGUCAGCAUUGUUCAAGAAGGCAAGCACGAUAACACUGUCGUCCUUGCAUUAUUCACUAGUGUCAAAAACGCUCUUAUAUUAUACUGACGGAGGGAGUAUCAUUUAGGUGCCCUAUGCAACAGAAGGAAGCGUCCCUGACAAAUUAAAACCCUCUCCAUUCACCAUGAUACGCAGGCCUUCCAGAAUUGCCAGCAGCAGAGAGCGAACAGCAGGUGCAGUUCGCAGUUUAUGAUGCCGAUGAAAAUUACCAGUACGGCAUCAGCCAUUGCGGGACGCGAUACAGAUUGCAAAUAUUCCCUCUAUUCACUUUUAUAAAACCUUGAAGACAUUUCAGACAAUAUGUAAAACAGCCUAUUUUAAGUUGUAUGAAACGACUUACAACAGUGAACGGAGGGAGUAGAAGGAAUGGCAAGAUAUACAAUGGAAUCCGGUAACUGUAUGUAGGACGACAGCUCCACCAGCUCCGCAGAAUACAAGGAUAUGCGGAGUACCUCUUUGCCCACUCCAUGAUUUUCAAUUACGGCUCCGGCCGCUCCGGGAGCGGAGUCAUGGAGUGGAGAGCCUCCGAACAGGGCCGUAAUGAAAGGCUUUGCAGAUUCUACCAUGACUGAACUGGGCACUGAAAUGCUAAUGAUAUGUCUGGUUGAAUGAUGCCUGAAGAACCACAAACACCAGCAUUUCCAGGUUUACGCCUCACAGCAUGAUAAUGCAAAUGUUCGGCGGCCAGUGCCAGGACUAAUUCAGAAAAGAUGAAGGUGAUACUUUCAAGGCAAAAUGGCGCCACAUUUAUCUAUAGUAUGCAUGAGACAGUGACUCUUCACUAAGAAACUAACCUUGUUUUUUGGGGGAAGAUGGUCUGGAGAAGUUAUAGAAGGAAAUAUCCGUCUCACGUAUGAAGAGAGCUUCAGGUUUGGGCUGUCCGUGAUGAAGCUUCAUACUCAGAUAAAAGGAUAUCGUUGUGUGAUAGAUAGUGGCCAUGCGAGUUAUUUUCCUCUGCCAUGUUGACAUUCACAUGGAAACUACGGUUUUUGAAAUGUUAAAUAUAUCUAAAGGGACUGGUUCUGGACAUGCAACGCCAGAUUACGAUCCAAGCAUGCACAAAUAUGGAAAUCCAAUCUAUAGUCUCGUUCAAAACUUACCAGGAUACCAACAUGGUGACUGAUGGCAUAAUGACUCGUGCUUCGCAGAUGCCAUGGUCUUGGGGCCACAUCAAGGCAUCAAGGUUCCACCCGGUAGUCCACAAAGGUUCCAGAGCCUAAGUCCCAGGCAAGCUCAAAGAGUAAACGCUCAGUGCUGGAGAUGCAACUCCACGACGAUUAGGAUUGCAUUCAGCAUAUAUAUACAGUAAGUCUACAGUAUCAUGCAUUCAUAGUGUGCCAUAAGAUUCAGUAAUCCAUCCGCAAACAGCAUUUAUUUGAAAAGUAAUAUAUGACAAAUAUUCACCACUAAACGAAAAACACAAGAGAAAACACGAGCAAGCUUGAGCAGAGUUGCAAACCAUAAGAGCAACUUGUCUCGAUCAGGUCCUCUAGGUUCCAGAACCGAGGCUUCAGAAAUGCUUGCAACAAAAGCUUGCAGAGUUCCGAGGUGUUCACUAAACUACAAAGAGUAAAACCACGGCAGAGUUGUAGCUGCAGUCCAGCACGCAAAUCUACACAAGAUAAUCAUCGUCUGAGAUGCCACCUACAUCAUCUUCAUGAUCAUCGUCUGAGAUGCCACCUACAUCAUCUUCAUGAUCAUCGUCUGAGAUGCCACCUAUAUCAUGCAUGUAAUGUACAGGCUCCAGAAGUGCACUCACUACUACUGCUCUGUGAUUCAUCUGCCUGUAUCUAUCAACAAGAUAGUGCCACUCCGGCGAGUCUUUGGUAUCAUCUUGCAAAAAGUCAUCGAUGGAUAGGUCCUUGGCACCCGGUAAGUACUUGAGGAUUGAAUAACCUUCAGGAUCCGAGAUUUCAACCAUGAAAAGUGGUGAGAGUGAACGCCCCAUCACUUCAGCAUGGCAAACGCUGUUACAUGCAAAAGGGGGAAAAGAUACUGAUGUUUCAGCAUUUCUAAUUUACAUCAUUUCGGGUUUACAAGGCUCAUACGCAUUUUGAGGCCAACUUUGACCAGCAAUUUCACUACCAAAAUAUAAUCAUAUGUCAUAAUAAAUGUAUCAUCGAAUUUGCAUUCCAAAAAAGAUUUAAUGAUAUAAUUUUUAUGGCACACAACUCAUAUACUAUUGGUCUAAUUGACGGUCAAAAUAAAUCUCAAAAUGCAUGCAGGCCUUGUAAACCUAAAAGGAGCGAGUAUGCGAGGAAAAGGACCUAAAUUGAGCAAACUUUACUACAGGAUUCAGAUUAACGCUUUAUAAUAUUAUGCAAGAAACUGACAAGUGCAUCUUCUAAAUGCUACGGUACAAGCACCACAAAAACAAUAUAUGCACCAUGAUGAAGUGUGAGGACAAAGUUGCUGACAAUCAUUAUUUAACAGAAAUAAGUUCCUGACAUGCACAAUUUCAUUCUUCAUGGUGCAGUGAACGAGUAUUAACUUUUGCAUUUCCACUGGCAGCCUGAGACUGGAGUUACAUCAAGCCUCUGAAUUUGGAUCAUCAUGCCAUUUUUUGCAAAAGCUAAUCAUGCCAUAUUCAACUUACCAUAUGUAGUACAUAUCAUCUGCUUCUUGUUUCUGUACUCUGCCCAAGAGUUCAAUCAUCACCACACCACCAAUGCAAAGGACAGGGCGUGGGAGCUUGAAGGAUUGUAGUUCGUUUUUCUAUCACACCACAAAUAGAUGAUAUCAUAAGGUCAUCGCUAUAUCCAAUAUCAACCAACAUGCUAAUUUGCUAGACCAUGGCAAGUAGAACUAAAAAGAUUACAUCAUUAGUGGAUCUCGUAAUCACAAAUUACUGACUCGUUAUUUGUCCUAAACAUGAGAAAUUCUGGCUAAGUGGAAUAUAAGAGUUCUUUGACUGAAAAAAGUAACUAUGCGGAGUCUCAUCGUAGAAUUUUCCCAUCAAUCUGUAGAUAUAUAUCAACAAUAAAAGGAUGCACCAACUCACCUGUAACAUAGGGAACGCUGGCGAAGUGUAAGUCCACGUGUAUUUUUCAUCAGCAUUUACCAUCUUAUUCUCAUAAUCAUCCAUUACAAACGUCUCUGAUCCUCGCGGAAGCUUGUAAUGGCCCAUCUGAAAUCGCACCAUCUUUGAAGAGUAUAUAGGGUCACCAUCCUGAAAAAAGGCUGGCAAUUCGAAGCAAAGGGGCAUAUAAAUACUAUCGAUCAAUCACCUGACAGGAUAAAUCUAAUCAAGACAGAAAUUUGCAGUGCCUUGGGAUCCUCAACUAAUUUGGGACUAUAGUACUUAGCCUAAUCAAGCAAGCAAUCAAUUAAUGGUGUGCACUAUGAAAGAGCUCGAGCAAUUGCAAUACCACGGCUAAAUCAAUCAAUAAUAACGCACCUUGGUACGGUCGCACCCGAAUCUCAUCGACAAUGCAGAUGUCAGAGUUGAGCCUGUAGGUAAGGCUCUCGGGCGCCUCGGGGUCGUCCGCCCCGCCGCUCGACCAAUAGGACGGGCGGAAAUUGAUAAUCUCCUCCUCGUCGAGGGUGUUCUCCAUGGUCUCUGCUGGGAAGUCGUCGGUGCUGGAGGCGCCGAUACAGUCCAAGAUGCAUUCCGCGGAGGGCUCGGCGGAGUCGGAGACGUAGGCGCCGGCGAGGUUGGAGUAUAUCCUGUAGUCCCUCUCGUAGCCUGAUUCAGGGGCGGCGGUUGAAGGCGGCGAUCUGGACACCUCUGCGGCCGCGGCGACGGUGGCGACCUCGGGGCACAGGCGCAGGCAAAGGCUCUUGCUCAAGCCGCUCUCGACCACUGCGCGGAGGAGGGGAAAUCAGGGCGCGGCGAUGGUAUAUAUUAGAAUCGACAGCCAUCGGGGAGGAGGGCGAGAAUUGCUCACCGCAUCUGCGCCAGGUUCUGGAGACAGCGGCGGCGCGGACAAGGUCGGCGGGGUGGUCAAGGCGGCUGAAGACGCAUGCUGAGACGUCAGGGCCGAUCCACUCCAGCAGGUCCGCGCUGCAGCACUCCUCCGCCAUGGCGGAUGGGGAAGUACAACAAGUUUUUGAGAAAGAGAAGAAGGUGGGGACGAUAAGGGGGUCUUUUUUUUUCUAUUUAUUAGAUUCCUUUUUACUAUUACUAGUAAAAAACGAUUUGGUAGAUGUCUUAUCCGUUUACUUCACCUUCAUCUUUGGAACCGCCAUUACACAAAGAGUAGCAACAAAACUCUUUUCAAAUCCCCAUCACCCCUGCAGGCUGCAAGUGGAGGUGAUGCAACACCUUUGGACUUGUUGUUUGACUCGGAUUCUGCUGCAGCGUCAGAUUGUUUCAUCUAUAUCUCAAUGCUCCGGACGAAUUUGAAGGUGAAUCCAAUUGGGUUGGAAAGAACACGAAAUAUACUUUCCAACAAAAAAGGAAUCACCCAAUUCGAAGUCCGUAUGAAAAAGUUAUUGGCGUUUUGAGUCAGGUAUGUCUCUGCAGUCCGAAUCUGAAUUCAGAACGUGGGCGACUUGGACUCUAUCUUCUCUUGGCCCAAAAGUGACGUGAGAGGACUUUUUGAACAGAACCUAAACUUCUCCUUUUCCCUUAUCUUCAUAUGUGGAUUGUACAAAUAUCUCAUACACCUGCAAUUAGACAAAACACAAAAGUGUGUGAAGUAUUUUUGUUCUGAUAACAUAAAUAGAUUAUUGAAUAAUUUGCACUAGAAAUCACCUGAUAAAUAUGCAUGUAUGCAAUAUUUUUGGUCGUAUCCAAGGUAGUCAUGUCCUCAUCAUCCUCCCUUUCUUGAAAACAAAGCCGUCAUCGGCGCUGCUUAAUCUGAAAUGUGGCUAACAAAAGAGACAAGGUAUACAUGUUGUAUAUUCAAUCUCGUCCAAUCCUGCUACUUCCUAUCUGUCAAUCUUUGUCGAGUUGGGUUUAUUUUUCAUUCAAGAAAGUUACACAUACUCACGUAGACGCAUCAUUCAUAUGCAUGCACACCCUAUCCAUAGCAUCUUCAUGGUAGAGUUGGCGAGUUAUUGAGAUUGAUGAAGUCAUCACAGUUGAUUCAUUCUUUAUUGACGGGAAUGAGCGCCUACCACUAAAAGAAAUUAUGGGUUAAAUUUUCUAAUCCGGCAAUCCUCAUUAUUCAAAUCUUGCAACGUUGGAUGAUCCAUUGUGUUUGCUAUAUGUUUAAAUCCUCCGCCUCUAGACACGAUGCUCAAUCCCUAUCGCCGCGCACACUCACAAUCGCCGCACCUAGAAAACUGCAAAAGAGGAACGCAGCAGCAUUGCUUGUUUCAUUUUGAGAGAAUUGCACGAUGACCUCACGUUGAGCUCACUUUCUCUAGUGAGGACUACAAGCAUCCUCGUGACAAAGGCAGUUGCUCACCGUGUUCUGCCUCGUCUCUUUUUGAAAAAACUUCUGAUCUAUUCAUUCAUGUACAUAGACCACCUAGCGACGACUACAAGCACUAAAGCGAACCGAAGGCCCACCGUCGCCAUCGCCCUCCCUCACCGGAGUCGGGCAAAACUUGUUUAAGUAAACAGUAAAAAAAUUGUCGUACUAAGACCCCCAAAGGACCAGCGCACCAGAAAAGCAACCAUCACUGAUGAAAAAACGUAGAUCGUAGACACAUAAACGUAGACGAACGAAGAUCGAAUCAACGCAGAUCCAUCGAAAACAAACAACGAUCGAAUCCCAUGAGAUAUGUCGAAGACACACUUUCACGUGCACUCUGACGGAGACACACCGCCGGGACGAGGGCUAGGCGGGAAGAAUCUUAUUUCGUCUUCAGUAGCCGCCGGCGCCUCGCCUUCUUGAGCUGGACACAAACCUCAUAUGGUUUGACACUUAUUGGCCUUCUUACCCCCUUCACGUGAUUCUCAAAUGAAAGUAUGUAGAUCCAGUACUUGCAAUGAAAUGUAUAUAGGAUACCACAAUUAUGGAAAUGAAAAUAGUACAUUUCCUCUUUCAUGUUGUUUGAAUUCAUAUCCUUGAAGGGUGUCUUUUUUUUCUACUACGACAUGCGAGUAUUGCACUUCCCAAUCGUGCCAAAUAGAAAUAUAUUUUUAUUUAGGGUUGACUAAAAGUAAUUGGUAAAUUUUAUGAUAUGUCUUAUGUGCUUUGAAAAAACAUGAUUCAUAAUUUGGAGUUUUAAAUGUGGUUGUGUACUUAGGGUCUCUUUGAUUCAAAGGAUUUUUCAUAGGAUCUUUGAAGGAUUAUAAUCCUUAGGAUUUUUUCCUACGUUGGGGGCCUCUUUGGAUUGAAGGAUUUUUCAUAGGAAUAUUGGAGGAUUCCAAUUCAUUGCAUUUUUUCCUAAGGAAGCCCUUUGGAUCAAAGGAAUGACACCUCCAAAAUUCCUAUGGAUUGCAUUUCUACACCUCAAUCCUACAGGAAUUUCAACAUCCACUCUAGCCUCUUUUUUACACUGAUUCGCGUAGGAUCGAGGCACUUUUCCUAUGUUUUCUGUAUUCCAUCUAAAUGAUCAUUCCUGCAGUUUCCCUCUGUUUUGUAAUCCUCUCUUUUGCACCUACAAUCCCAUCAAAUCCCUAUGUUUUUCAAAUUCCUGUGUUUUCUAAUCCUAUGAUCCAAAGAAGCCCUGGUUGUUUGAUUCGUAGGAUUGAAUCCUGUAGGAUUUUUUCCUAAGGGUUAAUUUGUACUACAUUUCACAGGAAUUCUAACAUCCACUCCAACCUCUUGGAAAAAAUUCUUUGUUUUUUCCAUGACACAAUCAAACAAACUCAAAUUCUAUAGGAUCCAAUGGACAUGCCAUUCCAAUCCUACGUUUUUCCUAUUCCUGUGUUUUUGCAAUCCUAUGAAUCAAAGGGGCCCUUAAUCUUCAUGGACUGCUACUUGACGUGUUGUAAUAAGGUGGUCCUGUUUUUGCGCAGUUCUGCAUUAGAAUCAAUGUUCCAAUCAAGUUAACAAUGGUAAUUCUUUUGAUCAACACAUCACCAUAGGGGAAAAUGCUUAGNNNNNNNNNNNNNNNNNNNNNNNNNNNNNNNNNNNNNNNNNNNNNNNNNNNNNNNNNNNNNNNNNNNNNNNNNNNNNNNNNNNNNNNNNNNNNNNNNNNNNNNNNNNNNNNNNNNNNNNNNNNNNNNNNNNNNNNNNNNNNNNNNNNNNNNNNNNNNNNNNNNNNNNNNNNNNNNNNNNNNNNNNNNNNNNNNNNNNNNNNNNNNNNNNNNNNNNNNNNNNNNNNNNNNNNNNNNNNNNNNNNNNNNNNNNNNNNNNNNNNNNNNUGCAAGAUGUCUGUCGAAUCUCGCUAGUCGCGGCAGCGGCGGGGCUUCCUCGAGAGCGCAAGGCGCGAUCUGGAUAGCAAAUAAACGGCGUCUGCAAGUCCCAUUUAGUUAGAUUUACCUAUCUCGAUAGUUCAGUUUCCUCGAAAAUAUAAUAAUAACUUAAAUUUAAGAUUAUAAGUGGGUUUAAACCGGACCAGUUUAUAUCCCUAAUCAUGAGACUGUCCUGGUGGACACGUACGGUGUGGAGGACGCUUGGAGACGAUGUGAGGGGGCUUCGCAAGGUUCUAUUGGGCCGGAUCAGGACUUGGGCAGACCUGCAUCUUGGCGGGGAGAUCUUGUCGUCCUGCAACGACGACCAACGGUGGCAUGCGCCAAUAGUGUGUGUCUCAGUUGCAUUGCCGUCAAGGAUCUAUAGGUGGCCGACGCGUGGAUCGACCUCUUCGUGCGUCCUUUUCCACGACAAGGACUGCGAUCGGUGGUCUUGGUUGUUCAGCAUGCUAUGAGUCGUCCUUGCGUGUGGCGGGGCGGUAGCGCCAAGUUUUGGGUGGCAUCGGGCAACGCCCUGCCACUGGAUCGUCCUCGCUAGGCCUGUCAGCGGAACGAGAUGCACGCGCAAGAGGUUUCCGCACACACAUUUUCCUCUCCCACUGUGGUCUCAGCUGCAUUCACGCUCAAUCCACGUAGAAUAAACAAGUGUUUUUUGUUUUUGCAGUGUCAUCCUUACGCAAGACCAUUCUAAUCUUUUCUCUAUUGUUGCAACUUUAUCAAAUGGGACAUAAGCAAGCAUCUAGAAGGCCACUUUAAUUUUCAUGCAUCCUUGUUGAUAAUGAGAGGUGAAUGAGAUUUUCUUUAUGUUGCACACGGUAUUCUGACACAUGUUUAUUGUGCAUGUCGGAGUAAUUGGACACGGGUAUCCCGAAGACGGCAAGACAAUAUUUCAAGACAUCGGGGCUAGCAAAGCCCCUCAGUCCGACUGCCCGGCCGCUCCUGCCGGCUCCCCGUCCGACUGCUCCACCCGGCCGGCUGCCCGGCCGGCUGCCAGCUGACCGACUGCACCGACUAGCCGGCUGCCGACUGCAGUCCGACCCGGCAUCGACAAGACACCGACGAGACGGCCAUACCGCGGACAAGACAACCGUACCGCGACACCAUCAUGUAUAGUGUCACUUGUCCCCUGGCACUAUUCAUGAAGUGACCUAGGGGACAAGCAUGACAUGCACCAUGCCUUGCUCCCAUACCUCCACAUAGCUUAGAUACAAAGCUACCUCACACUAUAAAAGGAGCCAUCCAUCCAUCCACACACUCACUCUCACGCACACUCACGGCCAUGAGCAUGGCCGGCCACUAGCAUGCCCUAUAUGCAUAUACCAAAUCAGAUGCACUUGGCACUGAUCUCAGAUACAGCUCCAGGAGCAACCCUGUACCAGAUAUACUACAGAUACACAGACAUGCAGGAGUAGGGGUAUUAUCUCUCCGGAGAGCCCCGAACCUGGGUAAACUACCGCGUGCUACUCGCAUACCCGCUUCCGGUCCUAUCAGCAGCAGUCUUACCCUCACACAAAGCCCUUGUGGCAUCUGUCGAUUCACACCCCCCCGUGAGAAUACCACGACAGUUGGCGCCCACCGUGGGGCGGUACUAUGCUACCGUGCUGCUGCUAGUUUCGCAGUCCGGGCGGGACCAUCUUCGCCAUCACCACCGCGGCGUCGCGCCAUCCCUCCGAUAGCGGUCCAGGGCUCGAUAUCGACUCACCCUCGGAAUGGCCGCGAGGGGCGGCGCGUCCUCGCCGUAGGCCUCGCCUUCGCCAUCACCGCCGCGGCGUCGCGCCGUCCCUCCGAUAGCGGUCGAGGGCUCGAUAUCGACGCACCCUCGGAAUGGCCGCGAGGGGCGGCGCGUCCUCGCCGUCGGCCUCGCCUUCGCCAUCACCGCCGCGGCGUCGCGCCGUCUCUCCGGUAGCAUUCGGGGGCUCGACUUCGACCCACCCCCGGAGCGGCCGCGCGGGACGGCGCGUCCUCGCCGUCGGCCUCGCCUUCAUCACCACCACCGCGGCGUCGACUGCGUCGCCGCCGUCCCANNNNNNNNNNNNNNNNNNNNNNNNNNNNNNNNNNNNNNNNNNNNNNNNNNNNNNNNNNNNNNNNNNNNNNNNNNNNNNNNNNNNNNNNNNNNNNNNNNNNNNNNNNNNNNNNNNNNNNNNNNNNNNNNNNNNNNNNNNNNNNNNNNNNNNNNNNNNNNNNNNNNNNNNNNNNNNNNNNNNNNNNNNNNNNNNNNNNNNNNNNNNNNNNNNNNNNNNNNNNNNNNNNNNNNNNNNNNNNNNNNNNNNNNNNNNNNNNNNNNNNNNNNNNNNNNNNNNNNNNNNNNNNNNNNNNNNNNNNNNNNNNNNNNNNNNNNNNNNNNNNNNNNNNNNNNNNNNNNNNNNNNNNNNNNNNNNNNNNNNNNNNNNNNNNNNNNNNNNNNNNNNNNNNNNNNNNNNNNNNNNNNNNNNNNNNNNNNNNNNNNNNNNNNNNNNNNNNNNNNNNNNNNNNNNNNNNNNNNNNNNNNNNNNNNNNNNNNNNNNNNNNNNNNNNNNNNNNNNNNNNNNNNNNNNNNNNNNNNNNNNNNNNNNNNNNNNNNNNNNNNNNNNNNNNNNNNNNNNNNNNNNNNNNNNNNNNNNNNNNNNNNNNNNNNNNNNNNNNNNNNNNNNNNNNNNNNNNNNNNNNNNNNNNNNNNNNNNNNNNNNNNNNNNNNNNNNNNNNNNNNNNNNNNNNNNNNNNNNNNNNNNNNNNNNNNNNNNNNNNNNNNNNNNNNNNNNNNNNNNNNNNNNNNNNNNNNNNNNNNNNNNNNNNNNNNNNNNNNNNNNNNNNNNNNNNNNNNNNNNNNNNNNNNNNNNNNNNNNNNNNNNNNNNNNNNNNNNNNNNNNNNNNNNNNNNNNNNNNNNNNNNNNNNNNNNNNNNNNNNNNNNNNNNNNNNNNNNNNNNNNNNNNNNNNNNNNNNNNNNNNNNNNNNNNNNNNNNNNNNNNNNNNNNNNNNNNNNNNNNNNNNNNNNNNNNNNNNNNNNNNNNNNNNNNNNNNNNNNNNNNNNNNNNNNNNNNNNNNNNNNNNNNNNNNNNNNNNNNNNNNNNNNNNNNNNNNNNNNNNNNNNNNNNNNNNNNNNNNNNNNNNNNNNNNNNNNNNNNNNNNNNNNNNNNNNNNNNNNNNNNNNNNNNNNNNNNNNNNNNNNNNNNNNNNNNNNNNNNNNNNNNNNNNNNNNNNNNNNNNNNNNNNNNNNNNNNNNNNNNNNNNNNNNNNNNNNNNNNNNNNNNNNNNNNNNNNNNNNNNNNNNNNNNNNNNNNNNNNNNNNNNNNNNNNNNNNNNNNNNNNNNNNNNNNNNNNNNNNNNNNNNNNNNNNNNNNNNNNNNNNNNNNNNNNNNNNNNNNNNNNNNNNNNNNNNNNNNNNNNNNNNNNNNNNNNNNNNNNNNNNNNNNNNNNNNNNNNNNNNNNNNNNNNNNNNNNNNNNNNNNNNNNNNNNNNNNNNNNNNNNNNNNNNNNNNNNNNNNNNNNNNNNNNNNNNNNNNNNNNNNNNNNNNNNNNNNNNNNNNNNNNNNNNNNNNNNNNNNNNNNNNGACGCCUGGCUGGUCGAACCUCGGCCCAAAUCUCGGGGGCUACACCCAGCGGGUGCGCUGACGCGCCCCCGCUAGGAGAGAAGACAAAGUAGUCGCCGGGAGAUCCGGCCCGACUGCUCAGCAGUCGGCCCGAAUCUCGGGGGCUACACCCAGCGGGUGCGCUGACGCGCCCCCGCGAGGAAAGAAGACAAAGUUGUUGCCGGAAGAUCCGGCCCGACUGCUCAGCAGUCGGCCCGAAUCUCGGGGGCUACACCCAGUGGGUGCGCUGGCGCGCCCCCACGGAGACAAGAGAAGAGUUUCGUCCGGCUGCCAGCAGCCGGCAGAAGAAGAAAAGGGUGCUGUAAGACACCUCGCCGCCUGACUAGCCAGGACCCUCCUUCGAGCGGCCAGGGGCUCGAAGGCUACACCCAGCGGGUGCGCCGGCUCUCUCUGGCAAACUCCGCCUCGGCUACACGAAAACCAAUGUGAGCUCCUCACCCGCAGAUUUUUCCACCGCGAGAGCACGGAUAACCCCGAGCGAUGCUCGGGGACUAUCUCCGCAUUUCAUUACAGUUGCAUCACUGUUCGCCCCGGCGCCAGCCAGAGUUGGCCCGGGGGCUGGCCGCUUGGCCUGAGACGUUAGUUCCCGCAGACGGCUUAGUAGCGUGCGCGGUAUGAAAAGCCCACUCUUAGUCACAGACCGCAGAGCGGCUGUCCGACUGGCAAGAGUGAACGCUGGAGGCCACCCACGCGAAAAACGUCCGGGAAGAAAAACGCUUCGGGCGACCCGACCGUUUUCUUUAUGAGUAUCUACUCGGUUAAAUUCGCUCCCAGAGUCUGAGUAUUGUACACUCCACUCCGCGGCCCACUCUCAGCCACAGACCGCAGAGCGGCUGUCCGGCAAGCGAGAGCACAAGCCAAAGAGCGGAGGGAACAUGAAAAAGAUUGAAGGGGGCUCGGACGAAACCGAGUUGGCACCCUCCGCAUAAAACUUGCAGUGCUAAAAAGCAAUCAUUCGAUAUAUCUGCAUGGACUAACUUUGUCUUUUGCAUGAUCAUUUCCAUGAACACUCGCGAAAAAACCUCCGCCCGACUUUGCCAAGUUGCCCGGAGGCUUGGGGGCUACUGUCGGAGUAAUUGGACACAGGUAUCCCGAAGACGGCAAGACAAUAUUUCAAGACAUCGGGGCUAGCAAAGCCCCUCGGUCCGACUGCCCGGCCGCUCCUGCCGGCUCCCCGUCCGACUGCUCCACCCGGCCGGCUGCCCGGCCGGCUGCCAGCUGACCGACUGCACCGACUAGCCGGCUGCCGACUGCAGUCCGACCCGGCAUCGACAAGACACCGACGAGACGGCCAUACCGCGGACAAGACAACCGUACCGCGACACCGUCAUGUAUAGUGUCACUUGUCCCCUGGCACUAUUCAUGAAGUGACCUAGGGGACAAGCAUGACAUGCACCAUGCCUUGCUCCCAUACCUCCACAUAGCUUAGAUACAAAGCUACCUCACACUAUAAAAGGAGCCAUCCAUCCAUCCAUCCACACACUCACUCUCACGCACACUCACGGCCAUGAGCAUGGCCGGCCACUAGCAUGCCCUAUAUGCAUAUACCAAAUCAGAUGCACUUGGCACUGAUCUCAGAUACAGCUCCAGGAGCAACCCUGUACCAGAUAUACUACAGAUACACAGACAUGCAGGAGUAGGGGUAUUAUCUCUCCGGAGAGCCCCGAACCUGGGUAAACUACCGCGUGCUACUCGCAUACCCGCUCCCGGUCCUAUCAGCAGCAGUCUUACCCUCACACAAAGCCCUUGUGGCAUCUGUCGAUUCACACCCCCCCGUGAGAAUACCACGACAGUGUACAAACGAGUAACGUGUUGCCAUGAUUUUUGUAUCUAUGCUUCAAUGGGAGUUUUCUCGUGUUGCACAUGUGUCUCUUUGCUGUUGCAUGUGUUGUUCAGAAUUUCAGAUAUGUUAGUCUUCAUAUCAUGUGAAUUGCGAUGCAUUUUCAACGAUUUGUUGUAAUGAACGGGGUAUUGUUGCAUACAUAUAACUAUUUGUUAUGUGGUCACAUUUGAGACGUUGCAAUAUUUGUCUGAUUGUUUACGCGAGUGGGGAUACAUGUUAUGUGUGAGAAAAAAUGCAUGCAAAAUUUUAUGUUGGGAUGGUCAAAAGGCCCAAAUUUGGAACUUAAAAUAGAUCUGACACUUGAGUGGCUUAAUGUUUUCCGUUCCAGCCGACUAAUGUUUGUCGUUGCUUUUCCCCUUUUUUCCUGAACCGAUUAACCCUAGUUUUGUUUGCAGAACUUGAGCCUACGUUAGAGAUUGAGAGAUCAUACUCUCAUGCUUAAAAAGAAUCAUGUUUAAUUUUACUCCUUCCUUCGUCCGACCUUCCCUAGGUACAUUGUUCCUAGCCCCCUUCCCCCUCCCAAUUUUUUUUUCUCCUCCCAUCUCUAUAUGACUAUUAUUGUAUUUUUUUAAAAUGCCUCAAUUAUCCCAAGUGUUAAUUUAGUCGACAAUUGAAGUCAUUUUUUCUAUGUCAUUACAAUACCAAUAAAAUGUCAGGUAAAUCAAGGUGUUUUGUAGGAAAAGACACUAAAAUGUAGUGUUAUCUCUACUACUUAAAAAGAGUACGUUCCUUUCCUUGCCACCAGAACACUUUGUCAACCGGAUCUCCCUCCCACCACGUUUCUUCAUCGGGGUAUUUUUCGUUCAACCAGGUUUUUAGUCCCACCGCACCCUUUUUCACACCUUCCCCGUACGCUAAUCAAUCACCAUAAUUUACUUACCUUCUGCACCAAUUUCAUUUUAGUUUACUUACAAACAUUUAUUUACACAAUCACGGACAAUAUUCGAUAUACAUUAUUUACACAAUCACGGACACGAUUUGAUAAACAUUUAUUUAUACGAUCACAUUAAUAUGAGCGGGUUUUUAAAUCACAUGCUGGCGUACUAAAAUAUGUAUAGUCUAUUGCAAUGCACGAGCAUUGUUCUAUUAAAUGUAUAAAUGAGAGACCCGUAAAAAAGCCUAUCCUAUUGGAAUAUAUUGACGCAUAUGUUGCAACAGGCAAUUACCUACGAAAAACCUUCACAUCGCAAACAGCGGGCUCCAAAACAAGAUUACCUAUUCCGCGCGUAGGUCGCCAGGAAGCGCGGAAACGGGUACCCCCCUCACGCGCUAUUUUUUGUAUGGGUCGGCCCAUUUUCCAAUUUCAUCUCCACUUGUUUUGGGAAGGUGAAACUUCCCUGAAUAUGUUUUUCUUUUCCUUUCUUUUCUUAAUUUCUUUUUUCUUUUUCUAUUUCCUUUUUCCUUUCCCAUGUUUUACUUUUUUCUUUCUUCAUUUCUUCAUUUUACCUUUUAAUUUAUUUUUUACUAUUCCUUUUUGUUUUUCAACUUGCGAACAUCUUUCAAACGAGUGAACAUUUUUUGAAAUUCAUGUACGUUUUUUGAAAUCAUGCAUUUUUUUAAAAUUCGUGAACAUUUUUCACAAAUUCUUGAACAUAUUUCUAAAUCCUGAAAAAUUACGAAUUCAUGAACUUUUUUUGAAAUUGCAUAAAAAAAUUGCACUCGGGAACACAUUUUUGAACCGGGAAAUAUUUUUUGAAAUUUGGGAACAGUUUUUGGAAUUCCUGAGCUUUUUUUACGUACAUUUUUUGUGUUCAUGAUUUUUUAAAUCUGCGGAAAUUUUUUGAAUUUGGGAAGAAUUAUUGAAAUUCUCAACCAUUUUUUGAAUGUUUGAACAUUUAUAGAAAUUCAUGAACACUUUUUGAAAAUUUAUGAUUUUUCUAAAAAUCAUGAACAUUUGUUGAAUCUGUGAGGAUUUAUAAUUUUCCAAACAUUUUUCGAUUCAUGAAAUAUUUUUUGAAUUCACGAAAAAACCAACAACAAAGGGGCUUCCUGCCCGGCACAUGGGCCGCCCCGUAGUUCACCUCCAAAACCAGCUUACUCCUAUUUAACUGGGCUUUGCCAGGCCCGGUUCCAAAAGACUCGCCUCGGAAUUGUAGCCCAUCGCGGUCGCGUCGUAUACUACAACGGGUUGACCCGGCGCUCCCGUCCAAUCCGAUCCAAAUCUGCUUCCGCAAGCGACCCACUAAGCCGAUCUCUCCCCCUUCUCUCCCCUGCGCUGCAUCUUCCGUCCCCAACCAGACCACCACCAACCUGCGACGACGAUCCGCACGCGAAUCCACCUCGAGAAACCCUAGCUAGUCCCGGCCCGGCAUGGCCUACGUGGACCACGCCUUCUCCAUCACCGACGAGGACGACCUCGUCGGCGGGGCCGUAGGGGGCCCGCGCGGCGCCCCCGUCAAGGAGAUCGCCUUCGCCGCCGCCCUCCUCGCCUUCGGGGCCCUCGGCGUCGUCGCCGGCCUCUUCAUGGCCGCCAACCAAGUCGGCGGUGACACCGCGCACGGUGAGAUCGAAUCUCUUUUCGCCCCUCUCCGCUUCCAUUUUCUUCUUUCCCUAUAUGCCUAUAAGAAGAAUUGUUACUGCAUCUAGGACCCUGAAGUUUUUCGAAAGUCAUCUUUUGAUCCCGAGCUCAUAUGCUCCCGCAUGAACAGUAAAAUCGAAAAAAAUUCAAAAAAAUUCCAAUUUUUUUUUGAGAGAAACAUUGACAAAAGUUCUAAGUGCCUGCAAAAAUUCAUCAUGAAAUCACAUUCCUGUAAGGCGUGGCAAAAAAAAACAAAUUCAGUGCUUCAAAAUGCUUUUGAAAGUAGCUUUUUUAGAGUACUGUUUUUGUUUUUUUUGCCAUGCCUUCUAGGAAUGUGAUUUCGCGACGAAUUUUGGCAGGCACUUAGAACUUUUGUCAAUGUUUCUCCCAAAAAAAAUUUGGAAUUUUUUGAAUUUUUUUGAUAUUUUUUCGAUUUUACUGUUCAUGCGGGAGCAUACGAGCUCGGGAUCAAUUCCUCCGCGUGUUUUUGCAGUUUUCUAACUACUGCUGUAUGAGUGUCUUAAGAGCUACUAGUAAUUCAUGGCUAGAAGUAGUAUUUCUAAGGUUGUGACUUGUGAGAGAGGAAUUGAUUGAGGUUUAUUUGGCUGAGACAUAGUAUUUACUCCGUAGUACUAGUUGUUUGGGAGCUGGAUAGGUGACUUAUUUUUCUGGUAUAUAUGAGUAUGACCAAGUGAUUGCUGAGAAAUAUGUGGGCAUUUGUAAGGCCUUAGGAAAAUUUAGGUGUGUAUGAGAUGCUUGCGUUUUCUGAGGUCUCUAGUACUUUGGGCUCAAAUUAGGGGUGCUUGUAUUCAAACUGCACAAUGUUCAUAGUGAAGUGCUCCAGGAAACCCAGCAGUGAGAACUACGGAGAGUGGGUACUAAGAGCUUCUCAUCACCACUACGAAGUGUAGUAUAGACUAUAGUUAGGUUAUUAAAAAACAAUCCCAAUAUUCCUCUCAUCUCUAAUAUAUGUAAUCAUGGUGUGGCUUUAUGGUAGGAUGUCAGUUGUACAUGUGAAACUGAAAAAUAAAAUGUUUUGAUUUGCAAAGCAAAAGCUUGGACAUUUUGCUUGCACUUUGACUCUCAUUCUAAGUAUUGAUGCAAUAUGAAUGUUUCAGUAGCACUUCUGAAGAUAUCUGCUUGAAUAAACUUUGUCUAUAAUUGCCGCUGGAAUUUUUGCCCCUUACUCAAACAUCUGCAACUAUCUCUUUGGAACAGGAAUCUUCUUCAUGGUUUUGGGCAUUGUAAUGUUCAUCCCUGGAUUCUACUACACAAGAAUUGCUUACUACGCAUACAAAGGAUACAAGGGCUUCUCUUUUUCAAACAUCCCACCAAUCUAAAUAACAGGUGUUUGCAAACUCGUUCGGGUCCUUCCGUCCAAUGGCUCUACUGAUAAAGCAAGCAGCCUUGUUGUUCUCGUUGAUCGUAUGUAUACAUUCCUUCUGCUUUGUAGAAUGAACUACUGGUAGAUUUGUGCAUAUAAAUGCUACCAUAAUCAUGUAUUAUGGUGUAGUGGGCAGAAAGGUUGUCAACUGUGUGAUUAUGUUGAGUUGCUGGAGUGUGCUGCCUCCCAUGUCUGAGAGGAAGAACAUUAUGUGGAAUAUGUUACUGUGUAGUAAGAUCUUUGGCUGCCUGCAUUCUCUGAACUGUUUUUAUGCGUUCUCUUUAGCAAUCUAUGUGCCUUUCAUCUCAUCCGAGUAAGAUGCCUCAACUGCAUAGUAAAUGUUUCUUAUUGUGGUGGUCAUUAUCAAUUCCAACUGAAGUCAGAGGCACAAAGUUGUUUCUAGUUACUGUGAUUUGCUCAGCUCAACACCGAAAGUGUUUUUUGUGUUAUUCCAUUCAUUUUUAUCCCUGAACAGUUGGUUAGUGCACAUUUAGAGCAAUAAUGAUGAUGUAUCACAGCUUCUUCAGCCUUUGAUGCUACAAAGAAUUUAUCAUAUCAAUAGGAGCUACAACUUCCGAGCACAUCACCACUCAAAACUCUUCUUCCAGGUUCAAAUGUUUAGGUUCAGGCAGUGGUUCUUGCCUUGAUGCAGCAGUAGCUUAACUUUCUUCCGAUCUGCAAUGUAAGGCUGUAUACGUACGUUGCUGCCAAUCUAUGAAAUUCUGUGGGUUCAAAAAGAGAGAGUUUAUAUCUGACGAUAUAAAUACAUUUCGAUGAGAUGAAAAUUGACCAAGUUACAAACUUAUUUAGUACUCCCUCCGUUCCGAAAUAAUUGUCGUUGGGAGUUUCUAGUGCAAUUUCCGCCGCGUUACGACAUUUCUGUCGUUUCCGAAACUACCCUCCCACUCUCUUGCUCGCUCAGCUCAGCCACUCGCUCGCUGGCUCCCGAACCCCUAGCUCACCGCCACCGGCGCCUCUCCGUCGCACGCGUCGCCGGCGCCUCUACCCCGCACGCAGCGCCUCCGCCUCUCCCUCUCGCGUCGUCGCCGCCUUUCCAUGUUGCCAUACGCCGUCGCCUCUCCCUCUUCAAGAUUUCAUUUUCACUCCGGCGGCUGGAUCUGAAGCGCGGCUGCUCCACCUUCCUCAGGGUGGCGGGGAUCUCCGGCGGCUGGAUCUGAAGCGCGGCUGCUCCACCUUCCUCAGGGUGGCGGGGAUCUCCGGCUCGCUGCGCAGGGGAAGGGCCCGACCGCCGGCGGCCGCUGCGGGCAGAAUGGGAACUCCGUCGGCGACGUCGUCGGCGUCGGCGUCCCAGGGACAGGGCACGGCGGCACGCACUGCCGUUGCCGCCGUCCGCCAGCGCGCCGCUGGCCGACAGGAGCAGCCACAGCCACGAGGCCACGACGAGCAGGACUGCCGGCGACGGGUUGGUGCAGUCCCGCGAGGACCGCGCCGUGUGGGAUGCCGAGACGACGUUGCCAGAGAAGGAGUCUCCGACUACCUCACGCCCACCGCUGGCCUGCACAUUAGGUAACCCACCCGCCGCUGGCCUGCAUAUCACUGAAUAAAUUUCUGUAAAUUUCAGAGAUGAUGCAUGAAGUUUUGUACUCUGAAAGUUUAGGAGUACACUGGAUAAAUUUCUGUAAAUUUGUGAGUACUACUGCUUGUAGGGCGGCUUGUACGGCGUGUACUCUGAAAGUUUAGGAGUAGAUGAUGCAUGCAGCUGCUUAUGAUAAAUUUCAGUAACCAUUGUGCUCGUGUGUGCUCGUGUGUUCAUUGUGCCUUUGGCUUAAAAUGGUUACUACUCCUAAACUUUCAGAACAUCACCUUGCAGUGUUCAGUAAUGGAAUAAAAGUUUAGGGCUAUCUGGAGUUCAUUGUGCUCGUGUGUUUAUUGUGCACUACUGCUGCUGCUUGUGCAUCUGUUUCAGGCUUUGAAUUUGCUUUUGUUCUUGUGAUUGUCCGUCAGGUCGACGAGCCCGUACGCCAGUGUGAGCAGCCUGGGUUGCCGGGUGCUCGCUGUCCGGCAGCACACCACGGCGCGACACGGGGUGGUGGAGGCCGAGCUCACCCAGGUCGAGACCAUAUGGUGGCAGUAGGAGGAGACUGAGCACCGUGUGGUGUGGGCGCCGAUUGAAAAUCACCAGCGAGUCCUACUUCAACUGCGAUGCAUUGUGAGCCUCACUUGCCGUCCUCCCUCUCUUUUUCUUUUGUGAGAGCAAAAAUGCAUUUCAGUUUUGAGUUUGCUCUGCUCUGAGAGAGAGAGGGCACUUCCUUGUUGUUUGUAUACACUGUCGAGUCAAAUUGCCUAACUUCUGAAUGUCUACAUGACCAUUCUUUGCUUCUGUCAAUGAAAAUCAGUGUUAGCAAUGUUCAGUUUUACCAAUGUGUUCUGAAAAUAAAAAUCCAUCUAGUGAGCACAUUUGCUAGGAGUACAAUGUUACACAUGCCAAUGUUCAAUUUUGAGAGGGAAUACUCCAUUUGGUGAGCACAUUUGCUGGCUUGCAACAAGAGGAUUAGCAGUAGUUCAGAUUCUCAGUAUCUUCUCUGUAGGAGUAGUUUCAGUUAAUUAACUGAAACUUUCUACUCCUCUUCUGCAGGAGCAUCUUCUUCCUCUCUUCUCUCUUCUUAUCUCUUCUGUCUCUCUUCUUAUCUCUCCUCUCUUCUCUUAUCUUAUCCUCUCCUCUUCUCUUAUCUUAAGUCCCUACUGCUUACUCACUCUGUCAUUUUCCAGUAAGUCCCUGCUCAUUUUCUUAGCUUUAUUUUGUACCUGUAGGUUCUAUCUCACAUCUCUGAGCCAAAGUUUCUCACAUGCUUGUUUAUUCAAUAUUUUUCUGACAUACGCGUAAUACAGAUGGCGUGCCCAAAGUGAAGUCUGACCGCACUCUCCUUAAGGCAAGGGAUUUGGGUUUUGGCUAUCCGGAGACUUUGAAAGAUCAGUGGUAACAUACUUUUAGCCGUGAAGGGUGAAAUGCUCAAAUGUUUUUGUGCCAAUGAAAGAUCCAGCUUCCAUCUAUGCCGUGAAGGGUGAAAUGCUCAAAUCUUUAUUUUGUUUUCGUGGUACCCCUUUUGUGCCAAUGAAAGAUCUUCCUGACAGAGAGGGCUUAAGGAUCUUCCUGUCAGAGGAGUACAUUAUUUUGUUUGACAGGAGUAUUUCAAGAUCAAUACAUUAUUUUGUUUGACAGGAGGGCUUAAGGACCUAUCAUGGUGAUUUCAUAUUAAAAUUGAGGAGUACUCCUGUUCAUUUGGAGAACUCAAACAGCAAUUGAUAUGCAUCAAAAUUGGGAUCAACAGUAGCAUGGGGCCUUAUCAUUCUGGUUUUUGGAUGACUUAGUUAAUCAAAUUCCUCAAUUGAGGAACACCUGGACUUGUCAUUCCGGUCUUGGGAUAUGGACUUAUCAUUCUGGUUUUUGGAUGAUUUAGUUAAUCAAAUUGACAUCAAUUGACCUGUUUUUUGGAUCACUUGCAGAUUCUCUUGAUUGGAGUGGAGAGGAGCAGAGACGAGAGGAGCAGCAGAAGUGGACAGCGCAGCGGCUGACCUUGAGCUCUUGAUUGCAGUGGGGGGAGGCGGCCGGCGAAGGAUCUGUGGCCAGCAGCGAAGGAUCCAAAGCUGUGGCGGAGCAGGCAGCCGGCGGGAAGGGCGGCUGGCGAGGGAGCUGCGGACCGCGGCGGGGAAGGGCGACCGAUGAGGGAGCUGCGGACCACGGCGGGGGGAGCUGCGGACCGCGGCGGGGAAGGGCGACCGAUGAGGGAGCUGCGGACCACGGCGGGGAAGGGCGGCCGGCCGGCAAGGCAGCUGCGGACCGCGGCGGGGAAGGGCGGCCGGCCGGCAAGGCAGCUGCGGACCGCGGCAGGGAAGGAGCCCAGCGGAGGAGCGACGGCGGAGAAGCCUGGCGGAGGGGAGGAGCGACGGAGGAAGACGCCUCCCGGUCAAUUUCAAAUCAGGGGUAGUAUUGUACUUUCACACUGUAGUACUAAAACAAUGGUGUCAAGCUAUUGGGCCACACCAUUAGCCUUAUUGUAACAAUAUUUAAACAGCACCUUCCUGAUCAUAGUAGAUUGCUUCUGCUAAAACUUUCGGUGUUCAGUUGGAUGUUUGCAACUAAGAAUCUUACUCCCAUGGCUGUCUGGUCACACAAAAUUGUACCACUGCUAACAUGCAAAUUUGUAUGUAGUCCACAUUAAAAUAUGCAAAGCAUUUUAUUGUUAACAGAGGGAGUACUAAAUUAAUACUCCGUAUUAUAUAUAUUCCAUUUUUACCCUUCAUCAGGAAAAUUCUCAUUAACAAUGUGAGGGAUGACAUUGAGCUGUUAGUUUUUGGUUCAUUUUGUAGUACAAAAACAGAAUAUUCAUCUACCAUCAAAUGGUGCCGAUCGUUAAGACGUGUGCAUGAUUAUUCAUGGAACCGUUGAACAUCAGAACUAACAUUGUCAAUUGCAACCGGAGAAAGGGCUAAACACCGCCCAGCCUUGUCCGUUGCGAUGUCUGAGAAGUGCUGGUAGUCCAUUUAACUAAGUUCCUCCUACGUCAGAACGUGCCACCAGAUUUUUUUUUGAACAGUUUAAGAUGGUAGAUCUGACGAAUUACGGACGUAACGUGAUGUAGAAAGAAGAUGGACGAAAAAUCAAACAAAAUGAAGAAAAACUUAAAUCAGAGAUCGAUUGGGGGAAGUAUGCCCGCUUUAAAUUUGGAUGGGGCAAGAGCACACGACGCGCCCAUCCAAUCGUGAAGCGGCCGUCCGUCUCUCUCGGCACUUUGUGCAAAGGGCAACUCGUCCAUGGAUACAACCGAGCACCCGUUCGUCUGAGCCGUCUCAAAACAAAUCUAAAAAAGUCACAACCUUUCAAUCAACGAUGGAACAAGAUGCAAACGAAUGAAGCAAAGUAUCGCCAGAUAUUGUGGCUUGGAAUUAAAAGAAGAUGGAUCUCCAAACAAUCUUCUCCUGGCUAUCAAUCUAGGCUCCAUGCGGCAGACAGGACGCCAUUGAACGGCGCCUGCUGUUGACUCAUGAUAUAGAGCCCAAAUACAUCCUGAUCUAUAACUAACAUCAGAAUCAAAAGAGAUAAAUAUCCAUCAAGUUGAUAGAUGGAUCAACAAAACAAACAGAAUCGAUCUGAAUUCCACAAACUAAGCAGCAUAAAUAAAACACAAAGCAAAAAAAAGUGCGAUGAGAAAGAG
rnacentral:lncRNA from 1 species